UUUUUUUUUUUUUUUUUUGUUGGUGUUUUUGCAUGUUAUGACUUGUUGUUUGAGUGCCCAUAUUUGUUGUUUUAGUGUUUGUUUAGUUUUAUCAAUGUCUAUAUUGUACCGUGCAAUUGUCGCUAACAACUGUGUAGAGGCCUUGAAUCCAUUAAACACUCGACAUAUACCGCCAUGUAAAGUAGGGCUGUCAACGGGCCGGGUCCGGGUCGGAAUUCAUUAUUCCGGACCCGGAUCCGAAUUACUAUACCGGAUCUGGAUCCGACCCGUUUACCUCGACGGGUCUUUUAUUCUAUGUUCCGGAUCCGGAUCCGGGUUUACCCGAACAAAUUUACCAAAAUUUAUAAUUUCUAAUAAAAAUGAGAAAAAAAUAUAUUUGUAAACUAAUUUCUAACUAAUGCAAAGAAAAAACCAAAUAAGAAAAGAAAUCAAAUUAACUUUAUUAAAAUACAUCACCCUAAUCAAAUUAUAUUGAUAAAUAUAUAUUUUUUAAAUUAUUAAUUCAUUUAUAUCCGGAUUCGGGUCUAAUACAGGUCGGAAUACUAUAUUCCGUAUCCGACCCAUUUUUUUGUUUGACAAAACGGAUCCGGAUCCGGGAAACGGAAUUAAAUCCCUACCCAUACUCACAAUAAUUUCACGGAUCCGAUCCGGAUCCGGGUUUAGACCCGACCCGUUGACAGGCCUAAUGUAAAGCCUAGUUUAUACGAUAAGAUCAGGAAAUGAGAAGUCUUCAAGAAAUAUUUUUGAUUGUUUAUAUUGCACCGUGCAAUUGUCACUAGCAACUAUGGAAAGGCUCUGAAUCCAUUAAACACUAGAGCCUGCACCAUGUAAAGCCUAGAAUACGGGAUAAGGUCAGGAAAUGAGAAGUCUUCAAGAUACAUUUUUGAUUGAUCAAGUGGGAAGAGGGAACAUAUGAUUCUACUUUUGGAACAUUAGGAGGAAAUCUGGACAAAAUCUUUACUUUGCACAUGCACUGCUUGAAAUUAUACAUGAACUGAUCUUUGCCUGAAUAGAGAAAUGGAAUGGUGAUUGACAACAGUUGCAGACCGGACUACCUCUACGCAGAUGUGCUGUUUUUCUCUCCAUGGCACUGUGGGUUCCCUCCAGGACCACCAUAGUGAAAGUAAUUUCCCCAAGCAUCAUUUCUUCCAGCUUUUAUAUCAUAACAACUUAUAUCAUCAAUUGUCAGGAGUUGAAAAUUAGAUAAAGGAAUCAAGCUAUUGAAGUAGUCAACAACUUGCAAGUUUCGAAAGUAUGAUGCUUUGCUAACUUCAUCAUCUGAAAGAUCAUCAGUUCCCAUGAGGGCUGAUGAAUUCAUUCCCAUUGAUUUGGUUCUGACUAUCAUUCCCCCAAACUGCACCAUGUCUACAUGGCUUUUAAGAUGAGUGAACAGAGUUGAUGGCCAGUAUCCAACAACUAAACCUGGUCCGACUUCAAGCCACCAGUUUCCAUGCUUAAUGUCCUGCAAAGCGAAAACAGCGUCCUAUCAAAUCCAUUUUCCUACUAAAUGAGCUGAGAUAUGAUCAAUUUCAAACUACUUAUAUAUGAAUUUGUUAAUUUAUUAUCUAUUUCUUUUCCAUUUUUUUAAAAAAAUUUUCUUUUGGGCUAGGGGAUGCAGCAUAUGGUGUACUUUCAAACCUAUGUUCAUAAAUAUAGUAAUGCAUCGUUACUAUGGAGAAAUAAAAAUGAAUGAAUUGAUGAUGACUUGGUUAAUCAACACAAUUUUUAUCUCAUGGAACACAAUUAGUUUCCUUGUCUGACCAAUUGAGCAGGAAAUGCUGAACUGGAUACUGUUAAUGUGUGAAUUUGGUUUGAUUUGAGGAAAGAAGGGGGGGAGGAGGAGGAGGAAUUUUCAAUUGAAUUCUGAAGUUUACACAAGGCAGCAUAAAACUUACCAUCCAGAUCAUUAUUCCAAAAUCAAGUUGUCUGCCACCUUGAGAUAAUCUUGGAGAGAUUGCUGCCCCUAAAGAAAUUCUGUUGCUAGUUUGCACAAAGCCUGAACACAGUAAGUUGUAGCAUCCCCUUGUGAGAUAUAGAUCAUUCUGCAGAUUGAAGUUAGCUAGGAGUCAAACUUUCAUGCUGAACACGUACAAAUGAAUUCGUGAAGAAUCUAGGACAUAUCCUUGAUAGGUACCGUCCAAUGCGUGAAGAAUCUAGGGAAUUCAUCUCCAUAUAACUUUGGGUUGAUCUGAAAAAAUCAAACAUGGAAGAUCCUUAGAUAUCUUCUUCUACCUCAGAAGACUUAAUAGCAAGCACAUUGAGGAACACUUCCAUUCCCAGAAGAUAAGAAACAAACGAUGAGUUGUUCAGUUACUAUACCUCCCAGCCGGCUUCAAUGAUAUCAGUAUCAUCAACAGGUAAGCUAAAUAUGCCAGAAAGGAUCCAGGCUUGCGCCACACUGAAGUCGUAUAGGUCUGUCUCAUUAGCUUUCCAGACAUUUAAAUUAACCUUUGCACCAUAGUAACGAUCUCCACCAGCGAAGGCAAAAGCAUUCUGCGUUGAAAAGAAAGAAAAGAUAUUCGGAUCAAAAUCCAAACCUAUGGACUUUGAUGCUGUGAUUGGAGUCUUAUGAAGCUUAGACAAAGCCAAGAUAAAUUAGGAGCAAUUUGAUUCAAGACUUGAGUCAGCCAAAUUCCAAUCAGUUUUCUAAGUAGAAUUAAACUCUGCAAAGAAUAACACUUUUCAUGUAGAAACGUUAUUUUUCUUGUUAGAUUUCUCAUUUCUGUGGAUGUUCCUUGAAGAUAGGAGAAAUAGGGAAAAUGAAAUAAUCUCUUUACAGGAGAAACAGACCUUCUACUGCAAUUGUAGGAAGAAGAAAGUAUGAGAUGAUGGAACAGUUUUCCCCAAACUUCCAAUCACUUGCCAAAAUAAAUCUGAGAAACUGACCUUAAUUAGUUUCUAACCAACCUACUGAACCAUGCUUGUGUAGUUUCUUUCUUAUUUUCUUACAUACACUCACCUCAUGAUCACUGCUAACCUUGGUUAGCUGUGCACUGAAAAAUUUUCUUCCAAAUUUGCUCAGUGAACCAGCUCUCCGGACAUCUUUCUCUGUAGUUCUUCUGAUAGGCACAGUACCUUCCGGGCAUGAUUCACCAGAAUCAGUCCAUAGUUGAAAGCUCUCUGCCAAUAUAUCACCGGAGUCAUAGCCAUUUGGCCUCUCUGGUGGAUCCUGCAUUUUACAAACUGAUAUUUUUCAGCCUCUCAAAUGAAAACUAUCCAAAGAAACUCUCAAGAAAUCAAAUUCCUGUCAGUCUAGUGUAUCAGGGUAAUGCUGGAUAGGUCAAUUUUCUCUGCCUUCUGUUAGGUAUGUGCAAAUCUAUCUUUAAGAUGGCUGAAUUGUUAUUAAACAAACUACCUGUGGCUUCUGUCCUUUCAGCUGAGGGAGAUCAAAAGCUGGUUGGAGAUGUGAUGAGACACAAUCUAUUAGAUCACCAUCAGGACUCUAUAUUAAGUAGUAAAGCAACACUAAAUCAGUAGACCGGAAAACCAACAAGACGAUGCAAAAUUUAGCCAGAAACACAACUAAAAAGAUAAACCAAGAAUUGCCUCAAUUGUCUUGACUGCUGGCUUGUUGAUCCUCCUCAGAUAACUCCUAAUCCCCGUCAAUUGUUGAAACUUUCGGCUCGCGUGGAAAGUUAGAUUAGAUAACAGGUGGUUGUCACUGGAACCGAAGACAACAUUGGGCUCAGACAAGACAGGAGUACUGGAAAAAGCAAUAAAUACACCAAAUAUGAAGAUGAUUUGAAGUAAUGUGUGAGCUGUAGAAGCAGCCAUGCUUGUUGAGUCUGUCUGUGAGUCUGUAUAUCUGUUCCAUAGUUAACCCAGUUUCUAUUUAUAUCAUGCAUUUCUAUUAAUCCCAUAACAUAUUCAUCAAUAGAUACAUGGUUUACUUAAUAAAGUUUGCCCAUCAAGAAAUACGUAACCCUCAAGAAAUAAUCCAUUAAAGAAGUCAACCUUGGAUUAGUUAGUAGAACCUUUGUCCACCAAGAAACUUAUAUUACACAUGAAAUCAUUGAAAGACAAAGUCAAACCAACUCACUACCUCACCAUUUUCAGCUUUUUUAGUCAUCUCUCUGGCUCCUCUCUGAUUCUACACACUAUGUAUUCUCUUCACUAUAAGAGUUUUUAUCAGUCAGAUCAGUGUCAUUUUAUUAUUCAACUCUCGAUUUGUGUCACUAAUUCAUCUACCUAAACUUCAGGAUUAUCUUUUUCUUUUCUUUUUAUUUUCUACCUAAGAGCUCAGUGUCCAAACGCACAAAUUUUUUCGACUCCAAAGUCCAACUUAUUGGACAUUUACUUAAGUUCACUAAUGACUUAGAUGGUUAAUGCUAUGUUUGUAUUUGUUUGAUUCGUGUAUAAGUGGAUCUAUGGGAUUACCAUUUCCAUGGUUUCAAUCUAAGAGAAAUAUAACCAAUACUCUAGCAAGAAAUCCAUAUAUAUCAGUACUUGCUGUCAUGUGCAGACAAGCAUCUUUCUUGAUGGUCUAAAUGAGAUUCAGUUUGAUUUUUUUUGCAUUUUUUGUUUAUGCGAGAGCUUUUAAUAGGUCUUGAAUUAUGUGAUAUUGUCUUGCUCGGAAGGUUCAUAGAAUAGAAUGUCAAAAACUUAGGUUGUGACAGAUGCGUUUCGUAUUCUGAUUCCCCCAUCACUGGCACAUGCAAGCCAUUUAAUAGAAUAGAACGUCAAAAACUCAUUUUCAUGUCUUGACUAGAAAUCCGUUUGGAUUAUUAUUUUUUGGAGUUUUUGAAAAAACAGUGUAUUAUAGCAAUUUGAUUUUGAUAUAUGUAAAAUAAAAAGAUAAAUAAAAAAAUGUUUUUAUGAAAAAUAUAAAUUUUUUUUUGAGGAAAAUGUCAAUCUAAACAAAGCUGGAUCGAUCUAGUCGAUCAAUAAUCCAUGGAUUUGACUCAGCUAUAUAGAUAAUCAGCGAGACUCGGGCAAGUUCCACUAAAUCAACUUGGAUAAUAAAAAUUUGAAACAAUUUUUGACAGAAGCUUUGCAACAAAGUACAGCUAGCACAGCCCACAGGCCAACAGGAUAAACCGGAUUUAAAGAAUUGGAACUCACAGCUUGAAAGCUAUCCAUCAAAGAAUCCAUAUUCAAAUCUUCCCGCCUGAUAAACCCAACAUUUUCAAGUUUCAUGGAUUGAGGUUGUGAUUUUUGAGAGAAAGGAACAAGUCUUAAUCAUGGAAGGAUUGAGAUUUGAAAGUUUUUUCUCAUCCCAAUUACGUACAGUGUGAAAGGGGUACAAAAGUUAGAAAAUAUGGUUGGGGAAGUAGAACGACUGGUGCGGGGAGAACCAAGUCCGUGAGCUAAUUAAAUUUGUUCUAGACUUAAAAAAAAAAAAAAAUUUUUGUCCCUUUUGGACCUAAGGAAAGUCUAUGAAUCAGCAGCCUGUAUGGCUACAACUACAAGCAAAGCAUCCAAUUUUGGUCCAAAUGAAUUGGAAGUCUCUUACUUUCAUCCAAGUUUAUAUAGAACAACGUCACCAUUUUUAUAAAAAGUUGUAAUUAUCUAACUAAUGUAGAUGGAUAGCAAAUUUAAUUUGAUCAUCCUGCUUGAUAUUGUACUUUCUAUUUUUAAUAAUUUUUUAUGAAUCUUUUAAACAUUUAAAUGGUAAGAUAUGCGUAUCACCCGAAUCGUAACCAAUAUGCAACGGUUAAUAAUUAUGUCCGUCAAUAUGAUUGUGAUCCAUGCAUGGCAUGAAAAGAAAAAUCAAGGCAUUGUAGUUGGCUUAUCAUUCCUCAAACCCAAGCUUGCUCUUAAGUUGAAAACAAGUUUUACUUAUUAUUAUGGUGAUCUGAGCUUAAAUGACAGAGUCCAAAUGUCAAGUAUGGAUUCAAGAACGAAAGGUAUGAUCAUAAUUGGCUGCACUUACAAAAUAGUUGGCAUGUUUUGCAGCGGACAACAUUUGAAUGAUGGACGGCUGAGAAUGACUGAUGAGGUUGCAUAAUCAAUUUUGAACACAAAGUUAGAAACUUAAAAUUAUCCUAAAAUACAACUGGAUCGUUCUUGUUUGCACCUUUGUUUUUAAUUUAGAUACAUAAAGCUGUAAUCUAUAGAAAUUCAAAUCACAUGGAGACGGCCUAAGGUUGAGAUUCCAGAAUUUAGAGGUCAUGAAUUAUAGUCUUGCUUUCUCCUUUUCACUUCUUGAAUCGGCCUUAAUAUUGUUUUCAACUUUUUAAAAUGUUACUUCAUUUCCGCCACCCCAUACAUCACGGGAUUCAUGACAGAUUAGCACUACUACCAACAUCUUCAUUAGCCAACUUUUUAGUUUCUUGGCAGAUGCUGCAUGAUCUACCCUUAAUUCUAGUUCCCACUGAUGAUAUAAGGAUAUAGGAGGCUCUGGAAAUGGACAAGUUAAGCAUGAAGAUGAAGAUGAAAGUACUCAAUAUUGCAAUGCUUUGGUUGGCGGUUGUAAUAUUUGCAGCGCCAUUGGCUCGUGGCAGCAUUGAUCAAAGCCCCAAAGCGGUGGAAAAAUGGUUCAAAGAGCUUCGCCAUGGAAAGGAGAAGAUGACAAAGCUUCACUUCUAUCUUCACGACAUCAUAACUGCUAAGAACCCCACAGCUGUAAUAGUGGCUCAAGCUAAGAUUACUAGCAAAUCACCCACGAAGUUCGGAGAAACUGUAGUCCUCGAUGACCCAUUGACACAAGGACCUGAGCCCUAUUCGAAGAUCAUCGGUCACGCCCAAGGUAUAUAUAGUUUUGUUUCCAAGGAGGAAAAGUCACUGAUUAUGAUUCUGAACUUGGUAUUCAAAGAUGGCAAGUUUAAUGGCAGCACCCUUAGCCUUCUGGCUAGUAAUCCCUUUCUCCACGAGUACAGGGAGAUGCCAAUACUAGGUGGUACUGGGGCUUUCAGAUUGGCCCGUGGAAUAGCUACAGAAAAAACCUAUGCUGCCAAUGUUACCACAAAAAAUGCUAUUGCUGAGUACCACGUCCUCGUUCUGCAUUAUCGACUUUGAUUCGAUGCCAUUUGUUCCUCCUAUUUUACUUGCUUGUUUCCUUUGUCCUAUCGAUCAUAAUAAGGAUUUUCAUGGCCUUCAUUUCAUGUUAAGGAUGUAAUUCUUGAAUAAUUUAACAAUUAAGUAAGACGAUAACUUAAUUUUUUUUUUUUCAAUCAGCAACAUCUAAACUACUAGUGAGUGCUGCGGAAGAGCAUUAGCAUCCAUGAGUGAACACCCCAAAACGCCUCAACUAUUGAGGUGAUCAUGCCCAAGGCUUAAGAAAUCCAGGCUCUCAAGAGGCCAAAAGACUAAAAUGAAGCCAGUUGUUGGGGCACGGGGAGAUAACUAUUGGUAAUGGAAAAGGGGUUACUGGAUUUGUUAAACAAUCAUUUAACCAACAAAAUUGAGGUGGCAAGGUGAUGAAUGGUUCCUGUCAAUUUUGACCAUUUCUUAGAAUGAUUAGUGUCAUAACAAAGAAAAUUUUCAACUACUUGUUUGUUGUACAUGUCCAUCUAGAACAUUUAUAAGGUUUUUACUUGUAGAAAAUUUAAUUCCUAGUGGUCUUACACCCUACACCUCGAGCUUUAGUCUCACCUCAGAGAGGGGGAAAAAAAAAAAAGCUUCGCCCAACGUUAUCGUCAAUUAGAACAUUAAUGCUCUUACUCUUGAACUAAGUUAGAGUCAAUUGGACCUGGAGGUUAAAGACCAGGUACACUAUCAGUAUGACUGCAUUUUAUGUGUUCCCUCCCUUGUGAUCAAUUCCCUUAAGAUGAGUUGGUUGUUUAGUCAACUAGUACAUGCUUAAAUUUUUUAUUGGGUUAAUUAUUAAAACUCCUCCUAUGGUUUAACCAGUUUGUACUUUAUCCCUUAACGUUAUCAUUUUCUCACUUUACUCCCUGAACCGUUAAUUAACUUUAACAUUGCAUAACGAAAAUGUCAAAAAGACGUCGAUACCCCUAAAGGCUAAUUAUAGUAAAUUCCCUAAAAGUAUAGCAAUUUUGUACUUUAUUUGCUGAUAUCAUUUUUCUCUUAAUUUACUCAUUCGUUCCUAAAUUAUUAGUCAACUCUAAUAUUUUGUAGAUGCAUAUUUUGUUGGCUAAUUAUUAGUCAACAUAAACUUUUUAGAUGCAAUAAAAAUUUUUUAGAAAAAUUUGGCAAUUCAAAUAAAUUUUAAUAGCAUCUAAGCAUAGAAGAACAACUCUGAAAAUUUUGAACUCCAAAUCAACCACAUUUCUCCUUUUUAGUAUUAUCAAUGGAAAAAAUGUAUAAUUCCAUAUAAAAAAAUCCAGCCAUUAAAAGAAAAGCUUAGAUAUAUGCACAUUUCUAAAGCGAAAUUGAUAAUAUCCCGAUCAUUUUUAGACUUUCAAAAAUAUUUUUUGCAUUUUAAUUUUUUAAUAAUAAUUUCUAUUUUUUUCCCACUAUUGAAUCAAAUUAACAAGAUAUGCUCCACAAUCUAUAAAAAAAAGUGUAAUUAUGCAACGAAAUUUAACUAGGACCAUAUAUAUAUAAUAUAAUUUUUUAUUAUUACGUUAACAAUAUUGAUUUUUUAGAUAUUAAUUGUUCUGGGUGUUAUCAAAUAUUGGAGUAGUAAUGCUUUUAGUAAAAAAUAGGGAUAAUUUCAGAAACCUCCCUUGAGGUUUUUGACAAUUUCACUGAGCUCCCCUAAGGUUUGAAAAAUUACACUUACCUCCCUUGAUUUGAUAGUUUUAGUAACAAAACCUUAAAAUAACAUUGACUUAGACAAUUUUUUAAUUAAAUACCCAAAAAUGCCCUUGUGGAAGAGUUUUAAUUUAUUUUUCUAUACAAUUAUAAGGUUAUUUAGUAUAAUUAUAAGGAAAAGGUGCCAAAUUUUUCAUGUCCAUAUCUACUAUUUGAUAAACAACUAUAAUAAUAAUUGUAUUACUAUGAUAUGAUAUUUUUUAUGGCAUUUUAUUAUGGAUUUAUAUUUAUAAGGUAGAAAAGAAAAUAUUGAAAUAAUUCAUUUAGAGUUUAUAAAUUUUUGGAGUAGUGAAAUUAUCGUAAUUUAGCAGUGCUUUUAGGCCAUUUCUUUUUGAUUUAUUGUUAAUUUUAAUACCAAAAAAUAGAAAAUAAGGAUCAGCAAAAACAUUGGAUUAUAUAUAAAAUUAACUCAUAAACAAAUCACUAGUUCGACAUUUGGUUAUAAUAGAAACCUAGAGACAAUAGUGAUAGUUCUAUAGUUUUAUUGGUGAAAAAUUUUUAAAAAGGAAUAAGGAGGAAAAAGAAUGAAAAAUAAUUUUAAAACUCAUUCUAAGUAUAAACAUACCAAAUAAGAGAAUUUCAUAAAAAUAUUUAAGGGUAAAAUUGUCGUUUUAAAUGAUAAGGGAGGUAUGUGUAAUUUUUCAAACUUCAGGGGAGCUCAAUGAAAUUGUCAAAAAUCUCAGGGGAGGUUUCUGAAAUUGUCCCUAAAAAAUAAAAAAAUUGAUAAAAAAAUGAUAUUAGGGGAUAAAGUGCAAAACAAGCUAUACUUUAAGGGAUUUUACCAUAAUCAGCUCUUAGGGGUACAUGUGUUCUUUUGACAUCACUAUUACAUAAUAUUAGAAUUGACUAACGGUUUAGGAGAUAAAGUGAAAAAAAAAAUAACGUUAGGGGAUAAAGUACAAAAAAAUAACAUGGGAAAUAAGUGGGGGUUCGGAUGAAAGGCAAAGAUAAACUUUUAUUGAAAAAAGUGGGUUAACUUUUCUAAUAUAACAAUUAAUUUGGAAAAAGAAAAAGUGACAAAUAUAACAAAUUUUAUGGGAUGGAGGGAUUAAUACUGAUUUUCAACCCAUAGAGAGCGCUUCAGCUUUUCCUUAUCCAUCCAAAUUCUUUUUUGCACUUCUUAGACACCUGAAUAUGAAGAGGGGUUGAAGAAGAAUGGGAAGAAAAUCAAGUUUUCUGCCAACGUGAGACAAUCUUGGAGAUAUUGCUGCGCCUAAAGAAAUCCUGUUGUUAGUUUGUACAAAGCCUGAACAGUGAACACGGUAAGUUGUAGCAUCCCCCAGUGAAAUAUAGAUCAGUCUGCAGAUUGAAGGCAGUUAGGAGUCAGAAACUUUCAUGUCUAAUCCAUACAAAUGAAUUCGUGAAGAAUAUAGGAAAUAUCCUUGAUAAUUGCCGUCCUAUUUGUGAAGAAUCUAGGGAAUUUAUCUCGAUACCAAUUUGAAUUGGUCUGGAAAAAUCAAACAUGGAAGAUCCUUAGAUAUCUUCUUCUACAUCAGAAGACAAAAUACCACAUUGAGGAACACUUUCAUUCCCAGAAGAUGAGAAACAAAAGGCAAGUCUAAAACGAGUUUUACUUAUUAUUGUGGUGAUGUGAGUUUAAAUAACAGAUUCCAAAUGUCAAGUACGGAAUCAAGACGCGAAUAGUAUGAUCAUAAUUGGCUGCACUUACAAAAUAGUUGGCAUGUUUGGAUUCGUGAGGACGGCUGAUGAGGCUGUGUAAUCGGUUCUGAACACGAAGUUAGAAUUUUCCUACAACAAAAGUAUACAACUGGAUUGUUCUUGUUUGUACUUUCUGUUUUAAUUUACUAAGAUGUAUGAGCUAUAGAAAUUCAAAUCACAUGGAGACAUCCUUAAUAUUAUUGUUUUCAACUUUUUAAAAUGUUUCUUCAUUUGCCCACAUCCCAUGCAUAACGACAGAUUAGCUGUACUACCAACCUCUUCGUUAGUCAACUGCUGCAGGCUUACAUUUUUUAUUUAUUAAGGUUUGUUAGUGCAAACCUUAAUAUUUUUUUUAACUUUCUUAAAUGUUUCUUCAUUUCCCUUAAUUUCACAGAUUAGCUGUGCUACCAACAACUUCGUUAGUCAACUGCUGCAAGCUUACAUUGUUUAUUUAAUUUCUGGGCAUAUGCACCCUUAAUUCCAGUUCCUAUAGAUAUAAGGAUAGAGGAAAGCUGUGGAAAUGGACAAGUUAAGCACAGAAGAUGAAGAUGACAGGACUCAAUAUUGCAAUGCUUUGGUGGGUGGUUGUAAUAUUUGCCGUGCCCAUGGCUCAUGGCAGCAUUGAUCAAAGCCCCAAAGCGGUGGAAAAAUGGUUCAAGAGGCUUCCGCAAGCAAAGGAGAAGUUGACAAAGCUUCACUUCUAUUUUCACGACACUGUAACUGACAAGAACCCCACGGCAAUACGAGUUGCUCAAGCCAACAUUACUAGCAAAUCACCAACGCGGUUCGGGGAAACCCUGGUCGUCGAUGAUCCACUGACACUGGGACCUGAGCCCUCUUCCAAGAUCAUCGGCCACGCCCAAGGUAUAUAUAGUUCGGUUUCCAAAGAGGAACGUUCGCUGAUUAUGAUUCUGAAUUUGGUAUUCAACGAUGGCAAGUUUAAUGGCAGCACCCUUAGCCUUCUGGGUAGUAAUUCCAUAUUCCACGAGUACAGGGAGAUGCCGAUACUGGGUGGUACUGGGGCUUUGAGAUUAGCCCGCGGAAUAGCUACAGCAAAAACCUAUGCCAGCAAUACUACCACACGAAAUGCUGUUGUUGAAUACCACGUCCUCGUUCUACACUAUUGACUUUGAUUCGAUGCCAUUUGUUCCUCCUAUUUUAUUCUUUUGUUUCCUUUGUCAUAUCGAUCACAAUAAGGAUUUUCACGGCCUUCAUUUCAUGUUAAGGAUGUAAGUCUUGAAUAAUUUAAUAACGCAUUAAGACGAUGACUUCAAUUUUUUUUCUUUGUUUCACUUCUAUUUGUUUGGUAUCUUUCUUGAUAAUACUGAUUAUCAGCUCAUACGGAGAGCUUUUCCUUUUACUUCUCCAUUCAUAUUCCUUUUUGCACUUCUUAGACACCUAAAUAAGAAGAAAGGUUGAAGAAGAACGGGAAGAGAGGUGGCCAUUCGUAAGUUAUCUUAACAUUAGGAUUUUUUUAUCUUCUUAUCUGUACAUGGCCAAGGCCUAGUUUCAACUCAUCUUAGAGACCAGAUUUUAGUUUUGAAUUUCGAAACUGUUAUAUUGUGGUACUCUCCCCUGCUGGAGAAAACAAGACUUUUUGAACUAAAAAAAAGAUAAAAUCAGAAGUAGGUCUUACGCUGCUUUUGGAGUUGGAUUGAGUAUAAAUUUUUUGUGCGAUAAAAAAGAACUCAAAGAAUAAAGAGCACCCAAAGGACAUAUUAAUGUCCACAGGUUCAAGAAAGAACCUUCUUCUCAUACUUGAUCAAGACGAACAAAGUAUUACUUGCAUUCCGUAUUCCUUUCCAGCAUUACAAUCUAUUAAUUUCAUUUGUUUUAUUGAAAACUAGGGGGAGUACUCGUGCAUCGCAUGGGUGUUUAGUACCUGUGGUCAGAGAGAAUUUUUCAUUGGACAAAUAAUAGUACAUUCUAAAAAAAAUAGUCAUAAAAUAUGACAAAACUAAUAAUAAUACAUUCUAGUUGCAACACACACUUAUACACUUUACUUUAUCAAUACUUUUACAAUUUUACCAUUUCCAAAAGGCUCCAACAGAUGUCAGUUGAAAAUUGGCUAAGAGCAGAUAUAGAUAUAAGUUGUUUCAGACAAAAGAAUGUCCUCCAAUGGCUAGUUAUAGCAACAUGUUAAUUGCAUAACGUGUUAAUAUGUCUUUGUGUUAAUUGCACGACGAAAACCACAUUUCAAUUGUAUGUGUCUAUAACACAAUUUCAAUAAUUAUACCAACACAUAAGUUUAUAUGAAUUGUACUCAAUGCAAAAACAGUUGCAAAAUAAUUUCAUAUUCCAGGAAUACCCAGAUGUCUCCAUAAUCAAAACUUUAAAUGUACCAAAAUGAGAGUAUUUUGAUAAAUAUAUAUAAACAUAUGCUGCCGCAGUUGUACUAACAGCUUUAAAAAAAACUACACAAUAUUCCAUAUUCCCAAAAAAUUCCUAUCCAUGCAGUUGAAAUUCAAACUUCCUUUGACCACAACUCAUUCUUAUAUAAUAUAAGGAUAAGGAUACAUUAUCUGACAUCCACCACUUGCCAAAUAUAAGAAAGAGCUCACACUUUCAAUUCAAGUUCUUCACAUUAAUUGGCUUUUGAUGUGAAAACUACUUUGAAUUGAUUCCACUGUAAAUUAUCUUUUCAUUUUCAUAACACCAAUAUUUAACUUAGAAGUCAUUGUAAAGUCAACCUAUAAUUAUUAUAUAAAGUUUGGAAAAAACCUAUGGUACUUUUAAAGAAUCAUUUCCUCAAUUUAUACCCUUUAAUAAUGAUAGCAGUCAAUAUUUUAAAUAAUUAAAUUGUUACAAUCUGAGUGUCAACAUAACUUAUUUUACUAUCCAACAACAAAUUGAAACCUAAAUGUAUGAUAUCGAAAAGAGAUUAUAAAAUCUCCUGUAAGUUUGUCCAUCGGGAAACUAGUUUCACACUUGAACCUCUGAAAGAAAAAGUCAAAUCAACUCCGUCGUUCACCAUUUUGAACUCUUUUGUUUUGAUCUUUUUUUAACUCCUAUCUCCGGCGUAAAUUUGUCUCUGACUCUGCAAAGUUUUACCAGCAAUAAGUUGUAUUGAAAGGGUAGCUUAUCUUAGAGAAAGUACGAACUCAAAAGGACUUGCAAAUUUGUUCUUCAGUUAAAGGCACAAAGACUUAUUUGGUUGCUGAUUGCUUCUAGCUUAGGAAUGAUAACAAGCGGAAAUGGAAUACAAGGCAUGCUAAUUAUUUUAGUUUGGUUUUCACUUUCGUCUGGACCCAAUAAAUAAUUACAAUAAAAAUUUUUCAUAUAUGUUGCAAUGUAAUAUACAACAUAAUUCCUUAAAAUCACCUAAUUCAUAGGGAGCACAAUUUUCCAAAUGCCACUGUUUGAAAGAUCUUUGCCAAGUGGCGUAAGCGGGCUGCCAAAGGUUGUGAAGGAUUGACAACUGCAGUCUCGAGAGAAGUGCCAAAAGCAAGAUUUUGGUCUAGUUAAAACAGGGUGUAUGGAUUCCAAUUAGAUGAAAAUAGAAAGAUCUCAAGCGACAAUACAGAAUUUCUCAAAACGAACUUGUCUCUCAUCUCCAUUUCUAAACCUAGCGACUGUCCAUUUGGAGCUCCAGCUUUUAGCAUUAAGAAAUUCACAAGAAUUUCGAUUCCAAUUGGACCAUAUUUAAAGAACAUUUCAAUCAUUGGAAUCGGGCUGUUUCAAGUUAUCUAGAGGAUUCCAGAAAUUUUGUCUUUUGGGAUUUGUCAUGUUUUAAUUGCUUUAUGACUAGUGCGAGGAAUCUGAUGAGGUCUACAGAAGUGCUCUUGUUUUACUCACUAAAUUUUCUCAUUGGCUGCAAGUAUAUAGGUCGGUUUCGUAGCACAAAAAAGCUAGGGUUGAUCCCACGGAGAGCACUUACAAUUACUAAAACACUAAACUACUUUAUUAUCGAGACAGUCACCAAUUAUAAGGAGCAAAAGCUAAUCCAGAUACAAAAGUAUGACAAAUAUAAGUGAAUAGAUGAGUUCAACUAACACACAAGUUCUGGGGUUUAGAAUCAAACAAAUGUUCUCGACUCCAGCUCAAUUGAGUGACAAAUGCUAUACUACUUGUUUUGCUAAGGGCUCAUUCACAGAGAGUAUCUGAAAUCCAAUUUCGUGAAGGAUCAAAUGUCACCGACACAUGCAUUUCCCUACUUUCAUGAUGAAAUAACAAGCAUGAUGCAACCAACUCCCUCUAGAAGAAUUGGCCACCACAUUAAUUAUGGGGUGGAAGGUCAAGGGUUCAAACCUUAUUUCCCAUCAAUGUUAUUAGGACAAAAAAAAAAAAAAAAAACAAGCAUGACGCCAUUAAGUUCAAGAAUGCCCUAAGGCCCAACUGUUCCCAGGUUCAACCAAACUUAGAUAAUCUAGCAAGUACAAAAAGUAACAUUGGUCGACUCAUUCAAACCAAAAUCAAGAAGCACGAGACAUCAUCCAUCCCUAGAACAAAUAUAUUAAUUAGAUAUGAGGAAUAAACAAAUAAAGUUUGAACUUUUGACGAAUCUCAACAUAAAUCCAAUGAAAUAAAGAUAAAGGGAGAAGAAAAUGCUUAUUCUAGUGAAGAAACAAAGAUCUCCAAACUCCAAAUUCUCCCUCGCCUUCGAGAUAUUAAGAUUACAUCAAGAGUUCAACAAAGGUUUUUUCAAGAAUCCUCUUUUCUAGAGAGAGUGUAUUCUAGACUAAAAACUACAUCCUCCCAUGUAUCUUUUUUUUUUUUUUUAAAGUCCCAAAAAAACUUCAAGACUUUUCUUUAAGAAGCUUUCUCCAAAAAGCCUUGAUUCAUGCUUUCUUGACAUAAUUUGAUGUUGAGAUGACAUAAAGUUGCAAAAAGGUAACAAAGUUGAUGUUUUGGAUCCAAAAUGCAGCUGUUAAAAUGUCCUAACUGUCAUAGAAAAAGGUUUGAAAUAAUGGCUGCAAGUUCCACAACUUGAAAAAGUUCGCUCCAGUAUCCGAUUCAAUAUCCGUCUCAUCUUUCAUUAAACGAUGCUAAAUACCUCUCAAUAGGGUUGUAAUCGAGUCGAGUCGAGUUCGAGUAUCGCCAUACUCGAGCUCGACUCGACAUACCGCUAGGAUGCUCGAGCUCGAGCUCGAAGCUUGCUCGCAGUACUCGAGCUCGACUCGCAUGGGCUCGAGUCCAUUCGAGCCUUAUCGAGUUCACUCGAGCUCGAACUCGAUGUUAUUAAAUUUUAUUUUCUUGAUAUUUUUUAAGCAAAAAGACAUUAUUGCCCUUUUAAAAUUUUUAUAUAACUUGAAACAUUUCGUAUAUUCGACAAUUCUUUUGGAUAUAAGGGUAAUUUUAUAAUAAAAAUAUAUUAAAUAAUUAAAAUUAAAAAUAUUAAAUAAUUAAAAUUAAAAUGCUCGAUAAGGCUCAUCAAGCCUUCGAGCAUCGCUUCUGGAUGCUCGAACUCGACUCGACAGCCUUAUCGAGCUGCUUGAACUCGACUCGAACUUGGUUUGACCGAAUUCGAGUCAAGCUUUUGACCGAGCUGCUCGCGAGCAGCUCGGUUCGAUUACAUCCCUACCUCUCAACACCCUUACUACUGUAAAUUUUCUGAUGAGUAUACGGCGCGGUAUCCAGCUUGAUUCCCUCUAUCUAGUGUUUGAUAUUUUCUCAGAAUCUGGUGCAAUUGAACGUACCCGGCGCCGGAUAAUUUCCUACUUCUUGAAGUUGCCGCUGAUAACAAUCCGCCCACGGGGAUACCUUGUAUAUCUGCCAAAAUGAGUUUAAUAAGUAAGUCUGUCCAGCUUCGCACAAAUUUUUGCACUUUGCUUACUACAUCAACUAGUUAUACCUAAUAAUCAAAAUGGCCAUUCUCAUAAUUAUUUUAAGCCGAAUUCAACUACAAUCCAUCCAAAAUAUAUACGAAACAAUAGGCAAUGUAUACACUUAUCAAAAUCUGCAUAACCAAAGGCACAUGUGUAGACAAGGGGAGUUUCCCUCAAGAUUAGUAGUACAUAGUCCAUAUAGUGAAAGAGUCCUCAACCAAAACACAUAGUUACAAGAUAAGGUGACUUUAUUGCACUCGCCGGCUUUUAGAAUAUAAUUAUUUUGAACUUUUGUGUACAUACAAGUUAUCAUCUGAAAGCAUACAUUUGCAUUUUAGCUACCUGGGAUCUAAUCAUGUACUAAUCUAAAUAACAAUUUUGUUAAAAAUUAACAACUAGGAUCCGAAUGUUCUAUAGUUGAAUGAAUCAAAUCAACGCCUGGAUUGGCCAUGCUUACCUUUGCAGCCGGAAUUCCAAUUGUAAAACACAAAGAACUUAAAAAGACAAGCAUGCAGUCCCCAAGAGCAACUAAGCUGUCCAUACUUAACAUCAGUAGUGAAUUUAAAAAAAAAAAAGAUUCUAAAGAAAAUAAGGUCUCUAUGGUACAAAUUUAGAAUGAGAUGUUGAAAAUUAAUCUCCGUAAGAGUGGAGCGGUCUCCUAGGAGGACUAGUUGUAAAAUAAUGUGCCUCUUUGGGAGAUCAGGCGACUCUAGUUAUUUUGAGACCCUUGGUAGGCUAGAACUAAGCAAUUUUGAUAGUAGUAUGUACCUUCAAAUGAUUGAAGCUGUUACUCCUAUUCUAAUUUUUUGGACACUUUGCAUCUCAAUAUUCUCAAAUUCAUCGCAUUUAAAUUGAAUCAAUGUCAAUGUUAGCAAAAUUAAUGGCAUAGAAAACAUUACAAAUCAAUGAUAACUUGCUGAAAAUGGUCAAACGGAUCCAAGGUACUAUAACUAGAACAAAACGAUACAUUGUUAUGAAUUCGCAUCAUCUUUUUUUUCUCGUUAAUCUUGCUAAUAAUAUUAGUGACUCGAACUAUAUAAAUUAAUGACAAUGUGCUAAAAGUGGUCAGAAUGAGCCAAGGGAUUGCAACUAAAACAAAACAAUAUAUUAUCAAUAAUUUGUACCACCAUUAAUCUUGUUAAUUUCGGUAUAACUCAAAAGCAUAAGAUAUAAAGUGUCCAAAAUUAAAAACUCAUGAUACAAAGAGUCCAUAAUUAAAGUUUAAGGUGCAAAAUAAGAAAGUUGUGCAAGUUAGAGAUGCAAAGUAGUGGAAUUAGUCCUACGAGCUUCCUACAAUAGAAAUUGGUUUGUACUUCUUUGGACUUUACGAAAUUCGAAUUAUGGGGAGAAAACCUUGGGUACAGACCUUAGUAUUCUCUUUACUUCUUUUAAAACUAAAAUAAAACAUUUUAAAAAAACAAAUUCUUUUUUUUUAAAUAAACUUCUUUAAAAGUUUCCUCAUUUUAUCCGCCCCAGACAUCACGAGCGACAAGACUACUGCCGGCUUACACUUUUUUAAAUUUCUCAACAUAUGCUGCAGGAUCUAUCCUUCCCAGGUCCUCCUAUAAAAAGGAUUGAGGAGGCAUGGAAACUGGACAAGUUAAGCAUGAAAAUGAAGAAGAUGAAGCUGAUCAAUGUUGCAUUGCUUUGGUGGGUGGCCAUAUCCAUUGCCAUGCCAUCGGCUUAUGGAAGCGUUGAUCAAAGCCCCAAAGCGGUGGAAAAAUGGUUCAAGGAGCUUCGUCAUGGAAAGGAGAAGUUGACAAAGCUUCACUUCUAUUUGCACGACACGGUAACUGCCAAGAACCCCACAACUGUACAAGUUGCUCAAGCCAACAUUACUAGCAAAUCACCAACGCUGUUCGGGGAAACCGUAGUUCUCGAUGACCCAUUGACAGUGGGACCUGAGCCCUCUUCCAAGAUCAUCGGUCACGCCCAAGGUAUAUACAGCUCGGUUUCCCAAGAGGGAUAUUCACAGAUUAUGAUUCUGAAUUUGAUAUUCAACUAUGGCAAGUUUAAUGGCAGCACCCUUAGCCUUCUGGGUAGUAAUCCCAUAUUCAACGAGUACAGGGAGAUGCCAAUACUAGGUGGUACUGGGGCUUUCAGAUUGGCCCGUGGAAUAGCUACAGAAAAAUCCUAUGCUGUCAAUGUUACCACAAAAAAUGCUAUUGCUGAGCACCACGUCCUCGUUCUGCAUUAUUGACCUUGAUUCGAUGCCAUUUGUUCCUCCUAUUUUAUUUCCUUGUUUCCUUUGUCAUAUCGAUCGUACGGAUUUUCAUGGCCUUCAUUUCAUGUUAAGCAUGUAGUUCUUGAAUAAUUUAAUAGCGAAUUAAGACGAUAACUUGAAAUUUUUUCUCUUUGUUUCACUUCUAUUUGUUUGUCAUCUUUCUUGAUAUUUUCAGCUCAUAGGGAGAGCUUUUCCUUUUCCUUCUCCGUUCAUAUUCCUUUUUGCGCUUCUUAGACUCCUAAAUAAGUGCCAUUGGGCCUUUGGCCCGUCAGUCACCACCAAGUUCAAAUGUUCGAUCUUUACCUCCCACUAAAAAAAUUAUCACAAUAUGUGACGGUCUUAAUUGCCCAUCUUCGAUGGAGUUUCUACUAACAUCGAGUCCCCCUCUCCCUCUCCCCUAAAUUAGGUUAUAUAUAGAAAUUCUACCGUUCCAACAAAAAAAAAAACUCCUAAAUAAGAAGAGAGGUUGAAGACGAAGAAUGGGAAGAAAGGUGGCCGUCUGUUAGUUAUCUUGUCCUUGGCGGUUUUGUCUUCUUAUUUGUAGAGACCGGAUUUUAGUUUUGAAUUUCAAAAUGUUAUAUUGUCGUACUCUCCUCUGCUCGAAAAAACAAGGCUUUUUGAACCAAAAAAAAAAAAAAGCAUAAAAUCAGAAGUAGGUCUUACGCUGCCUUUGGAGGUCGAUUGUGUAUAAUUUUUUCAUGCGACGAAGCAACCUCAAAAAAAAAGAAAAAAGAAAAAAGUCUAACUAUUCAAGAAUAAAGAGUACCCAAAGGAUAUAUUAAUGUCCACAUGUUCAAGUAAGAACCUUCUUCUCAUACUUGAUCAAGAAGAUGAACAAACGUAUGACUUGCAUUCCGUAUUCCUUUCCAGCAUUACAAUCUAUUAAUUUCGUUUUUUUUUUUUGUAAACAAUAUAUUAAUUGACAUCGACCACUUGCCAAAAUAAGAAAGAGCUCACACUUUCAAUUCAAGUUCUUCACAUUAAGUACUCCCAUUUUCCCUUUCGAUGUGAAAAUGAUUUUGAAUUGAUUCCAUUCUAAAUUUUCUCUUCAUUUUCACAUCACCAAUAUUUAACUUGGAAGUCAUUGUAAAGUGCACCUUGGAUUAGUAUAAAGUUAAAAAAAAUCCUAUGGUACUUUUAAAGAAUCAUCUCCUCAGUUUAUACCCCUUAAUAAUGAUAACAGCGGAUAUUUUAAAUAUAUUGUUACAAUCUUAAAGUCAAAAUAAUUUAUUUUAUUAUCCAAUAGCAAAUUGUAACCUAAAGACACUCAAAAGAGAUUGUAGGAUAUCUUGUAAGUUUCUCCGUGAAGAAACUUGUAUUACACAUGAACCAUUGAAAGAAAAAGUCAAACCAACUCCAUAGCUCUCCGUUUUUACUCCGUUGUGGUAGGUUUAACCAGUAGUAAGUUGUAUUGAAAGAGUAGCCUAUCUCAAAUAAAGUAAGAACUCAAAAAGACUUGCAAAUUUAUUCUUAAGUUAAAGGCUCAACAACUUAUUUGGUUGCUGCUUGCUUCUUGCUUAGGAAUGAUAACAGGAUGAAACGGAAUACAAGGCAUAAUUAUUUUAGUUUGGUUUUCACUUUUGGCUGUCACAUUCUUGUGGCUGAUUAAUCUCCACAGUUGGCAGGUUGGUAGGCGUAUUUUAUCCACAACGGAUCUUUUGUCUCAUUUUCUAUGCCACUUUUUAUUCCACUUUUUAUUAUAUUACUAUUUCUCCUUCAUCAAUAUCAUGUUUUAGUUCUUUUUUGUUUCUUUAAGAUCCAAUAACUAUUAGUUGAGUAAAAAAUUAAAUACAAUAGCCUCAAAAAAGUAAUAUAUAAUAGAAAAUUAAAAACACAACAGAAAAUUCAUUAAAAAAUCUCAUUUUGUAUGCAUUUUGAUUUUUUAAGUUUGUUAAAUUUUGUAUAUUACUCAAUUAAUAGUUAUUGGAUUUUAGGAAAACAAAAAAGAACUAAAACAUAAUAUUUAUAAAGAAGAAAUAGUAAUAUACUAAAAAAUGGGACAGAGAGUCGCAUGGAGGGUGGAACAGAAGAUUGGUUGCAUAUUUUAUCAGUUUCAUCCGUAUCAAUUUAUUGGUCAAAUCUUGAUUUGCAUCGCCAAUUCCAUCUUCCAAAAUUUCUUAUUUUCAUUUUCUAUAUUUAUUUUUUCUAGUCUAAGAGCUCAAAGGCUAAAUGUACAAAUUUGUUUCACUCCAAAUUCUAAAUUAUUUGAAAUUUUCUUGGUGACUUGAAAUUCAGUGCUAUGUUUAGAGUUGUUUGAUUCCUCAUAUAAUUGAAUGUAAGUGAUUUUCGUCUCCAUGGUUCAUUCUAGGAGAAAUAUAACAAAUCAUACACUUGGCAAUGCAUCUAUGUCAGUACUUGCUGUUGUGUGCAGAGAAAAAAUCUUUCUCGAUGACCUAAGUGAGAUUGAAUUUGAUACUUUCAUAGGUUUCCUUUGUUUGAGCUGAUGGCGAGUUAUUACCUGAUAGUCUUUGCUAGGAAGGUUCCUGUUAUACUAAUCAAUAAUGAGGUUGUGACAGAUUUGUUCUUCAUAUUUAGUUUGGGAGAAAUGAAAUUUUGGUCCCUAAUGUUUGUCUUAUGUGUCAAACUAAUCCAUCAUACUUCGAGACAAAACAAAUUUAGUCCAACUAGUUGUUAAUUUUUAGCAAAUUGCCAAAUUGUAUACCAACUAUGUAAAAGAGAAGAAGUUUAUGGCAAAUUAGUAUAUUUUCUUCGUCUUCUUACUAUAAAAACUAAUAUUACACAUUUAACACAAUUUUUGUUCCGUAAUUGUAUCUUAAUUCAUUCUAAAACCGUCAACAUCAGAAUUUGAAAUUUUACAGACUACAAUGAUUCAAACUCUAAAAGUUAGGAAUUCAAAGUGCAAAAUCAAAGAUGUUGACCAAUGGCGAUUUGAUUUGAGCAUAAGCCAUUGUUGGAUUCCUAUCAAUUAUCCUAAAUAUGGUCAUAACGGGAAACACAUUGUGGACCACAUUUAUUUUUAUGAAUACAUUAAAGAUUAAUUUAACACAUAAACUAUGUAUUGGGGACUCAACCUGUAUUUCUCCCUUUAGUAUUCCCCAUAUCUUGGCUAUUUAGUAGAACAUUAAACACUCAAUUUCAUGUCUUACCUAUGUUACUUAGUUUAUAUAGUACUUGUAACACAUCAUCAUCAUCAUUAUUAUUUUGCACAAUGAGUUACAACAACGAGUCCUAAUGCAUGACAUAUGGCCUUUAAACUAGUUGUGAAAAGCCAAAGUCCUAAGAUGAAUGACCGCUCAUGAAAACCACAAUUCUCCAAAUGCCACUCUUUGAAAGAUCUUUCCCAAGUGCCACAAGCGGGUCGGCAAAAGUUGUGACCCGAAUUAACUGGAGGAUUUUUAUUUAGGCAUGCACCUCUUCACAAAAGCAUAUGAUCAUAUCCCUAAGCUAGCACAUUGCUUUACUAAAUUUAGAUUUUAGAAAUUUAUUGGAGCAUCUUCUAUUAGGUAUCUCUUGGUGAGAUCAUCUCGUAUGCCUAAGGUAGUAACUGCAGAAAUUAAAUCUUUUUCUUUUUUUAUGUUAGUUUGAAACAUUAAACGAAUUAUGUCACAAUAAUACAUCAGGAUGCUUAUUACAUGUUUUGUACACUUAAUUGAAAAGUACGAGUAAUUUUAUUGCGUUUUUAAAAUAUAUGAAAUAUGAAAGUUUUUUGUAUUAUACGUGCAAACAUGUAUUAUAACUAUAAUAGAAACAUUAAUACGAGUAUUAUACAAGUAUAUUACAUAUAAUUAAUACGAGUAUUAAACCUUAAACACAUGAGGUCAGACAACUUUGAUUACAAACCUUAAUAUUCUUCCUAUAUUUUGGAAGUUUCCUCUUUCCCCCUUCUCCCUUUCCCCCCUCCCCCCCACCCCACGCACCCUAUAGACUUUUAACUCACACCAAGUUAUUUUUAAAUGCCCGAGGCAAUGAAAGAAGGCUUUUUUUUUUUAAAAAAAAAAAAUAGCAGAAGGCGUUAGUUACUUAUCCGUGAGUGAGCAUCCCAAAACGCCUCAACUAUUAGGGCAACGCCCAAAAGGCAAGAAACCCAAAUUCACACCCUUUGGCGUUGAAGAGGGCCAAAAAAAAAAAAUAAAAUAAAAUGAAGCCAAUUGCGGUCUCUCACUGAUAAUUCUUGGUGAGGGGAAAUUGAUUUGUUAAGCAAUCAUUUAACCAAUUAAUUUCGAGUCACAUGGUAAUGAAUAUAGAGUUCCUGUUGGUCAAUAGAAGAUGUGAAGGGAAGUUUAAUUAAGUUAUUGGAUGAAAGAGAAUUAAUGGUGGAUGUUUUUUAAUCAAUGAUUUUGCGUAAAGAAGAGGAGAGGUGAUGGGAGGCGAAUUUAGUGUAGGUGUUACGGAAUUUUAUAUCUCCAAUUCAGGUCCCCAAUAUUGACCAUUUCUAAUUAUCAUUAAUCUUUCUAAUUUUGACCAUUUCUUUAGGAGGAUGAUUAGGGUCUUUGAUAGAGAAAUUUCUGAUACUUUUUUUUUUUUAUAUGUCUAUCUAAAACCUUACAAAAAUUUUAUUCAUAAAAAAAAAAAUUCCUCUAGGGUUUUUGCCUUGCCCCAAAAAAUACAACCCCACUCUAACACAGUUAUAUUAGUCUUUUAAAGCACUGCUUGUAUUUGGCUUGAGGUUUUCUGUUUCACAUUUCUAUGUUGCAUUACCUUACAAAAUUUCUUAAAGUGACAAGUGUCCCGUCAUCAAUCAAGACAAAUAUUUAAAUUUUGAAUUUCUAUCAAUUAUUUCAGGAGACACAUGUCAAUUGGAUAAAUAGUGUAAUAGCAAAAGUUGUGUUAGAAGAUCUUGGCUAUCUUAUUCACCCCUAUUACGGGAAAGUCAACUCAACCAAAGAGGGUAAGAACUUGGAAGAAUAGAAAUAUAUAGUCAUUCCAAUCAUGACUACAUUUUAAGUGUUGUCUCGUAAUCAAUUCCGUAAAUUAAAAUUGAAUGUUUUAGUCAAGGUAGUAGUACAUGCUUACAUUGAAUUGGCUACAUUUCUACGAUCCUUCCUAGUUCCUAGUUCCUACUAUAAAAAGGGGUAGAAGAGGCACGGAAAUGGACGAGAUAAGCACGAAGAUGAAGACAAUACAACUCAUUGCAAUACUAUGGUGGGUCGUGGCGAUGAUGGCCAUGCCAAUAUUGGCUCAUGGCAGCAUUGAUCAAAGUCCUGAAGCCGUUAAAAAAUGGUUCAAAGAGCUUGGACAUGCAAAGGAGAAGUUGACAGAGCUUCACUUCUAUGUUCAUGACACGGUAACUGCCAAGAACCCCUCGGCUAUUCUAGUUGCUCAAGCCAACACUACCAGCAAAUCACCCACGAUGUUCGGGGCAACCUACGUCUUCGAUGAUCCGAUGACAGUAGGGCCUGAGCCCAGUUCCAAGGUCAUCGGUCGAGCUCACGGCGUGUACAGUUCGGUUUCGAAAAAGGACGCUUCACUAAUUGUGAUCCUGAACUUGGCAUUCAACGAUGGCCAGUUCAAAGGUAGCACCCUCAGCGUUCUAGGUAGUUAUCCCCUGUCGCAGAAGUACAAGGAGAUGCCAAUACUAGGUGGUUCUGGGGCUUUUCGAUUGGCCCGUGGAAUAGUUACGGCAAGAGCCAUUGCUACCAAUGGCCUGAAUGAAAUUAUCGAGUUUCACGCCCUCGUUCUGCAUUAUUGACCCUGAUUUGAAUUGAUGCCAUUUGUUCCUCGUAUUUUGCUUGUGGUGUUCUCCUCUGCUGUUUGUAUCCUAGCUAUAUAGUUUUCUUAGUUCCCUUUGUCCGUAUAAUAAAGACUUCAUGUUAAGGGCAUAAUCCUUGGAUGAUACAAGAAGUAUUGAAGUGUUUUUUUUUUUUUUUUUUUUUGGUUUUCCACUUCUACUGUACUACUUGUUUGGUCUCUUUCUUGAUAAUAUUGAUUUGCAGCUAAUAAAGAAAGCUUUUCCUUCUCUUUCUCCAUUAAAUUUUCCUUUGGCACUUCUUACUUUUUUCUUCUGUUUUUUUUUUAAAAAAAAAAAAAAUUUAGUAUUGGUUGUUUUUCUUUCUUUUUCUACCUUCGUUGCUUGUUUCAUCCUUGUAAAAGUUUAUUUUCCUGAAUAUUUCUUAUUUCGUUUUUCUUUCAGAUGCGCAAUGGUAGUAAGGCGCCUGGAAUCUUUUAUCCAAAUUUCUAAUUACAACAUCGAUAAGGUGGCUUUUGAUCUCUCCUUAGACUUUUUGCUUGCGGCUUUCUCGAUCACAAGUUCUACUUUCAUUAAAAAAAAAAAACUCCAAUUCUUGCGUGAAAAAGGCAAAUCUGCAGCUGCAAAGAAUCUUGCAAAAGGUAGAAUCCACGACUUGAUGGCAAAUAAUAAAACUUCUAAGGGACAGGAUGUCGAAUAGGUGCUGAAAAACUUCUACAAAUCACACAAAAAAGGAAAAAUAAACUUGUCUUAGGUAAGUUGGCCACCAAAAUAGAUCUAAAAUCCUUGUUAAGGUAUAAGUCGAUGGUUCAAACUUUGCACCUUACAUUUAAAAAAAAAAAAAAAAAAACUCAAAGAUAUGCCAAAACUCCCUUCUAGUCUAAAUGAGCAUGCUUUCCCUCUACCCUCAUUGCAUCUAAAUGGACGUGCCUUCCCAUGGGCAUCUCUCAUUAAUGUGGGAUUUUAUAUUUAUCUGAAAUCACAGCCACUUGCUUCUCCUCUUUUUUCAACUUUGGAAACGGUCGUGUGUGUGUCUGUGUGUCUAUAUAUAUAUAGACACACAGACACACACACACAAGAGCAAAGUUGACAAUGCAAAAGGGCUUUGGUUACUUCUGAUAUAUCAAGUUUUCUUAGAUUUUUAUUGUCAACACCGGGACAAGAAGAGGGGUUGAAUGAGAAGAAUAGGACGAGGGGACGACAUUAAUGUGAUAGUAAGAACAUUUUUUUGUCAGAAUUCGCUGAAACUGAAUUUUACUUAGACAUGCUACAAUACCCUAUUCGUUCCUCUCAAAACACUAAAGUACGAUGAAAAGAUAGAUCACCAAGAGCAAAUGCAACACCAUAGAAGAGUUCACUCCCCCGCGCAUCGUGCGGUCCAUUUUUGUUCUCUUCCCUAAGAAGGUGGAUCAAAGAAAGAUAGCUUUCUUCUCUCAUGGACUGAUGGCUGCUUAUGUCGUCUAUGUGAAGGAUACUGAGAAAGCUUCUUCCUUGUCACAAACAAGAAAUUUUAAGAAUCAAAUUCUAAUGCUAGGUGGGAAGACCUUAAAACUAGAAAAAGGAAAAGAAAAUUGAUGUUCUCAAAAGCAAAAGAAAAAAAAAAAAAAAGGAUCUCAUGUCUUCGAUUAUCUGCCUUUGUUUUCUUCUAAUUUUAGUUUGUUAGAAGUAAUAUUUGAAGUUGAAAUUUGUCUAACAAUUGCCUUUACUUUGAGUUAAAGUUCCGGAAUAUAUUAUGGUAGGAAAUCAUAUACUUCACAAUUUGUCUGUUAACAUUUGAUUUUACGGUAUCAAAAGCCUUUUCGUCAUUCAAGAACAAUAUGCAAGGAUGACAAAAAUAAAGAAAAAGAAGAUGAUUCACAACGCGAUAAAGACAGAGAUCAAGAUCAGAACCUAGUUCACGAGCAAUUUACCCAAUUUAUUUCAAAGAAAGCGAGGAAGCAGCUCUCAAGUAAAACAAUGCAAACACGUCAAGAUGUUAAACCAAAUUCCUAUGCUCACUCACAAUCCCACAAAUGUGGGGCAUCCUCAUGUGGAUGAUUUCGUUCGAUUCAUCUGUUAUGUGUUUAGAUUCGCAAAUUUUUUCAUCUGUGCGUAUUAUUGUUGAUCCUUAGUUGUCCCUUUUUACUUUAACAGAGGUCAGGUUUAGCCCCCCUCUAAUUCGCUGUACUCUUUUUGGUUAUAAAUAAAUUAAGGGAUGGCAUCUAUUUAAAAAAAAAAAUUGAUUUCACGGUUUUAGUAGGCUAUGAUGAGUAUGAUACCAAAAUGGUGUAAGACGAAGGGACUAUAGCAUUAUGCAGGCCUGUAGCAUCUCCCUAAAGUUUAUAAGAAUGUUAAAGUUUACAGCGAUUAUAUGAACAUCUAUACUAUAUACACACUAUAUAUAAAGUGGAAGGCUAGGUUUGGCGUAAACAUUUUUUAUGACUUUUCAAAUUUUCAUUUAUGACUUUUAAAAAUUUUUUACUCUAACUGCAAUCUAUUUUCAUUGCAACUACAAAAUCAUAUCUUCCCAAUAUAACUACCCAUUGACUUAUGAACAUCAUUAUAGUCUUAAAGUAAAAAAAAAAACAUAAAAGAUUAAAGUUAUGUUUAAUAAUAAAAAUUUUAUGUAAAAUAAAUUUACAUAAAAAAUAAUUUAUUUUUAAAUUACACACACAUUGAGUGUGCCCUUGACCACUAGUGCAACAGUAUGGGUUUUUCAAAUACUGAUAGAUGGUUGCCACUGUAAGGUGUUAAAAACUUUAAUAAAAAAUAAUUGUCCCAAAAAAAACAUAAAGACUUAACCACCAUGGCACCCCCAACUAGGGGUGGCAAUCGGGUCAGGUUCGGGUUGGCGGGUCGGGUUGAGGUUUUAGUAUAACAAAGAACCUGCUGACCCGAACCCGGCCCGUCAACCCGAAACGGGUCAAGGUACCUGAUACGAACCCGAAAAUUUCGGGUUGGCGGGUUUGUUGGUCGGUCGAUCUGAAAUGACCCGAAACUUAAUUUUAAUUUAUUAAUUUAUCACUGUAAUUUCUAAUAAAAUCAAAUUUUCACAAAAUUAAUUACAUCAUCAAGUAAUAAAAAUUUAAAUAAAUAAUUUCAAACCAAAUCUAAAAUAAAUUAAACACCAUAAAAGUGUUUUAUCCCAAACCAAUUAUAAAAUAAAUUAAAACAACAUAAAAGUAAAAAAUAACAUAAUAUAUUAUUUAUCCAAAUAUAAUAAUUUUAACUUCACACAAGUUAAAUAAAUUCAUUUAGGAUUAAGUAAUUAAUGCCUUUGGAAAAAAAGAAUGAUUUAGUUUAGUUAGAUAAAAUAAUUUUUAUGUUUAUUAAAUUAGUUUUAAUUCGUAAACGGGUCACAUCGGGUCAUAUCAGGUCACCACGGAUUGACCCGAAAUUGACCUGUUUUCUUUUCGGGUUCAUCGGGUUCGACCCGAUUCUGACCCGAACUCUCGAAACCUCAACCCAAACCCAUUAAUUUCGUGUUAGGUUCGUGUCGUGUUUUCGGGUCGUGUCAGGAAUUGUCACCCUUACUCCCAACAUCCAAAGCUACAACCACCAACCAUGAAACACCAUAGCCACUAAUACUUCACUAUCAAUGAAAUGUAUACAAAAGCCACUAGUACUACACGGCCAAUGAAAUGUAUACACAGCCCAAGCCCUUUUUUUAGUGCAAACAGAUGAAUUAUUAGUAUUUGUGUAGUCAAUAAGCCAUUGGUCUAGUAGCUAAAAUUGAGAUCUCAUAAAUUAGAGAUUUUGGAUUCAUUUCUUUUUAUCCCCUCUCCUAAUCCAAGAAUAAAAAUAAGUAACAAAAAAUUAGUAUUUGUGUAAGUCACAAAUGCACAGAGAGUCUACGUCACGGAAGAGAAACAAGGAUCAAAAGGAAAUUUAAUUGGGAAGGGGCUGAAAGGAUAGAUAGAUGUCUGUGAAUCCACAAUAAGUAGUCAGCUAAAUGAUGCAAAACAUACCAAAUAUUAGACAAGCUAAUCACAGUCAUGUGAAGCUACUAUUUGACCAUGUGAGACGCGUUGAAAAGCUGUCUUGCAAAGAUUUCUACACUACACAAAGGCACUAAUUUAUCAACGCCUUCAGUAACUUUCAAGUCUUGACUGUUCGAUGCUUUGCCAAUCCCUCCAUCUGAAAUAUCACCGGUUGUAAUUUGAGCUGGUGCAUUCAGUCCCAUUGAUCUGGCUUUAACCAUUAUUCCCCCAAACUGAACCAUGUUUGCAUGGCUAUGUAGACGACUGAACAGAAAUGAUGGCCAAUAUCCAACAACGAACCCUGGCCCGAUUUCGAGCCACCAAUGUCCAUGCUCAGCAUCCUACAAAAAUGGAACUUCAGUUGUAUAAUUAAGAUAGUAUAUUUUAAUUGGAGAUUAUCUGAAAUAUUAUUUAGAAUGAUUAGUGUAGCACUAUUAUGAUGUCAUAUACAUAGAUGGAACUAGGAAAUAUAUCUUGAGCGGGUGAGUUUUAAUAUACCAACACUUAAUCGUGCAACCUAAAAUCAUUAUAAAGAGUGAUUUUGGAAAUUUUUUAAUUUCAUAAGGAAGGAAAUUUAAAUUUUAUGAAACUUGGGGAGGUGAGAGCCCUUUCGCUGUCCCCUAAUUUCAUCUCUGAUGAUAUAUAUGAGAUUAAAAAAAAAGUGAUAAAAGAUGUGUUUGUAAUGCAAGUAAAUUUUACAAAAUAAUGCUAAUCCAAACAUGUUUCCUACACUAUCAACAAGCCGGUUAAUAUAUUAUCAGGGACUAGGUUAUAUAUGUCAAAUAUGCAAAAAAAAAAAAGAAAAAGAAGAAGAUAUUUUACAUUUGAACAAAAUGAGUUGAGACAUGAUUAGUUUCAAGCUACUUAUAUGUGAGUUUUUUUUUUCAUUCGUCAUUUAUCUACUUUACUCCUAUUCUAACCUAAUCUAGGAGGAGACCCAAUUGGGUCUAUAGGGAAGCCUUAGUAUUUGGUGGUUUAUAUAUGAGUUUAUUAAUUGGCACUUUUAUACAUAAAUUGCGGGUCUCGCCAAGGGGAUCCACCAUUUUUGAAAGACACACUUAUAUAGUUAUAAAUAAGAAAAAUGGUUCAAAAUGCUUUUCACAUUUGGUCAAAUGAAUUUUUUCGCCCUUCAGUUUUAAAAUAUUAAUUUUAUGUUCCUUACAAAUUUAAGUUAGCAAAAUUUGGUCGUAACCUAAGUUUUCUAUCACUUUUUUAGCCUGAAAUCAUCACGUAACUCAAAUGCAGUCAUUUUUUUAUGUACAAAAAGGUCAAAUCCUAUAUUUUUAGUGACAAAAAUGAAUUUAUAUUUUGAUUCAAUCCCACUUUUUUUUUAAAAAAAUGAAUAUGGUUUGGGUUAGAUCCUACCUUUUUGGGACAAAAAUGAAUAUGGAUCGAGUCAUUCUAUUUAACUACAAAUGGAAUCUAAUUCUUUUACCCCUAAAAAAAUCAUGUGUUGUUCACGUGAUGAAUUCAAGGUAAAAAAAUGGUCAAAGACUAGAUUGGGACCAAAAUUUAUCCAUUUGAUUUUGGAGUAGACCUAAAGUUGCUAUUUUAAAACUGAAGGAUGAAAAAUUCAUUUAACAAAAUACCAGAGAUGUUUUGAAUCAUUGUUCCUUAUAGAUAUUCUUCUUUUGUGGAUACAUGAAAUUGGCAUUAAACGGCACUUGCAAACUGCCCUCCCCACUUGCCUUUACUUGUUUGUGAUCCAUUACUUGAUAGAAGUUGUGUGGUUUUGAUGGAGUUGGGACAAAAGCUACAAGCAUCAUUUAAAGCCAGUUGUUAUGAACUAGUAACAGAACCUUAGUUGUCGCCAACAAAGGAUAAAUAAAAAAAUAAAUAAAAUCCCGAUGCCCUGACAGAGAGGAUAAUCUGACAGUCAAUUAACUAUAUCAAGAAUAGUUGGUAAGUUAGAAAGGUAUCAGAAUGAGGAUGAUAUACAGUUGUAAUGUCAUGGUUAACCAUUUGUUUGUUAGACAAAAGAUGACAAUACUCUUCCUAAUUUGAGCAGGCAAACAAUAGGGUUGUACUUUUCUUAGUUUCAUUUGUUGAAAUGCAAAUAUGUGAAUUUAGUUUGAUUUUGCAAGACAAAAACUCAGGAUGUUUCAAUCAAAGUCUGUAAGAAUCUGAACUUGAAGGUUGCAUAAGAUAGCACUGAACUUACCUUUGCAAUCAUCAUCGGUAUGUCGAUAUCAAGUUCUCUGCCAUUCUGAGUAAAUCUUGGAGGGAUUGCUGCCCCUAAAGAAAUUCUGUUAUUAGUUUGUACAAAGCCUGAACACAGGAGGCUAUAGCAUCCUGUGGUUCCAUAUGAAUCAGCCUGUAGAUUGAAAGUGAUCAGUAGUCUAGAGCUUUUAUGUCUAGCACAUACAGACGUAACUUAAGGAUGUGUAUUUGAUGGUUUACCGUCCAGUACGUGAAUAAUCUGGGGGAGUUGUCUCCAAAUAAUUUCCGAUUAACCUGGAGAAUUUAAAAAUGGCUGAUCCUUAGAUGUCUUCUUGCACCCAGAAGACUUAGAAAACAUGAUUCUUGUGUCUAGUUUACUUACCUGCCAGCCGGCUUCAACAGUAUUAAGAUCAUUACUAGUAGUAUUACCAGAGGCUAUCCAGACUUGUGACAGUCUGAAGUCGUAUUGGUCCGUCUCAUUACCUUUCCAGACAUGUAUCUUGACUCGCGUUCCAUAGAAACAAUCUUCAGUAACAGUGGCAACAGUUUUCUACAUUGAAAAUAAAGAAAAGAUCAUGUAUACUGAAUCUGAAUCUGUGAACUUUUGAUGCUACGAAAGGGAACUUCAAAGCUUAGACAGAGCCAGAAUAUGUUAACUGCAAUUUGAUUCACAAGUUGAGUUGUUCAAAUUGUCCAAUUAGUUUCUUAAAUAUCACUUUCUCUUUUGGUAAGAAUUUCACUUUUAUUCUCUUCACAAACUUCUCAUUUGUGUGGCAGUGUUCCACAAACGUAAUUAUUCUUAGGAAAGAACAAGAAAAUGGCAUGAUCUAAUUUAGGAGAGAGAGACAUCUCGAUGUAAUCAUAGGAAGAAAAUAUGGGAUUGUGGGAAGUUUCCUCAAGCUUCGAGUUGCUUAUGCAUUGAUUUAGAAAUCAUUGCCUUGAUAAAUCUGUGAAACUGACCUAGCUAGUUUCUUAAAAACUAACUGUACCUAGAUUGUUUGAGUGCCAUUUUACUACAUUUCAUAGACUUACCAGUUGAUCAUCACUGCUUAUCUUAGCACUCUGUUUACUGAAAGUUUUUCUGCCAAAUUUGUGCAGUGAACCAGCCCUCAGGACAUCUUUCAUUGUAGUUCUUCUGAUGGGUACAGUAGCAUCAGGGCACGAUUCACCAGAAUCAGUCCACAGUUGAAUGCUCUUCCUCGAACCAUGGUGGGUUGGUUUCUGUCAAAAUAUCAGCAGAGUUAUAGUUAAAAGCUCUGUCUAUACCCAGAACCAGUCCAAACAAAACUUUUCAAGACAUCAAAUUUCUGUCAAUGUGGUGUACCAGGUUAAUUCUGAAUAUGUUUUGAUUAUCUCAGCCCAUGACUAAGCAUGUGUAAUUGUACUUUUGACAAAAUAGUUUCCUUAAACUGUAGUUUCUGCAGAAACAUGGAGGAAAUGACCUGAUUUUGAGCUCAAUUACCAGUGACUUCUGUCCUUUGAGCAGAGGAUGAUCAAAAGCUGGUUGGAGAUGAGAUGGGACACAAUCUAUUAGAUCACCAUCUGGACUCUGUGUCAAAGUAGUAAGGCAAAUUGAAAUCAGUAAACCUGAAAACCACUAAAAAGACGCCAACUUUAGCUAGAAACAGUUCUGGAAGGUAUGAAGUAGAAUUGCCUCAAUUGUCUUGAUUGCUAGUUUGUUAAUCCUCCUCAGAUAACUUCUAAUUCUCUUUAACUUCUGCAGCCUUUGACUCAGACGGAUAGUUUGAUUGCGUGGUUGUCACUGGAAUCCAAUACAUCAUUUGGCUUAGACAAGACUGAUGAAAUAGAAGCAGCAGUAAUUAUAAUCAAGAUGAAUAUAAUUUGAACUGUUUUGUAAGAUCUAGCAGAAGCCAUGCUUUCUCUGUGUAUAUCUAUUUCUUCUUCUCUUAACUUUCGUUUCUCUUAAAUAUAAAUAUCACGCGUUUCUAUUGACCACCAUGACAUUGUGAACAACACGAUCAUGGUAUACUAAAAAAAACUGGUGGUCCAUCAAGAUAGCAGUAGUGCUCAAGAAGCCAUCCAAAUGCAAGAGGUCAGCCCUGGAUUACCGGAAAGUUUAUCAGUUCAUUUAUAGUACUCAAGGAACCAAUCAAAGAAAAGGUCAAACCAACUCACUGACUCAACGUCUUGAAAUUUUUUCCCCUCCAAUCUCUGGCUCUCUCACUCUUUUUUUUUCUUUUUUUUUUUGGUGGUCUUUCUAUCUCUGGCUCUUCAAAGAUUCUAUAUUUUUACAGUAGCCUCUCAAAAAUCAGUAUAAUAAAUUGUAGUCCAAAGAACUUAUUUGGUUAGCUUAAAGAAUAUACACAAACAAAAUGAUUUGCAAAGUAAUGCAUAAGUUAAAGGUUCAAAGACUUGCUUCCUUGCCGACUACUGCUUGCUUAGGAAUGAUAACAGGUGGAAAUGGAAUAUAAGCUAUUACUAAGAAAUUGUUUUUGCUUGGUUUUCACUUUUGUGUAGGUCAAGUUCUUGUGGCUUGCUUAAUCUCCAGAGCUAGCUGGCUGGUCGGCGCAUUUCAUCAGUCUCAUCAGUAUAAAUCUAUUGAUCAAAUGUCAAUUUGGCUUUGCUAAUUUUUCUUUUCCUAACCUAAGAAGUCUGGGUGUAAAUACACAAAUUUCGUUGACUCCAGAUUACAAUUUCUUUGACAUUUUGUUUAGGUAAAUGCAGCUCAAUGUGCAUACAUAUGCCGACUUGAAAAUCACUGUAAUGUUUACAAUGGUAAAUUACAUAUAACUCCCAUGUGGUUUCAUCUAUUACCACAUGACCCUCCUAACGUUUCAAAAUGUCCAUUUCAUCCCCCUAUGGUUUUAUAUAAAGUGAAAAUUUGACAAAAAACAACCUAUCUAAUGUCGUUAGUUGAAAUAUCAAUAGUGCCCUAAUUAAUUAAAUGCUAAAUCAAUUGAUGGCUUAACCACUAUGUAUAAAAGCAUAGAAAAAUUAUGUGGAUAAAUGCAAAAAUCAUAUGUGGUAAAGUGGAUAUUUAUACAAAUCAUAAGAAGAUUACAUGGAUAAUAAAAUUUUAUCACAUGUGCUUUUAAAGCACAUUUGGUAUAAAUGCCACAAGUGAUUGUGCAUUUCGUCCAUUUUCCACUUUAUAUAAAACUAUAAGGGGUUAUGUGGAUAUUUUAAAACCUUAGGAGGGUCAUAUAGCAUUAUGUAAAACCAUAGAGGGUAAUAAGUAAUUUACCCUAUUUACAAUUGUUCUACUCCGUCUUGAAAUUUAAUAUUAGAUAUUAUCAUUUCCACGAUUCCAUCUUCAAGAAAUACAGCCAAUUCAUAUAGGGAAAAUAAAUCUAUCUCAGCACUUUUUUUUUUUCCAACAAACGACAACAGAUUUCAUUAAUAUUAACACUUGAUAAUACAAGUAUUAGUUACAAAAAGGGGAUACUACCCUCAUUUCUUUCAUCCCUAACUCAAUCAGCCAUAUUGGGAAGUCAUUUUCCCAUUCAAUGCUAUGCACCAAUUUAACUACAAAAUGAGCUAGUGCAUGACUGAUUUCAUUUGCUGUUCUAGAAAUAAACACAAAAGAGCACCUAUCAAAGCCUGUUCUAAGAUCCUGUACAUCCUCUAGAAUAGUUGCAAUGCUAUACUCAUAGUCACUGCUGUUACUCUAGAAUAGUUGCAAUCUUUCUCAGCACUUGCUGUUACAUGUGCCUUAGCAGAACGUGUCUUUGGCAAACAAAAAUCUGCUUUGCCGGCCUAAAUAAUUUUUAGUUUGUCAUUUUCACGGCUUCUCUUUGUUUGUGAGCUGUUAGCGAGUCUUGUUUAUGUGAUUUUGUCUUUCAAAGAAGGCUCAUGUCAUAUAAUAAACUGAGGUUGGUGACCGUAAUGUUACAUUUUUUGUUUUCUGCAUAUGCUUGGCACAUGCAAGUCUACUCAUAGAACAUUAAGCACUGAUCAUUUUCAUGCCUUAAUUAAAUUUCUUAAUCUAAUAGACAAAGGAAGACAAAUAUUGUAGUGGCUGUGGCUAGGCUCAUCUUCAACUUUCAAGAUGGAUAACAAUAGCAUUUUGCCUGUGCACUGAAGAAAUUAAAUAAAAAAAAAAAAAAAAAAGCUUCAUCCCAACACUAUUAGCCUUUCAAAGCACUGCUCUAAUUCUCCCCUACUAUGGACAAGAUCAACAUGAAGAUCAAGACAACACAACUCAUUGCAAUACUGUGGUGGGUCGUGGCGAUGACGGCCCUGCCAAUAUUGGCUCAUGGCAGCAUUGAUCAAAGUCCUGAAGCCGUCAAAAAAUGGUUCAAAGAGCUUCGACAUGCAAAGGAGAAGUUGACAGAGCUUCACUUCUAUGUUCAUGACAGGGUAACUGCAGAGAGCCCCGCAUCUGUGCUAGUUGCUCAAGCCAAUGCUACUAGCAAAUCUCCCACGAUGUUCGGGGCAACCUACGUCUUCGAUGACCCGAUGACACUGGGACCUGAGCCCAGUUCCCAGAUCAUCGGUCACGCCCAGGGCAUAUCCAGUUCGGCAUCGAAAGAGGAUGAUGCUUCACAAAUUGUCAUCAUGAACUUGGUAUUCAACGAUGGCAAGUUCAAUGGUAGCACCCUUAGCGUUCUAGGUGAUUAUCCCUUCUUCCAGAAGUACAAGGAGAUGCCAAUAGCAGGUGGUUCUGGGGCUUUUCGAUUGGCCCGUGGAUUGGUUACAGCAAUAAUCUAUGCUUACAAUGAUACCACCCAGAAUGAAAUUAUCAACUUCCACGUCCUCGUUCUUCAUUAUUGACCUUGAUUUGAUGCCAUUUGUUGCUCGUACUUUCUUGUGGUUUUCUUUGUCGUAUAACAAAGAUUUCAUGUUAAGGAUAUAAUCCUUGGAUGAUACAAGAAGUAUUGAAGGUUUUUUUGUUUUUUCGUUUUCACUUCUACAGUUCUGCUUGUUUGGUCUCUUUGUUGAUAAUGUUGAUUUUCAAGUAAUAAAGAAAGCUUUUCCUUCUCUUUCUCCAUUAAAUUUUUCUUUUGGCACUUCUUACUUUUCCUUUUGUUUUAAAAAAAUCUAGUAUUUUUUUUUCCUUCUCUACCUUCAUUGCUUGUUUCAUGCUUCUAAAAGCUUAUUUUCCUUAAUAUUUUCUUAUUUCGUUUUCUUUCCUAAACGCAAUGAUAGUAAGGCGCUUAAUUGGGAUUUUUUUUAAUCUAAUUUCUCUAUCAAUAUUUCCUAUCUAAUUUCAUACUAAGGGUGCAUGUGAUAAAACUGAAGUUUGAAAUCUAAAAUGUGAAGUUUGAAUCCAUUAAGUUAUUGAAUUGUUAAUUAUUAAAUUUAAUACAUUUGAGUGCAUAUCACAUUCAAUGAUAAGUGAAUAGUUUAACACUUAAUUUUAAAAGCAAAUUUUGCCUAAGAAAUUUAGUGUCAUUUAAUUUAGUUCAGAUGUUCAAUUUUUUAUUAUCAAACGGUGUAAAUAUAUUAAGAUCUGAAUCUAUUAACUUUAAGCACUGAAUUGGAUUAGCAAACAGGGUCUAAGUCAUCAGCUUUUCAUUUCUCAUUAGUCUUUUUGCUUGUCCCUAUUCUCGAUUACAAGUUCUACUUUCAUCAGAUGAAAGGGGCCAAAAUAAUAAAAAACUGCAACUCCAAUCCUUUCAUUAAAAAGGCAAAUCUGAAGCUGCAAAGAGUCUUGCAAAAGGUAGAAUCCACAACUUGAUGGCAAAGAAUCAAAAUUCUAAGGAAUAGGACGUUAGGUGGUGAAAAACUUUUACAAGGCAGAUAAAAGGCAAAAGAAACCAAAAAUACCACAUACUUAUUUUGCAUCAGAGUCAUCCUAUCUUUACAAAUCCUCUUUUUUUUGAAAAAUGUUACACAACUCUUUUCUAAUCUAAGUUACUUCCCGGUUCCCAACUUAGAUCCUUUCCAAUCUUUAGCGGUGCCCAUGUCUCAUGCUCGGACAAAAUUCGCCUCGACAGGCCACUUCUCCUCUGCCUAUCCUGCAUGCUGAUGGUCGUUGGAAUCUUCAUCCAACCACUCGACCUUGCUCCCCAGGCUACUCGAGGAAAUUGAAUUGGAUUCACACCCUGCUUCUGAUCGGAUCAGUACGAUAAACAACUUUGUAUUAUCAAUCAUAUAUCAUCUUACAGGUGGUGUAAUUAUGGGCAAUCUCACCAAUGUGGGAUUUUACAUUUAUCUGAAGUCAUAUCCACUUGCUUGUCCUCUUUUUUCGACUUUGGAAACAGUUGUAAAUAUAUACAGGAGUAAAAUUGACAAUGCGGGGGCUUUGGAUGCUUCUGAUCUAUCAAGUUGUUCUCAGAUUUUUAUCGUAAACAUCGGGAUAUGAAGAGGGGUUGAUUGAGAAGAACAGGAAGAGGGGACGACAUUAGUAUAAUAGUAAGAAAGAAUAUUUCUUAUUAGACUUGGCUGAAACUUAAUUUCAGCCAGUCAUACUAGAAUAUCCAAAGCGCUCUUCUCGAAUCGCUCUAGUACGAUGGAAAGAUGUGUUAGGUAUUUUCAAAAUUUGAUCAGUUGCAAGAAGGGGCAUCUUAGGAUCUGACAUAAGAUCCAUCACUGUCUGGUUCCUACAAUGCUCAGAAGUUGUUCAAGUCUACUUGACACAUUUUCAUAUUUUUGAUAGUUAACUACUAUCUAAAUAGUGUUUAAACAUCCAAAAACUAUGUGAGCACUUGCAUUGAUAUUGAGGAACAUUUUGACCAAUACAAAUACACAAAUCAGCGGUGAAAGGUUGCAACUCUUGGUCAUUUCAAUCUCAACUACAUAAAUGUCUGGUAGGGAUGGUUUGCUGUAGAAGAUCAAUUUCCUACUACUAGAAUUCUCUGCAAAAACACAUCAUAGUUUAAGUAAGUUUAUCUAACUUUGUGCAAGAGUUAAGACAAAACACCUUUCAAAUUAUUUUAAAGGAUAUUUGUCCAAAACCUUUGCAUACAAAAUUUUGGAUAAAUAAAGUCUAAAGAAAAGUGAUCUUGAGUCACGAUUUGAAGUCUUUUUGUCUCACUUUGUAACUUUUAGUCAUUUUCUCCUAUAUUAUCCCCAACAAGAUGGAUCCACCGGAGAAAAUGCAAAAUGAUAGAAUUGUUCGCCCCUCCACGCCUUCCACGGUCCAUUUUCAUUCUCUUCCCUGCCGGAGAGGUGGAUAAAUAAGGUAGCUUGCUUGUCCUCUGGCGGCUUAUGUCAUCUGCUUGAAGGAUAUUGAGAAAGCUUACUUACCACAAAUAAGAAAUUGUAUAAGAAUUGAAUUCUAAUGCUAGGUGGACAAGGCCAUACAACUAGAAAACGUUGAAAAAUACGAAGUCCUCCAAAAAGUUGGGAUCUCGUGUCUUUGCUUAUCUGCCUUUGUUUUCUUCUACCUGUCUCAGUAAUAGAAGUCAUAUUUGAAGUAUUUGAAAUUUGUUCUAACAAUUUUCUUCACAUUGAGUUCAAGAAUAGAUUAUAUCAUGGUAGGAAACUACUUCAUUUUUUAUCUAUUAAAAUAUUAUUUGAUACCACUAGACAAAGGCACUGUAUAUGGCAUUUCAUUUUUUAUCUAUUAAAAUAUUAUUUGAUACCACUAGACAAAGGCACUGUAUAUGGCAUUUGAUGCAGGAUUGUUGCAUCUCCAAAGUUCACAAGAAGGUUACAGUUUACACCAAUCAUAUGAACAUGCAUAUAGGACUUCUCUCUCUAAAAAUGAGAGCGUCUCUCUCUAAAAAUGAGAGUUCCCCUCCUCGGUGUAGGAGCAAACACCUUCCUUUUAACUUUCGCACCACUUUCCACCAUCCGUACCAAAGUCCGCCUAGCUUUUGAAACUUUUUGAAAUUCAAGAACGCAAUUUGUAAAAAAGCAUCCGAGCCAAAUUUGGGGAAAUCCUGGAAAGAUUCAUGCUGGGAUCACCAAGGAAGUUAGAAAGCAUCGGAGAAGCUUCAGCCUAACAGUUGCGUAGUAGCUCCCCUUUUCUUUUGUUUUCUUCUUUUUCUUCGGACCUUCGGUUUUUUCCUUUUGGUUUUCUGUUGGUUUCCACCUGAUAAAAAGGAGUAGGAAGCUCAUAUGGUCAGCAUAUAACCCAUGGAAGUCCAGAACUCUAAUUAAGGGAAGUGGCGUCUUUCUCUGUUUUUUUCUUCUUCUCAUUCCGGUUUUUUUUGCUCUGUUUUUCAGCUUUGUCUGUUUUCUUCUUAUAGUCUAACGUCCUUUUUAGUUUUGUGCUCCUGUCUAUCAUCUUGUAGACCCAGGUGAAAGAGUCGUUUGUUCAUACGGAUAUAGUACUGGGAACUCAGUGUGGUUUUGGGAGGAUGGAGGAAGUAUUAGCAAAGGCCUUACAAAGAUUUGAGCUAUCGGAAAAGGAAGUGGGGGGAAUAGACUUAAGCAAUGAUGAUGUAGAACAGAGUGUGCAGGAUUGUAGAGGAAGCAUGGUAGGAAGACUUAUGGGAAACAUGAUAGCAAACUUUACUGGGGUGAAAAUUUUCACCAACCACGUUUGGGGCUAUCCCAGAAACUUAUGAGUUACUGAGAUAGGCCCAAAUGUGUUCCAGUUUCAGUUUGAAAGGGAGGAAGAUAGGGAAAAAGUGUUGGCAGGAGGCCCUUGGAUCUUGGACAACCAGGUUCUAGUUGUACGAGAGUGGUGUGCAGGCUUUGAAAAAAGAGUUGAGAGCUUUAGGUACACCAGUUUCUGGGUUCAAAUAUGGAACUUACCGGUACAUUGGAUGAGUAAUGCAGCAGGAAAGAAAAUAGGGGGAGUGUUUAGGAAGGUGAAGGAGGUUAUACUACCACCAGGGGGUGGAAAGGAAGGGAGACACAUGAAGAUAUUUGCAGAGAUAGAUUUACUACAGCCACUGGUUAGAGGGACAUUAGUGAAGCUUAAUGGAAAGAUGGUAUGGAUAGAAUUUAAAUACGAAAGAUGCCCAGACUUCUGUUACAAGUGUGGUACUAUAGGUCAUGGAGAUAAGAAUUGCAGAAUGGAAAUGAGGUAUAAUUCAUCUCACAGGGAGGCACAAUUUGGACCAUGGAUGAGAGCAGGAAACAUAAUGGUGUCUCCUCUUAGGAGUGAGUAUGGAAGGAAUCUGAAUCCAAAGGGGCAAGCUAAUAUACAAGAGGGGGUAGGUGCAGGAGGAAAAAAGGGGGAUGGGUUGGGGGAGAAAAUGUUACAGAAAGAGAUAAUGGGACCAAGAGAAGAGGGUGGGGGAAGAGAAGGGAAGAAAAAAGAGGAAACAAGCAGGCAAGAGGAAGUGAGGGGACAGGCACUAGUUAUAAGUGACAUGGUAGGGAAAGAGAGGGAGGCAAGUAGAACUGAGGAGAGGAAGGGCUUUCAGGAUAAGGGAAAGGGAAGACGGGUUCAGGAGAUGGAGGAUAAGAUAGGGGAGAUGAAAGGUCACAUGGAUUUUGAAAUGCAGGUAAGCGAGAUUGAACAUACAAUGCUGGAAAGGCCAACAAAUAGAGCGACCUUACAGCAGGCAAGCAUAAAGGAAUGUCAGGAAAACAAGAGUCAGCUAAUUUCUGUGAAGGUGGAAGACAAAGGGUAGCAACAAAGAGGCUUCCACAGGAUCAAAAGAAUCCCAUUAGGACAGAUAAAAGACGACACUCAGGUGGGGAACAAGGAGGUAAAAGGAAGAAGUCUAGAGUAAAUGAGGAGAACGAGCCAACGGAAGAGGAUGAAGAGAAUGAACCACCAUAGAAACAAGGGAGAAGGAAAAACCAGAAAAUGACUAAAAUAAGGGAACUGGAGGCAAUCCCAUCAAAGCCUCCACAGCGCAAAUGAAGGUUCUGGUGUGGAAUUGUCGAGGUGUGGGAGGACCUUGACAAUUCCCCAACUAAAGGAGGUGAUUAAUCUCCACUUUCCAAGUGUUAUCUUUCUGGCUGAGAUAAAAAAAUUAGAAGAAAAUUAUAGAAAAUGUACAAAAACAGCUAAAGUUCGACCAUUGCUAUGUGGUAUACUCAAAUGGAAGGGCAGGAGGGUUGGCAAUGCUGUGGAAGGAAGAAGUAGAAGUGGUGAACAUUAAACAGGAGAGUUUCCUCAUAGAACUGAAAAUAAAUGAUAAGAAGUUAGGGAACGAAUGAUGGUUGGUCGGAAUCUAUGCUAGCACAGAUGAGAAAACAAGAAAAGAACAGUGGAAAAAGAUAGAGGAAAAAAAGAGGGAGUGGAGGGAAUAUUGGAUUCUAGUAGGGGACUUUAACGAUAUAAGAGGUGGAGAAGAAAAAUGGGGAGGGAGAGGGAGACAAGAAGGUAGUUGUAAGGAGUUUAACAGAUUCAUUAAGGAAAAUGAGUUGGUAGAUAUAUGAUUUGAAGGGAAACCAUGGACAUGGUGCAAUCAAUGGGAAGGAGAGGGAGAAGUAAAAGAGAGAUUGGAUAGAUGCCUUGCAAGUGUUAACUGGUAUCAAAUGUUUAAAGGAACUAUGUGUAACCACUUAGAAAAUGAAGCAUCAGAUCAUAGCAUGCUCUUACUGGAUACAAACCCCGAUCAGAGAAAGGUAAAAAAAAGGUUCUACUUUGACCAGCGGUGGGUCAAGAAUGGGGAAAUCAGAGAGGUGAUUGAAAGAGUUUGGGGUUCGGAGCAUCAAGGUUCAAGAAUGUUUAAGGUGACAAGAAAGAUAAGAGAGUGCAGAAUGGCUUUGUUAACAUGGAAGAGAAAUAACAGCUUGAACUCAGGAAGGCAGAUUAUGGAGUUAAAAGAGAAAAUUCAGGAAUUAAAGGUUAGCAACAAUUUAGAAAAGAGGGGCCAAAUUACAGAAUUGAAGUUGCAGCUUAGUACAGCAUACAGAGAGGAAGAGCUAUAUUGGAGUCACAAGGCUAGGACACGGUGGUUACAGGAAGGAGACAAAAACACUGCAUUCUUCCAUGCGAGUGUCAUGGCGGCGAGAAAACAAAGGAAAAUCACUUGCCUGCAGAAGGAUAAUGGACAAUGGUGUAAGACGGAUCAGGAGCUGAGGGAGGAGAUAUGUAGAUAUUACAACCAGAUCAAAUAGAGGAAACACUGCAAGGGGUUCCCACUACUAUAUCUAGACAGAUGAACGAACACUUGAUCCGACCUGUGGGGGAACAAGAGAUACACAGAGCACUCUUCUCUAUGCACCCUAAUAAAUCGCCUGGGACAGAUGGUAUGUCUCCACUUUUUUUCAAAAAUACUGGCAUAUUGUUAGGAUAGAUGUGGUGAAUGCAGUGGUGAGUUUUUUUCAUACUGGCAACAUGCUGAAAGUUGUGAAUGAAACUUUGAUAACUUUGAUUCCUAAGGUAGAAAAUCCAAUCAACUUGACCCAGUACAGACCUAUUAGCUUGUGCAAUACUCUUUAUAAAAUCAUUUCAAAAGUGCUAGCAAAUAAGCUUAAAGUCGUGUUGAACAAAUGCAUUAGUGAGACCCAGUCUGCCUUUGUUCCGAGUAGACAAAUUGUUGAUAAUGUUCUUAUUGCUCAUGAAGUGAUGCAUUUUUUGAAAAAUAAACGAAAAGGAAAGGUUGGUUUCAUGGCUAUUAAGCUUGAUAUGUCUAAAGCCUAUGACAAGGUUGAAUGGAAAUUCAUAGGAAGAAUGAUGGUGAAUAUGGGCUUCUGUCCUAUUUUUGUUAGGUGGAUCAUAUCUUACAUAUCCUCAGUUUCUUAUUCUUUCAAUCUUAAUGGAGCUAAGGUGGGUUACAUAAAACCUAGUAGAGGAUUAAGACAAGGGGAUCCCCUUUCCCCUUACCUUUUCCUAAUUUGUGCAAAAGGUUUGUCCCAUUUGAUAAACACAAAGGUUGAAAAAAAGAUGAUGACAGGAAUCAAGGUGAGCAAGAAUAGUCCACAAAUAUCACAUUUGUUUUUUGCAGACGAUUCUUUGAUUUGCUGCAAAGCUACGGUCCAAGAGACUUAGCAGGUACAAGAGGUGCUAAACAGCUAUUCAGUGGCUUCUGGACAGUUAGUGAACUUUGAAAAAUCAGCCGUGUACUACAGUAGGAACACCCUAAGGACAAAGAGAGCAGCCAUCUGUGAAGUAAUGGGGAACUUAAAAGAGGCAACCAAUGGCAGAUAUCUGGGACUACCAAUGGCCAAGUGUUUGGCUAUAUCAAAAGUGCAGUCACCAAAAAGAUGAAAGGUUGGGCAAACAAAAUGUUAAGCAUGGUUGGGAAAGAGGUACUUAUAAAGUCAGUCAUACUAGCGAUGCCAAACUAUGCCAUGGCGUGUUUCAAAUUGCCAAAAGGACUGUGUGUGGACAUUUGCAAGAGUAUAGCCAAUUUUUGGUGGGGAAGUAGUGAGCAAGAAAGAAACUUCAUUGGGUUAGUUGGAAGAAACUAGCCGAUGUCAAAGGAAGAUGGGGGCUGGGAUUCAGGGAUUUAGAUGCUUUUAAUAAAGCUUUACUUGCUAAGCAACUCUGGAGAAUUAUUUGCUCUCCAAAUCUGCUUAUGAGUAAAGUAAUUAGAGGCAAAUACUUAAAAGAUCACAAAUCCCUGGACAACCACCCUCCCAACUCAGCGUCCUGGGCUUGGAAAAGCAUACACAAAGCAUGGGAAUUAUUGGAAGAAGGCCUAUGGAAGAGAGUAGGAGACGGAACACAGAUCAAUAUAUAGGAGGAUAUAUGGGUGAUAGGAUCAGCGACAGGACGAACCUCAACAACUUGUCCCCCAAAUUGCCACUUACAUACAGUCAGCCAGCUCAUCAGUGAAGAAAGAUGGAAUGAGGAGAUUUUACAGCAAGUUUUCAACCGAGAAGAGAGGGAACACAUAACUAGUAUACCUCUCAGUGUGUUUAAAAGACAAGAUAGAUAUUUCUGGAAUUUUGCGAAAUCUAGAAUCUAUACAGUCAAGACAGGUUAUGCGAGAGCUAUGCAGGCCAGCAAUACAGUAAAGAGUAGACAAAAGCUGGAGGGGAAAACAAGCUGGGAGAUAAGGAAGCAUAGUGUUUGGAAACAACUUUGGAACCUGAACUUAAAGCACAAAAUCAAACACUUCAUCUGGAAGUGUUUGCAGAAUGGUAUAGUUGUGAAUGAUGAUAUCUACAAAAGAACUGGAAAAGGGGAUAAGGUCUAUACAAUUUGUGGAGAAGGUGAAGAAACAGCUGAACACAUGUUUUCAAUUGCCUAAGAACACAACUGGUGUGGAAAAUAGCACCGGUUAGAUGGGAGGAGCUGAGAGACUUACAGAGCAAUUUGUGGAGAUGGUGGGAGGCGGUUGCUCAAACAGGUUCAAAGGAGUUAGGGACGGAACAUAUAGUUUUGACAGCGAAUAUUCUAUGGCAAAUCUGGAAAGCACGGAACAAGAUGGUUUUUGAACAGCAAAGGAGUGGAGCAAAUGAUGUAGUCCAGAGAGCACAGCAAGAAUGGCUCGAGUACGAUGAUGUGUGGCAGCAGGAAGGGGCAAUCAAACAGAAUGAAAGGGCUGGGAGUCAGAUGGAACAGGUGAUGGUACCACGAGCUGAAGGAGUCAUCCGAAUCAGUACGGAUGCAGCACUCAACGCAAGGAUGAUCAGAACAGGAAAAUGAAUCGUGGCACGGCAUUGGACAGGAGAGAUAAUAAGAGCUAAAGGAGUAGUAGAAUGGACGAAAGGUGAAGCUCUAAUGGAAGAAACAUUAACCAUUAGAUUAGCUCUCCAAAUGGCACGGGAAGCCGGCUGGAGGAAGAUAGCUAUCCUAUCAGAUUGCAAGACGGCCACAGAUCACAUUAGAUGCAACAAUGUACAAGAUGGGACUCUAGCAAACAUCUUGGAAGACAUUGCGGAUCUAAUACAGGUUUUUGACUACUGCACAAUAUCUUGGGUGCCUAGAACAUUGAAUAUAGCAAGUCAUAGGCUAGCACUUUUUGCAUCAAAACUAGUUAAUGACAUCGAUUGGGAAGGUGACUUUCCAUGUUGGCUGAUAGAAGCCAAUAGAUUAGAUGAACGGGCUGUUGCCCCUUUUGUAAGUAUUCCUUGUAGUAUCAAGUGUUAAUAUCUAUAAAAGCUAAUAUCGUUUGUAGAAAAAAAAAUAUGAGCAUGCAUAUAAAUAGAACAUUUAUUACUAUUUUUUCAAGGGCUAAUUACAAUUUACCCCAUGUGGUUUAGUGUUUUAUUACAUAACUCCUUAUAGUUUCAAAAACUAUACAUAACCCCUCAUGGUUUAGAUUAAAGUGUCAAAGUGACAGAAAUUACAAUCCAUAACGGAGUCAACUAGAACAUUGAAUAUAGCAAGUCAUAGGCUAGCACUUUUUGCAUCAAAACUAGUUAAUGACAUAGAUUGGGAAGGUGACUUUCCAAUCUAUAAACGGGCUGUUACCCCUUUUGUAAGUACUCCUUGUAGUAUCAAGUGUUAAUAUCUAUAAAAGCUAAUAUCGUUUGUAGAAAAAAAAAAUAUGAGCAUGCAUAUAAAUAGAACAUUUAUUACUAUUUUUUCAAGGGCUAAUUACAAUUUACCCCAUGUGGUUUAGUGUUUUAUUACAUAACUCCUUAUGGUUUCAAAAACUAUAAAUAACCUCUCAUGGUUUAGAUUAAAGUGUCGAAGUGACGGAACUUACAAUCCAUAACGGAGUCAACUAUAAUUUCAAAAAUACCCCUAUAUAAAGUUAAAAAUUAUUUAUUAACCACACGGGGUUAUGUAUAUAUAUUAAAAAUCAUAAGGGAGUUAUAUGGUAAAUCACUAAAGCAUGACAGGGAUUAUAUGGUAAAAUAUAAAAUCAUAUAGGGUUAGAAUGUCAUGCAUAUUAUUUUUAUAUAUUUUGGUCAUUUUAGUUUUAAAACAAAGGUAAUUUCGAUAUUUUCAUAGGUUCCGUUAUAGAUGAUCAUUUUUAUCACUUUAGCUUUUAAAACUAGUGGGAGGGUUACAUAUAAAUUAGUUAUACCACAGAGGGAUAAAGUAUAAUUUGCCAUUUUUUCAAAUAAUGCUAGAUGAUUGCCACCGGAAGGUGUUAAAAGCUUGAAAAAAAAAAUUGUCGACAGAUGAAAAACCAAAAAGACUUGACCACCACGCCAAGAUCACGCGUGAACAUCCAAAUCAAGGAGAAAUUUCUAAAAUUAUUAUGAUUUUUAAAAAAAAUUCUACAAAGGGGGUAUUUUGUGUACUGGUUUCUGUUUUUGGAGUCUUCGCAUUCAUCAAAUGUGAGCUCAAGGAACUCGCAUUUGAUGAUUGCGAACUCUCCUUAAAUUUUCUACCACCGAAAUUAAAAAAAAAUCAAAAAAAAACCGACCUCGCAAUUCACAAAUGCGAGUUAUAUGUACCUCGCAUUUCUGAAAUGCGAGGUCAUGUACCUCGCAUUAAACCACAAAACCUCCGUUGUCCAGUGGGCGCUGCAAGCUGCAAUUUUACAGUUAUGAUUAUUGCUAGUGAUCAAGUAUUCACUAUGUACCUAUGUUGUUUGCUUUCCAAUAACAGGAUUCCAGAUUUUGCCUAAAAAUUUUUCUUUUUGCUUCAGUUGUAAUGCCAUUUUCUCUUGCUUUAUGAAUUCAUUGCAAAUUGUAAAUGCAAUGCAAAUUGCUACAAAUUUUACUACUUAAGUCUCUAAAUUCAUCACAACUGGAAAAAAAAAAAAAAAAAGAUCCCAUAAUAUUGACAUCAAUAGUUGAUAAUAAUUUGGGGGAAUAAAUCUUAACCAAUCUAGCAAGCUUUUUGGUUGGACUUUAUCUAGCAUCCGAUAAAUACGAAUUCCUAGAAAAUUGCAUAAAAAAAUUCUAAUAAUUUUUAAAUUUGUUUAUUUGUUAAAUUCAUUCUUAAUAAUUUACCAUAAACUCUUUGUUGUUAAAAAAUAUAUGUAGCUGAUGUUGUAAAGUGUAUUAAUCUAGUACGUCAACAAUUUUUGCAAAGUGCAUUAAUCUAGUAAUUCAAUAAUUUAAGUAUCUAUAAACUAAUUGAGAAUUCGUAGUUACUCAACUACUUAUAUUAAAAGUAACAUAUUAUAUACCACAUAAAAAAGAAAAGUUAGCAAUUAUUAUUUAUAGUGAAAUAAAAAAUAAGAAUGAACAAGAAUAGUAUUUUAUUAUUUUGUUAUUGAUACUACUAAUAAUUGAUUAAUCAAUUUCUCUAAUUUGCUAUUAUGUAGUGGAAAAGUUAAAUUUCUUAAAUGACAUUUAUAAUACAUUUAUAAAUAGUUGUAAAUAAAUGUAUUUAUGUAUUGAUAAAAAAAUCUGUAAAUGUAUAAAUGUAUUAUAUUAUAUAUAAUACGUAAUAUAAAUAUAUUUAUAAAUGUAUAAAUUAUAAAUCAAUAUUAUAUAAAUCUAUAAAUUAUAAUUUAUAAAUAUAUAUUAAUAUUAUGUAUAAAUGUAUAAUUAAUAUUAUUUGUAAUUAUAAUUUUUAUUGUUUAAAUAUUUAUAUACAUUUAUGCAUUUAUAGCAUCAAAACUUAACUAAUGAGAGGGAUUUAUUCAUACUCCAUUUUAUUUUAAUAGUGAAAACGCCUUUUUACGCGAAAAUCGACAUUUUUAGGUGAAGAUUCCUGGUUACUCAACAUUUCACUUAUUCAAAUUGCUAAGCAUACUCUUAAUUCCGAUACUUUUUUACGCGAAUGUCGACAUUUGUAGAUGCCAACCCCGGUUACUCGGUAUGUGAAUCAUUGGAGUAGAAGAUUAAUAUAUAUAUUUUUUCGCUCUCUCUUUUUUUUUUUUUUUUGAAAUGAUUUCUUUUCCCUCUAACAUCAUUAAAGGAAGAAUUUAGUCUUGUUUUGACUAUAUCAAUCACUUACUUAUAAAAUUAAGUGAAAAUGAGAAAUAUCAUUAACCUUGCAAAUUUGUAAGCAUAAUUUUUCUUAUUUAACCGAAUAUACUUUCUAAGCAUAAUAAUUCUUUCCAAACAAAAUAAGGACUAAACCUUCCACAAUACAUAUAGCAUUCUAUCCAAUGGAACAGUUUGAGCACUUACAAUGUGAACAUUUUGGCCAUUAAUAUUGGAAACUAUUUUUAGAAAAAUUUUGACAGAGUUCCCCAUAAAAAUGGACAAAACUCCCUGCCAACAACCUCAAGACAAUAUUUCCAAAUAAAAGUUUAAGCCAUAGACAAUCAAAUUCAUGCAUUUCAAGACACAAUCACCACAAAAUGUAUGUAAUCCGUCCCCCACACUUAAAAUCUACAAUGUCCUCAUUGUAGAGGAAGGUACAAGAAAACAAAACUUCCCACUUGGUAAGUGGUAAUGCAGUUUCAAGCCCUUAAUCCUCACGACCAUCCAAAUUCAGUCAUGCUUGAAACAGCAAGGGUACUAAACAGUAUAAGUAGUACAAGAAAAUCCAAUAAGAAAACUACAAAGUUUGAACCGAACACAAUAAAAGAAAAAUAAAGCAAUAAAAGAUGGAAUCCUCGAAAGGUCUUCAUGACUUCGCAGAACGAGGGUCUACUACCUCCUCAGCUCCCUGAGAUGUACUACUAGGCCCCUCCUCUUGAUGAGGGGUAGGAGUAGGUGAGCGGUGAAUGUGGAAAUGAUCUUCCAUCGCUCGAAGACGAUGAUCCUGUCUGUCUAGUCGCUCAGUCAUCAUCCGCUCGGUCUGGUCAAUGCGCUCCAUGACACAUGUCUCCAUGCAGCAUAUGGCAUUGAGGAUCUCUUGCAACUUGGAUCGCGGCGGAGGCGGUGGUCGUGGAGUGGGAGGAGGAAGGGUCUGCUGUGCCUCCGUCUCUUGAGCUUACUCUUGUUGUUCAGUGUGAGGUGGAGGCUGAGUGGAGGUCGAAGCUUCUCCUGUGUCCCGAACUAGAGCAGCUCCAAAAUCCGUAGGAAUGCCUAAAGCCUUGAGUAUAGAGGCAUUGACCUCUUCAGCAGACCGAGUCACCACUGCUCGUUCGGUUCCAAGAGGAACCUUGAGCUUCUCAACAAUGAGGGAGAGGAGACGGGGGAACCCGAAACAUGUAUCACCGGUCCUUAUGCAAGCUGUGGUUCUCAUGUAACUGAUAAUGAUGCUGGGCAGAGGAAUUCCAGUCAUAUGAUUACCUAUACCAUGCAUCAUUUUAUCGAGGAAGUAUAGGUCACUGUUGCAGAGCUCCCGUUUUUCACUCCGUUUUGGUACCACAUUGAAGGCAAAAAGAUAGAAAAUCAGGUAUGCUCGAAGGAAUCGGCAUAUACGGUGAGCUUUUUCGAACUUUCUCGCUCACGGUAUUGACCCUUAAGACGUGCCACAGCUUCUCCCACUUGCCACUUGCCAUGGGUCACGUGCCUUGAACUCCUUAGUCAAUUUGAUAUCUUCUCCUGAGUCUUUGAGUUUGGCCCACCUGUUAACUUUGUCUCGAGUGAGAGCCACUCGUUUGCCUCGGACCCAAGAUUCGAUCAGAUUGCCACUAUGGCUCUGUUUGUCUUCCACAUUGGCAUAAAACUCUCGAAUCAGGUUAGGAUAGUAAUGCUUGGGCAACUUGAGUAUGUCCUCCCAACCAAGUCGCUUGAAGGCCGUGGAGAUCUUGUAAUGGUCAUCCACCUCCGGCGCCAAAGUGCUUCUCAACUAUUAUUUCUUUGUCUAAACCGGCUUCGUACCACUGCUGAUUCUCGAUUGAUGUGAAACGUGUGGUAUCGUAGUCCGGAGGUGGUUCGUCACGACUGGUAGAUGCCGUCUUACGCCUAAAACGAGGUGGGGACUGAGGAGAAGGGGAUUCCUCUUCAGGCGACUCCUCUUGUAAAGAGGGUGUAUGUUCCUCACUCGAUGAAGGUGUAGGAGUGCGAAUCACUGUCCUUCGUGUGUGAGCCAUGAUGCCUGGAUUACAAACAAGAUUCAACACAAAUUAGAAGCAAUACAAAACAUAACAAACACAAUUGUCUUAAUGAGUUAAGAAAAUUUCGGCAGAGUUUCCCCUUGAAAAAGGGCUAAACUUCCUACCAGCUGUAUCCAAAAACAAGCACAGAACCUGCUUAAAUCAUUUUAGAUACAGUGGUGGGCAUGUAUAAUAUGAAUUUCAAUCCUCAUUGUCAACACAUGGUUUGAACAAUCCACUUUUCGAAUUUGUGAAUCCCAUCUUUCAAUUAGAAGCUCAUUUAAAAGUCCAAUCUCAUGAGAAUUGAUGCAUAUUUCAACAAUAGAGUAUAAUCUCCAAGUGAGUAUGGCCUAUUAAUUAAUACCAAAUUACGAACUAAUGAGCUAGCAUUCUUCUUUAUGAGUGCCAAUUAUCUCUAAGAAUAAGGAAUAUUCAAUCAAAAAUUUCACAUGCUUAAGCUUAAAAGUUUAGAAAAAUAAACAAACAGAUGACUAUAAUAACAAUUUUGUCAAUUUUAAGCUUACAAGUAGUUGACAUAGAGAAGUAAGUUCAUGCAUUUAAGAGUUCAUGCGCAUAAAGCUAAAAAUUAAGAAGGAAAAGCUACACAAUAAUACCAAAUCCACAAAUCCAAAAAACCAAGGAUUAAAAUAGUUGUAACAAUCUAUUUAAACAUAAUGUAGCACAAUUCUAAAUAAAAAUUACAACAAUUAAACAAUUACCAAAAUAUUCACAAAAAUUAAAAAAUAAUGAAAACUAGUACGUGCCUUAAAUUGCAAAUAAAGUUGUAAAUUGUUACCUCAACUGUGUUCAAUGAUGGAGGAAGAUGAUAAAGAUGCAAAAAGUGAAACAUAAACGACCCAAAUUAGUCCCCAAAUUAAAGAAAUGGAUUUCGGCCCUAAGUUUUUGUUGAAGAUCAAAACACCUCAAAUUUAUGUUUUUGAUUCUAGAAAACUCAGGGUUUAAGCUCAAAAGAGGUUGAGAAAUGGUUUUAUGAUGAAAAAGCAGAUGAUAAUUGGUCGAAGUGGAAGAUUGGUGAGGGUGGGGAAGGGUUUCGGUUAGAGAAAAGAGAGAAAACUGAAAAAAAAUGAGGAACCGAGCCCGCGGGUGAAUUCAUAUCGUGAACAAAUUCGAGGUCGGAUCUAACUGAGUUUUGUUGGAUCCGAGGUCGUAUUCACAAUGUUCAGGUUUUGAGUUCGACAGAUCCGACCUGUCGAACUCAAAACCUGAACAUUGUGAAUACGACCUCGGGUUUGUUGGUCGGAUCUGUUUUAUCAUCCCUCUGAUCGAAAGGGCUCGGAUCAUCUAUUGCGGUAGUUCAGACGAGCCCUCGGAUCUAUUCGAGUUUUGUUGGAUCCGAGGUCGGAUUCAUAAUUUUCAGAUUUUGAGUUCGACAGAUCCGAGGUCGGAUCUGUUUUAUCAUCCCUCGGAUCUGAAAGGGCUCGGAUCAUUUAUUCCGGUAGUUCGGACGAGCCCUCGAAUCUAUCCAAGUUUUGUUGGAUCCGAGGGCGGAUUCACAAUUUUCAAAUUUUGAGUUCGACAGAUCCGAGGUCGGAUCUGUUUUAUCAUCCCUCGGAUCCGAAAGGGCUCGGAUCAUCUAUUUCGGUAGUUCAGACGAGCCCUCGGAUCUAUCCGAGUUUUGUUGGAUCCGAGGUCGGAUUCACAAUUGAAAGCCAUGGGUUCCAAUGAUCCAAGCGCGGAUCCUUUUUUGGAUCCGAGCUCGGAUUGUUUCGUUUCUGCAUCAUUUGCAGAAACUGCAAUUUUUUUCAAACUUUUUCUCCCAUUUUCACCAAAUUUCGAAAUACACAUUUGACAACCUGUUCAUCAAAUCUAACCCCCCACACAAGUGUAAUAUACCAAAAACACAAUAUCCAACCUAUCAAAACACAUCAAACAUAUCCACAUUGCAAAUCAAGGGGUGAGGUUCUUUGAUCUUUUUUACACAUUUACACCAAAAUGACACCUUUAGGUCCCGUAUGCACAUUGAAUGAGUCCAUGAGCAAUUAUAAACAUGUUAUCACCGGAACUCACUUGAACAUUCAUGAAAUGCACAUUGUAUAUGCUCCAUGAAUAUAUAUAUAUAUAUGUUUAUAUAUAUACAUCUACUAUCUUUUGAAAAAAUUUUGACAGAAUCUCCCCUUAAAAGUGGACUAAACUCCCUGCCAGCAAAUCCAAAAUAGACAACAUUUAAUCUAAACAAUAUUUCCGACAACUUGUCCAAAUACAAAACACAAAACUACUACAAGUCCCACACAUUUUUCUCCCCUACACUUAGAAUAAUAUUCAUAACAGGAGCACACAAUUAGAGUUUUGAAUAUCAAUGAUGUCCAAGUUUUUCAUGAGUGCCACAUCCUCUGGGUUUGUGUGCUCUUUGUGUGCGACGUGGCUGGGCUGGCAUCACCAUAUCGACUUGCGUAAUCUGUGACUCAAGUCUUUGAUCAAGUGCUUGGGUACUUUGGCCUGCAUCUGUACCUCCCACAUGUUGUUCACCACUGCCAUGAUGCUCAUCUGUAUUGGGCGUAAACUCCUCCAUAAGUACUGAGGACCUAAAAUGACCAAUAGGUCCCGUAGAGGUGCCCUGGUGCUCAGUAGCCUGUGACCUUCCAUCAAAUCCAGUUUGGACGGUGGGUUCUGGUGAUCGGAAUCUACGACGGCGUCCACCGCCAUGCUGACCUCCGUGAACAUUCUUAGGAGCUCUUUCAACGCGACGGGGGUCAGCUGGCAGUGGAAUUUGCUGUGGCACUCGUGGAGGGCGAAAUGCAAGUCGGGAUGACUCCCCUACAGUUUCUAAUGUCAUUGAUGCAAAGUCCUUCAUUGCAUUAAAAUAAUUCGCGUGCUGUUCGUCACUCUAUGUUAGAGAGGUCUCUGCCAUGUAAUACACCUGAGCCAUAGCAUCCAUCUGGAGUGCAAAUAUUUGAAUGAAUAAGGAUUAAUAGAGUUAAAUCUAUAUCGACAACUUGUCCGGGAAUCUAUUUCACUAGUUGUAAGGAAAACUUACCAGAUAUUAUGCUCUGGCGCUAUCACCCUGAAAGCCCUCCGGAAAAAUGAGUUGCAUAGUAGGAUUUGAAACAUAUAGCACUGUCCGCUCGCGAUACCACUGUCGAUACUCAUCGGAUGGAUAUGUAGGAUCUUCAACUACAACACCAUCUUCCACAUGUGAAUGACGAUUAGUCCACACCUCAACAUAUGCUCGAUGUGCAGUUAACCAGUCUUGGUUCCCCUUGCCACGACGAUCAAGAGAAUGCAGUGCCUGUUGAUUUUCGGUCAAUCUUAGAUCAGGCACGGGCAGAUGAUAUCCGAACUGUCUCAUAACCCGAUUCGGAAGAUGUGGCUCGACAACUUCCCAACAUAUGAGAUACAUGACAUAUCUCCAAAUGCGGCGUCCUGCAGUACAAUAUGCAGGCAGAGAAGCGAGAAUAUCGUCCGAGUAUGGCUGCUAUAUGAACUGCAAGACCAAUAAUUAUUCAAUGACAUAACCUUCAACCAACAUAUGACCCUAAUUUUAAUGAAAAAAUACUCCGAUAUAACGGCAAAGUCCAAUCACAAAAGCAUCAAAGGAUGUUAGUGUACCUCUCGGGCACGUAAGCCCGUCAACUGAUCUCGAAAUAUAGAUACAAUAUGUCUUGCCACUCUGUGUACAUCAAAUUGAACAUUCCACCUGCAGGAACGAAUUCGAGCCGUUGUGUCUUAAAGGCGUCAAUUGAUUUGUAUUAGUAUUAUAGACAUAUAUUUGAUAUACAUACCGAACUCCAUAUGGAUCAGGAUAGUGCUCUAAUGGAUGCACUCGAUCAGGGCGAACUGUUGGUAUACAUUCCCACGCCCAUAGCUGUAAUUAAAUUGUAUUUGAAUAUAUUAAUUGAUCAUUUAUAAUUCUAUAGUUAAAUCUAGACACGUUGAACGAGACAAAUGUACCUGAAGCAAUAUUAAUGGUCCCGCAAUGGACGAUUUAGAGGAAGAUGUGGCGCUACACAAUGAUCAAUACAGAGUUGCUAAUAUCGCACUACCCCAACUAUAUUGCCCAACAGUUUCCAAAUCUCGUAGUAAUGGCAUAUACAAUAACGGGACUUUAUUACCAGAUUUAUCUGAUAAUAAAUGACCGCCUAAUAUCAGGAGCAGGUAUACGCGGGCCCCUGUCUACAUUGGACAUCCGAAGCAUCGGGUGCCAACCCUGCAUCUAAUACUCUAGAUAAACACCCCAAUUUGAGCUGUCGCCCAUCAAAAUCUGAUAUCGUUGGAGAAAAAUCAAGCAACUCCUCACAUAAAUUCAUCCACUCCUGAACACUAUAAGAUAUAUCUAUCCCUAUAACUGGAGAACCAUCUAUGAUAGACCCCACAGAACCUCAACAUCCUGUAAGGUAACUGUAGUCUCUCCAACGGGGAGAUGAAAUGUAUGAGUCUCGGGCCGCCAUCGCUCCACUAAACUAGUGAUCAAAGCAUGAUCGAGCAUCAUAUAUCCACAGUCAAGCACCCCUUCAACGCCAACCAAUCGAAUAUAAUGCCGAACAGUCUCAGGGAUAGGUGUAUGAUCCCAAAAAUACCUAUCACAUCGUCUGACAUCAAACUGAUCACCUAGAAUGUGCCCGUCAAAUAUAGAAUGUGCCUGGUGUGCAGUGCCUGCUGAGAUAAUAUCAUACACAAAUGGGCCCGGAUGCAGGACUGCCCCCGUAGGAAUGUCGGCCAUACCUCUGACAACAAUAGCUGCAAAUACAUUAUGUAACAUAUAAGCCUACACACAUUUGAAUAGAAGAAUAGGAGUUUCUAAAACUAAUGCAACACUUUAAAUACAGACCUGCUAAAAACAAGGUCAAAAAUAUGACCCGAUUGAAACAUUGAUCAACAACAUAUAUCUCAUAAAUCAUAUUAAUUCCAUAAUCCAAAAAAUUACAGAUAUCAUAGUACACUGGUUCCUAUCCCUAAAACUGAUGAUAUCAAGCACUAAAUUUUGGACAAUUUCUUCUAUUAUGACCUGAUUGAUGACAAUUUGUACAUCUUCUUGGCUCCUCUGGGUCUCUCUCAUCCAUCUCAUUCCGAAUUCUUCUAGCUCAUACCCUUCCAGCCCGACGUGCAACAUAUUUACUAUUAUCUGCCCGUAGCUCCCAAUCUGGUUGGAACCAAGUAUCCGGAUAUGGCAAAGGGCUAAACUUUCCUGAAUACUGCACCGCCCACCGUCUUUUUGUAAAUUGGAGAUCUACAAGUGCACCAGGAUUAUCACCUCGGUGCCUGCACACGGCCAUCACGUGCGAACAGGGAAGUCUGUAGCACUGCCACUUACCACAAGAGCAUGUUUUAUCAAAAUACUUUACCGUUAGUGUAUUACCCCCUUUGCCAUCCACACGUCUACCAGUCACAACUUUGUACACCCCCGAUGAGCCAUCGAACUCAACAACCCUAUGGGUUCCCGCUUUCAGAUCCGAAUUCUUAAACCGCCGCCAUAUCUUUGGAGGAAAUGGAUUACGGCAAUGUCUAACAUCCUCUCUUCUUAUUUUAAACAACUCAACUGUCCGAUGAAAUGUCAUAUCAAUACAAGCCCGGAUAGGCAAAUGACGUGCUCCUCUAAGUACAUUAUUAUAACUUUCGGAAAUGUUGGUUGUAAGAAUACCCCAACGGUUCUCACCGUCAUGUGUUAGACACUACUUCUCAGCUCCAAUGUUAGACAGAUAAGUCCAUGCAUCUGGAAACAUGUUCCUCAAUUCUCGUUUGAAUGCCCGCCACUUGCGCAAUUGUCUGGCUUUUCCCAUUGCCCAACAUAACCUUCUAAGGUGCAAGCCUUUGAAGUGAGUCAUUAGGUUACUCCUAACGUGUCGUAGACAAAAUCUAUGAAAGGCCAAAGGUUCUUGCCAAUAGUCAUAAUGUGUCAUGGCAUGGAUGAUACCAUUAUGCCGAUCCGAAAUGACACAAAUAGGAUACCGAUCACGGGCCACAUUGUAUCUUAGUUGUUCCAUGAACCAAAACCAACUAGAAAUAGUUUCUUCGUCGAUAAUGGCAUAGGCUAGCGGAAUAAUCUUGUUGUUGGCAUCUUCCGUUAACUGCAACAAGUAGUUUGCCUUUAUAUUCGCCUCGCAGAUGAGUGCCAUCAACACAUAUAACCGGUUGACACAUGUGAAAUGCAUCAAUAGCCGGUCCAAAAGCUCAGAAGACAUACUUAAAUGUCUUCACACGAUCCGUACUAUCAGAAUGGUGCAACCACCUGAUCACAGAUCCCUGAUUUGACUGCAUAAGUGCAUCAACAUAUUUCGGUAGUUCAGUAAAAUUGGCAUCCCAAGAACCGAAUAUAAGUUCAAUAGCUUUACGUCUGCCGUACAAAGCCUUUUUAUAAGAGACACCCACCUUCAAAACUUCCUUAACAUGGCUUACUAUAUUCUUUACUUUAAACCCAGGAUCAUCUUCAAUGCUACGAACUAUGUGUCUAGCAAUAACCGAAAAUGUUCUUAAAUGACAUUGAAUUCAACAUUUGGGAAAAAAAUCUUUUACUCACAUACAUUUUUUUUGUAUAAAAUAUUGACCUACGAAAUUAAGAAAUAAACAAAUUUUAACUAAUCUAGUCUACUUAUUUAAACAAUUGUUUAAAGAAAAAAAGGAAGAAUUUAAAAAGAAAAUUAACAAAUAUGAUACAUUAAAAGGGGUAUAUUUUUCCAAACAUAUCAUUCAAGAGGGCAAAAUACCUAUUAUUAUAGUUUAGGGGAUAAAUUGUAACUGGGUAAAUAGUUUAUAGGGAUUUUUUUGCAUUUAACCCUUUAUCAAACGAUUAUUACGUGAUUAUUUUUCUUAUAGAGUACAAGAUAUAAUUUGCUAUAAAUGCAAAAAUAAAGAUCUAGCAUAAUAAUCAUUUCCAAAUUUUAUUUGUUUAUUGUAAUUUAUUAUUCAUAAUAGAUAUAUAUUUUUUGAAAAAAAUUACUUUUUAUUAUAUAUAUUUUGAAAAAUAUAUAUAUUACACAUUGUCAUUACUUUUUUUUAAAAAAAAAUUGAUAGAAUCUCCCCUUAAAAGUCUAAUUACUUUUUUUAAUGCUCACAAGAGCUUAGGGAAGGUUUUUAUUGUGAAAAAUUGGAAGUUUUAUGGAUGAAAUGGAAAAUUAGGGUUUCGGUGAGAAGAGGGAAGAGGAAAUCUGGAAACUGAGGAACCGAGCCCUCGGUUUCAGACAUAUUGCGAAACGAUCCGAGCACGGAUCGGUUCUUGAAGUCCUCGGAUCCGACAAGCCUCGGAUCCGUCUCACCAGGAACACAGACGAUCCCUCGGAUCCGGCCGGGUUUUCUUGGAUCCGAACUCGUAUCUUAUGGAUCCGGGGUCGGAUUUGUCUGGAUUGACUUCGAUCCGACCUCGGAUCUUACUUCCUCUGCACUAAAUGCAGAAACUGUGAUUUUCCAAACUUUUUCUCCCUUUUCCAAACUAAUUGUCAAACUAACCAUGGCAAGCUAAUGCGACUCAAACCGAAAGAACAAGAACGAUUAAUAAAUUGCCAAAACAUAACAGCCAGCUCAAUUCAGCAAAACAAAAAUCCUGUUGAAACAACAAACAAACUGACAAGCAAAAAAAAAAAAAGAUAAAUUCAUACCUCUUAUGGCAAAUUGGGAGGGAGGGGGGGAGAUGCACAGAUUCCAGACAGCUUGGCAGAAAUGGGACAGCUUGGUUUCAGCGAAUAGCUUCCGACGACAAAGAUGUGAGGGAUUUCCUCUGCCGAGAUGUGAGCGAUUUCGUCUACAAUACAAUGGCAAUGGCGGGGAACUGAGAUGCUUGGAGCACUGACUACCUCAGCAAAGGAGACGAGAAAGUGACCUCCAAUUUCUGUUGGCUACGAGACAUUUUUGAAUUGGGUUUCAGACUGAGUAUCUCGCAUUUGUCGAAUGCGAGGUACCUCACCUCGCAUUUCACAAAUGCGAGCUUUGUGUUGGCUUUUUUCUUUUCCGCACACCAUUUCUCAUCUUUUUCCGGAACAAUAACCUCGCAUUUGUGAAAUGCGAGGUCAGCUUUUUUUUUUUUUUUUUAAUUUCGGUGGUAGAAAAUUUGAGAGUUCGCAUUCAUCAAAUGCGAGUUCCUUGAGCUCGCAUUUGAUGAAUGCGAAGACCCCAAAAACAGAAACCAGUACACAAAAUACCCCCUUUGUAGAAUUUUUUUAAAAAUCAUAAUAAUUUUAGAAAUUUCUCCCAAAUCAAGGCACUCCGAUUAUCAACAGUAACAGGUUGUUGCCACCACCCCCUUAUGCAAAAUCACCCCAAACAUCCAAAGCUACACCCACCAACAAUGAAACACUAUAGCGGCUAAUACUACACUACCAAUGAAAUGUAUACAAAAGCAACUAGUACUACAAUGCCAAUAAAAAAAAAUGUAUACAAAAACCACGUCCUUUUUUUUUCAGUGCAAAUAGAUGAAUUAUUAGUAUUUGCGUGGCUAAGGAGGCCUUGAUGUAGAAGAUAAAAUUGAGAUUUCAGAAAUUAGAGAUUCUUGGCUCAUUUUCCCUUAUCCCCUCCCUUGCUAGAAGAAUAAAAAUAACUUUAAAAAUUAGUAUUUGCGUAAAUCACAAAAGCACAGAAAGAUUACAUCAUUGAAGAGGAACAAGGAUCAAAACGGAAUUUUAUUGGGAAGGGACUGAAUGGAUGGAUAGAUAGAUGUCUGUGAAUCCACAAUAUAUAGUCUGCUGAAUGAUACAAAACAUACCAAAUAUGAAGACAAGCCACUCACAAUCAUGUGAAGCCACUAUUCGACCAUGUUAGACACCUCGAAAUGCUGUCUUGCAAAGAUUCCUACACUACAUAAAGGCACUAAUUUAUCAAGGGCUUCAGCAGCUUCCAAGUCUUGAGUGUUCGUUGCUUUGCCAACUCCUCCUACUGAAAUAUCACCCGUUGUAAUUUGAGCUGGUGCAUUCAGUCCCAUUGAUCUGGCUUUAACCAUUAUUCCCCCAAACUGAACCAUGUUUGCAUGGCUAUGUAGACUACUAAACAGAAGUGAUGGCCAAUAUCCAACAACUAACCCUGGCCCGAUUUCGAGCCACCAAUGCCCAUGCUUAGCAUCCUAAAAAAUGAAACUUGAGUAGUAUAAAGACAGUGUGUUUGGGCAGGAGAUUAUUUGAAAUAUUACUUGACUAAUGUAGUACUAUUAUAACGUGACAUACGUAGAUGGAACUACAAAAUAUAUCGUGAGGGUUUAAGCUUUAAUAUAUCUAAACUUAAAUGUAUAACCUAAAAUAUUUUUGAGUUUUUGUAGGGGUGAGAUUUUAAAUUUAGAAUAAUUUACAUAUAACCCCCUGUGAUUUCAUCUGUUACUACAUGAUCCUUCAACGCUUCAAAAUGUCCACUUCACUUCCUAUGGUUUUAUAUGAAGUUGAAGCUUGAUGGAAAAUAGUUAUGUAAUGUCAUUAGUUGAAUUAUCAAUAGUACCCUUACUUAAAUGUUAAAUCAAUCAACGGCUUAACUACCUUAUAUAAAACUAUAGAGAGAUUACGUCGAUAAAUGCAAAAAUCACAAGAGGUAAAAUGGAUAUUUAUAUAAAUCAUAAGAGGAUUACAAGGAUGUUAAAGCACGUUUGGUAUAAAUGCCUAAACUGGUUGUGCAUUCCUUCCAUUUUCCACUAAAACUACAAGGGAGUUAUUUGGCUAUUUUAAAGCCUUAGGAGGGUCUAUCAUUUUGUAAAACUACAGGGGGUCAUAAGUAAUUUACCCUUCAAUUUAUAAAGAGUGAUUUUGAAAAAUUUUUAAUCUCAUAAGGGAGGAAACUUAAAUUUUAAUAGACUUGAAAGAGGCUCUUCCCACAUCCCCUAGUUCCAUCUUUGGUGAUAUAUAUGAGAUUUUCUUUUUAAAAAAAUUUAAUAGUGAUCAAAAAAAAUAAAAAAAAAUAAAAAAAUGUGUUUGUAACACAAGCAAAUAAUAUUUACAAAACAAUACCAGUCCAAACAUGAUUACUACUCUAUCAAAUAUGCCAAAAAAAAAAAGAUAUUUGACAUUUGAAUAAAAUGAGUUGUGACAUGAUUAGUUCAAGCUUGUUACAUAUGAGUUUAUUAAUUGGGACCUUCUUUUACAUAAAUUACGCGUCCCACCAUGGGUAUCCUCCUUCUUUGAGAAGUACAGACGUGUAAAUAUAGACUAUAUCUAUUACUAUAUAAUGUAAUCGUAUUUUAACUAAAAUCACAAAUGUCGAUCAGAAACUAUUCAGAAUAAAAAAAAAGGGCUACAUGGAUAAAUAAAAUUAACUUUGUAAAAAUGUUUUUCUAUUAGAUACUUUCCAUAAUUUGUAUCACAAAAAUAAAAAAGUAGAAAGGAUUUGAACUUCUUCCAAAUUAAAAUUUGAAGAAAAUCUCAAAACAUAUAUAGUCAAAAUGAAACUGGAAAAAAAAAGAUUUCCAAAGAUUCAAAAUAAAAUAUCUAUGAAUCUAAAUAAAUGUUUUUAAUUGUAUAGUUGAUACAAUUUUGGUAAUAUCUUCUAUAAUAAGGUAAAGCCAAUAAUUGUAAAUCUUCAACAUGUAUAGUAUAUGCCAAACCAAUCAAAUAUGUACAACGAAUGUGAAUUUCUUUUAUUUAUAACCUCUUUCAUGUAGAAAAAAAUCUUUAUUAAAUUAGAUUGGUUUUAUGAGUACUAAGUGAUUAAAUUAUAAAAUAUUAGAAUGUCAUGACUAUGUCAGUUAUCAAAUGGCAUUGCCUAAGAUCUACUUUAGUAUCUUAAGAGUGAGGGUUAAACCAAUAGUUAGUUAAUAAAAUAAUUUAAAAAAUGGAAAGUCAUGGUAACUAAACUAUGAAAAAUUAUGCAUGUAUGAUAGAAAAUGUAACUUUAAUUUCCAAAAAAAUUUCAACGUUUAUUGCCAUAAAGAGAGAAAAUACUAAAGUAAAUCGUUGAUAAGUAUAAAAAAGAAAAAAAAUAGUUGUGUUUUCUUUAUGCAACUGAAAUAAAAAAAAUUAAAGAAUAAAAUAGUGAGAAGGAGAUCACUUCAUGUGUUGCACACCAAAAUAGACAACAAACUAAAGAAUGGAUGAAAAAAGAAAGUCUACAAAGCUUAUACACCAUGCAACGCUUCACUAUUUUGACCAAUUUUGUUAUUAGUCAUGUAAGAGUUUGUAGAAUUUUGUCCAAUCUUUUUGCUUAAAAUUUAAAAUUUGAUGGUGUGAUAUAUAUCUUUCAACUUAAUCAAUUGUAUCUCUUGAUAAAGCCAUGGCCAUGGUUUUUCACGUGACAGUGUAUUCCUGUCUUUUUUCUUUUUAUUUACUCUAAGAACUAAAACAUAUGACCAAUUCAACUUUAAACAUCAAUAGAUUCUUUGACAUUUGAUUUUUCUGGCCUAUAAUGACAUUAAUUUUGAUUAAGUUCAAUAUCAUAUACUUAAGGGCAAAUUACACUUUUCCCCCCUAUAGUUUAGUGUUUCUUUAUAUAACUCUUCUAUGGUUUCAAAAACUAUAUAUAACUCCCUCAUGGUUUGGAUUAAAGUGUCAAACUAACAGAAUUUGCAAUCCAUCACAAAGUCAACUAAAAUGUCAAAAAUAUUCCCAUGUAAAGUUGAAAAUUACUUAUUCUUCAACUUACUUAUUAACCACAAGGGGAUUAUAUAUAUAAAAACCAUAAGAGGGUUAUAUGGUAAAGUACUAAACCAUAAGGGAGUUAUAUGAUAAAAUAUAAAAUCAUAUGAGAUUAGAGUGUAAUGCAUAUUAUGUUUAUAUAUUUUGGUCAUUUCAGUCAUUUUAGUUUUUAAACAAUGGUAAUUUCGAUAUUGUCCUAGUUUUCAUUACAGAUGAUCAUUUCCGUCACUUUAACACUUAAUCCAAACUAUAAGGGAGUUAUAUAUAACUUCUAAAACUAUAAAGGAGUCAUGUGAAAAUUAGUUAUACCACAAGGGGGUAAAGUAUAAUUUGCCCUAUAUUUAAGCAAGUUCAUACACAUGUGAAGCACAUGCAUUUUGCUAGUAACCCAACAUAUUCUUUUUUUGUGGAGAUAUUAAAGGUGGCAUGCACUUGCUAACUGCCCUUGUCACUUGCCUUUAAUUUUUUGUGAUCCAUUACUUUGAUGGAAGUUGUGUGGUUUAGCGGAGUUCAAGAAAUGAAGCUUCAUUUAAAGCCAGUUGUUAUGAACUAGUAACAGAAGUUUCGUUGUUGUCAACCAAAAAAAAAAAAAGUUUAGUUGUUGUCAACAAAGGAAAAAUAAAUAAAUAAAUAAAAAAUCCUGAUGCCCUGACAGAGAGGAGAAUCUGACAAUCAAGUAACUAUAUCAAGAAUAGUUGGUAAGCCAGAAAGAUAUUAUAAUGAGGAUGAUAUACAACCAUUCGUAUGUUAUGACAUACUGUUGCCUAAUUUGAGCAGGCAAAUAAUAACAGGGUUGUACUUUUCUUAGUUUCAUGUGUCGAAUGCAAAUAUGCGAAUUUAGUUUCAUUUUGCAAGAAAAAAGCUAAGUACGUUUCAAUUAAAGUCUAAGAAUCUGAACUGGAAGGUUGCAUAAGAUGGCAUUGAGCUUACCUUUGCGAUGAUCAUCGGUAUGCCGAUAUCUAGUUCUCUGCCAUUCUGAGAAAAUCUUGGAGAGAUUGCUGCCCCUAAAGAAAUUCUAUUAGUAGUUUGUACAAAGCCUGAACACAGGAGGUUAUAGCAUCCCGUGGUUCCAUAUGAAUCAGCCUGCAGAUUGAAAGUGAUCAGCAAUCAAGAACUUUUAUGUCUAGCACAUACAAACGUAACUUAAGGAUGCAUAUUUGAUGGUUUACCGUCCAAUACGUGAAGAAUCUGGGGGAGUUGUCUCCAAAUAAUUUCGGAUUAACCUGGAGAAUAUAAAAAUGGCUGAUCCUUAGAUGUCUUCUUCUACCCCCGAAGACUUAGAAAACAUGAUUCUUGUGUCUAGUUUACGUACCUGCAAGCCGGCUUCAACGGUAUUAAGAUCAUUACUAGUACUAUUACCAGAGGCCAUCCAGACUUGUGACAGUCUGAAGUCAUAUUGGUCCGUCUCAUUAGCUUUCCAGACAUGUAUGUAGAGUCGUGCUCCAGAGUAACAAUCUCCAGUAACAUCGCCAACAGGUCUCUACAUUGCAAAUAAAGAAAAGUCAUGUGUAUAAAAUCCGAAUCUAUGAACUUUUGAUGCUACGAUUGGAAACUUAAAAGCUUAGACAGAGCCAAAUAUGUUAACAGCAAUUUGAUUUGCAACUUGAUUUAUUCAUAUUGUCCAAUGAGUUUCUUAAAUAUCAUUUUUUUCCUUUGGUAAGAAUUUCACUUUUAUUCUCUUCUCAAACUUCUCAUUUGUUUGGCAUUGUUCCAGAAAUGUAAUUAUUUUGAGGAGAGAAUAAGAAAAUGGCAUGAUCUAUUUUUCGGAGAGAGAGAGAGAGACAUUUGGAUGUAAUUAUAGGAAGAAGAUAAGAUAAGUUUCCCCAAACUUCGAGUCGCUUAUGCAUUGAUUUAGAAAUCAUUGCCUUGAUAAAUCUGAGAAACUGACCUAACUAGUUUCUUAAAAACUAACUGAACCAAGGUUUUUUGAGUGCCGUUUUACUUCAUUUCACAGACUUACCAGUUGAUCAUUACUGCUUAUCUUAGUAUUCUGUUUGCUGAAAGAUUUUCUGCCGAAUUUGUGCAGUGAACCAGCUCUCAGGACAUCUUUCAUUGUAGUUCUUCUGAUAGGUACAGUACCAUCCGGGCACAAUUCACCAGAAUCAGUCCACAGUUGAAUGCUUUUCCUAGAACCAUGGUGGGUUGGUUUCUGUGAAAAUAUCAGCAGAGUUAUUGUUAGAAGCUCCGUCUAUACCAGAACCAGUCCAAACAAAAAUUUUCAAGACAUCAAAUUUCUUUCAUCAUAGUGUCCCAGGUUAAAUCUGGAUAUGUUUUAAUUUUCUCAGCCCAUUACUAGGUAUGUGUAAAUGUACUUUUAACAAAAUAGUUUCUUUAGACUCUAGUUUCUGCAGAAACAUAGAGCAAAUGAUCUGAUUCUGAACACAAUUACCAGUGGCUUCAGUCCUUUGAGCAGAGGAUGGUCAAAAGCCGGUUGGAGAUGAGAUGGGACACAAUCUAUUAGAUCACCAUCUGGACUCUGUGUCAAAGAAGUUAGGCAAAUUGAAAUUAGUAACUGAAAACCACUAAAAAGAUGCCAAAUUUAGCUAGCAACAGUACUGGAAAGGUAUGAAAAAGAAUUGCCUCAAUUGUCUUGAUUGCGAGUUUGUUAAUCCUCCUCAGAUACCUUCUAAUUCUCUUUAACUUCUGCACCCUUUGACUCAGAUGGAUAGUUUGAUUGCGUAACAGGUGGUUGUCACUGGAAUCCAAUAUAUCAUUUGGCAUAGAAAAGGCAGAUGAAAUAGAAGAAGCAAUAAGUACAACCAAUGUGAAGAUAAUUCGGAUUGUUUUGUAAGAUCUGGCAGAGGCCAUGCUUGUUCUGUGUAUAUCUAUUUCUGCUUCUCUUAACUUAGUGUUUCUCCUAAAUACAAAUAUCACCCAUUUGUAUUGACCACCAUGACAUUCUGAACGACAGAAUCAUGGUUUACUAAAAAAUGAUUGUCCAUCAAGAUAGCAGUAGUGCUCAAGAAGCCAUCCAAAUCAUUUAUAUUACCCAACAAACCUAUCAAAGAAAAAGUCAAAUCAACUCUCCCUCAACAUUUUGAACUUUCUUCCCUCCUAUCUCUGGCUUUUCAAAGAUUCUAUAAUGUUAUAGUAGUCUCUCAAUAAGCAUUAAUCAGUAUAGGAGGUUUCACCAGUAAUAUAUUGAUAGUCUACGAAACUCAACUGGUUAUCAUAAAGAAUGUGCACAGACAAAAGGACUUGCAAAUUAAUGCAUAGGUUAAAGAUUCAAAACUUAUUUGCUUGCUCAGUGCAGCUAGCUUAGGGAUGACAGCAGAUGCAGAUGGAAUCUAAGUUAUAAUUUGCUGCUUGGUUUUCACUUUUGUGUAGGUCAAAUUCAUGUGGCUUGCUUAAUCUCCACAGCUAGGUGGUUGGUGGGCGCAUAUCAGCCUCCUCAUCAAUAUUAAUCUAUUAAUCGACUCUCAAUUUGUCUUGCUAAUUUUUCUUCCUGUUUUUCAGAUUUUGUUCCCUUCUUUUCUAACCUAAGAAGUCAGGGUGGGUGUACACAAAUUUAGUUGACUUCAGAUUCCAAUGUAUUUGACAUUUAGUUCAGGUAAAAGCAUCUCACUCUACAUAUGCUGACUUGAAAAUCACUGUUAUGUCUAAAAUUGUUUUAUACCCUCUUAUUAUUUUAUUUUAGAGAUUAUCAAUUCCAUGAUUCCGUCUGGGAGAAAUAUAGCCAAUUCAUAUAGGUAAAAUGUAUCUAUAUCAGUACUUGCUGUUAGUUGCAUGUGCCUAAGCAGAAUCUGUCUUUGGCAAACAAACAAUCUGUCUUGAUGGCCUAACUCAGAAUUAGUUUGUCAUUUUCACUGUUUCUCUUUGUUUGAGAGCUGUUAGCAAGUCUUGUUUAAGUGAUUUUGUCUUACAAGGAAGGCUCAUGUUAUAUUAUAAACUGAGGUUGGUGACAAAAAUGUUACAUUUUUUUUGUUUUCCCCAUGCUUGGCACAUGCAAGUCUCCUCAUAGAACGUUAAGCACUCAUUUUCAUGUCUUAAUCAAAUUGCUUAAUCUAAUACACAAAGGAAGACUAAUAUUGAAGUUGUUGUGGCUAGGUUCAUGUUUCAACUUUCAAGAUGGACAAUCAAUGGCAUAUUGGUCAUUUUGCCUGAACUUAACCUCAACUUUGAGAAGGAUAAAGAAUUGCAUUAAUACCAUACAUGGCUUUCUUCUCUGUGCAUGCAUGUAACUUUCCAUAUCCACAAGGUACAAAAGUAGAAAGUAAAUUACACACAAAACUCCUAUUUUUCUUCUUGCUACAAAGUAAUGGGUAAAAAGUUGGGGGGGUGAAAAUGUGAAAUGGAAUGCUUUUCAAAAGAAUUUUGAAAUGGUCUCUGUCUAUUUUAAAGGAAAGGGGAAAUUGGGGACCAAAGGAAAGUUUUAGGCCAAUAAUAGGUGACCACCCUACACUUUUAUGCCCUUUUAAGGACACCUUGAGUUCCUUCCAGGGCCACCAUAGUAGAAGUAAUUUCCCCAGACAUUGUUUCUUCCUGCUUUUAUAUCAUAACAAGUAGGAUGAUCAGCCAAGAGAUGAAGAUUAGAUAGAGGAAUUAAGCUGUUAUCCCAGUCAACAACUUGCAAAUUUCUGAAGUAAGAUGCUUUGCCAAAUCCUUCAUCUGCAAAAUGGCCACUUCCCAUCUGUGUUGAUGUGUGAUAUCCUGUUGAUCUGGUGUUUACUAUUUCUCCACCAAACUGAACCAUGCUGGCAUGGCUUCGUAGAUGACUAAACAGAAAUGAUGGCCAGUAUCCCACAAGCAAUCCUGAACCGAAUUCGAGCCACCAAUGUCCAUGCUUAGGAUCCUACAAAAUAAAAAUUUAUGAGUUCCCAAUUUUAUGAAUGCAAUUUUAAAUUACUGCUUCCUCUUUUACAUUUUUUGUAAGUCAAUGGGAAGGAACUGUAAUUUGAAAAAAUGCCAUAAGUAGGAGCAUUCACCAGCUGCAUUCACGCGUUUGCUCUACUUAUUUCUGGCCUAUUAGGCAAUAAUUCAACUCAAUAUGUAGGAUAGUCUGAGUAUUCUACUAUUACCUUCAAAAGCCAGUUGUUGUCUACUAGCAAGAAAUAUACUUAAUAAUACAGAAGGAAGGGAAAGAGAAUUUUUUUUACUCAGAGAGGAGAAUCUGACAUUUAAAUGUCAAGAACAGUUGGACAACUUCAAAUACAAAAUAAUGUAAUCGAGGAUGUUUCGCGCAUAUCGUAGACUUGCUAAAACAUUGGUCAACCUGUUGUCUUCUAACAGAAAAAUCAUAAUCCAUGCUAACCAUUAAGUAAUUGAACAGGAAGUGCUUAGUUGGCUUAUUCUUUUCCUCGUUUCAUGUGUUCAGAUGGAAAUGACAUUGUACGGCUUAAAGAAAUCACUCGUGUUGCUGAAGUAGCCAAAAAAUGUUAGAUAUCUUUAGGUUGAAAAGAAAAGAUAAGAGACCUGGGGAAAAGUAUUAGGGAGUCUGUCAUUUACCUUCCAUAUCAUAACACCAAUAUCAAAUUGUCUGCUACUGUAAGAUGACCUUGGAGAGAUUGCUGCCCCUAUAGAAAUUCUAUUAUUUGUCUGUACAAAUCCUGAACACAGUAAAUUGUAGCAUCCUGUGGCUUGGUAUGCAUCAGUCUGUAAAUUAGGUCAUUAACGGUAAGCUUUCAAUGUCUUAAAACAUGAAUAUUAGUGCAUAUGAAGAAUUCAACUAUUGAUAGUUACCGUCCAAUAGGUGAAGAACCUCGGAUUGCCAUCUCCAUAUAACUCUGGACUAACCUGGAAAAGUGUGAAUUGGCAAAUUCUUAAAUGUCUUGCUCAAUCUACAUUGACUCAAACAUAAAAUGCAGUACACAAUCAUAAAAACCUAUCUGCUGGGAAACUUUUCUAAUAAAAUCUAGACGACUAUCAUUUUUGCAGAACAAAAUUAAGUUUUGACCAUACUUCUAAGAAGGUGUUUAGUUUCACAAGAAACAUCUUUCCUGUUAAUACUGGAAAAAUUGAACAAAAGAAACAUGUUUCCCCCUUAGAACAAAAGACACAGAAGAUAAACUUUUCCACUUGUACAUACCUGCCAACCGGCUUCAAUGGUAUUAAGAUCAUUUCCAAAAGUGCCAGAAAUGAUCCAGACUUGGGACAAACUGAACUCAUAUGGGUCUGUGACGCGAGGUGUCCAUACAUUUAUGCUGACCUUAGCUCCAUAAAACUGAUCUCCAUUUACAAAAGCAACUGCAUGCUACAUUGCAAAGAAACAAGUAUCAUCACAAUGACCAAAUUCAUGCUAGAUAACCAUGAAUUUGUGCACUGUUAUUCGACCCCUUUAUGUUGAUCUUUUGAUGCUACAGUUAGACUAAAGCUGAGAGCAAAAGAUGUAUUAGGGGCUUUGGAAUUCAGACUACAGACUGAAGCAACCAUGGUAUAUUCACUUUUUCAAAAUGAAAUUUCCGCAAAUAUAACUAAGGUCUUAUACCAUGCCACUCCAAUUAGUAAUUUUAUUUGAAAGAGCACUAGCCCUUUGGUUGUAACUAUACACAAAAGAGAAGAGGGCGGAAUAGGACAGUUUACCUCAAGUCUAGCCAUCUUUUCUCUUAUGGAUAGAACAGUCACAUCUUCAGCUACAUCUAUCUGAAUAAAUGACAUGUUUUAUAAAAGCAACUAAGGCUUUUUAGUCCCCCCACUUCCCUAUCCUUAGUAAAUAGAAUCUAAUUCACUUAGGAAAUAAAGGUUUCUUCUCUGUGUAUUUUCCUGUGAAUUAUGCUACAAACUUCACAUACUAACCUCAUGAUCACUGCUCAUGGUGUCAUGGCGUACAUUUCUGAUUUUUCUUCCAAAUCUUCUCAACGUGCUAGCUCUCAGGACAUCUUUCUCGGUAGUUCUUCUAAUUGGUAUGGUCCCUUCUGGACAGGCUUCACCAGAAUCAGUCCAUAGUUGAAAGCUCUCUGUCAAUGCAUCAACGGAGUCAUGGCCUUUAGGCCUCUCUGGCGGUUCCUGCAUUUACUUGAUCAAUAUUUUUCAGGGAAUCACAAAUGACAGAGAUUUUAUACAAACACAAAAUUGAAGAGUUAUGCUUUGAUCUGAACUUAUAAGAGUACCAGUGGCUUCUGUCCUUUGAGCUGAGGGUGAUCAAAAGCUGGUUGAAGAUGAGAUAGAACACAAUCUAUUACAUCACCAUCUGGGCUCUGCAGGAAUUAUAGAAUAACAUUAAAUCAGUAGACUUAAACCUAACGAGACAUCAAAACUUUUCAAAUUUGGUAAGAAACAGAACUACAAAAGUCAGAGAAGAAUGCCUUAAUUGUCUUGACUGCUGGCUUGUUGAUCUUCUUCAGAUAACUUCUAAUCCUCCUCAACCUAUGCAAUUCUGAGCGCGGCCGGAAAGUUUGGUUGGAUAAGAGAACGUUAUGACUGGAAUCUGAUGCCUGGAUAGUAGGCUUGGACGAGACAGGAGCAGUAUUGAAGGAAACAAGAACUGACAAAACAACAAAUGUGAAAAUGAUUGGAAGUUUUCUGUAAGAUGUUGUAGUAGAAGAAGAAGCCAUACUGCAGCUUCUUGUUGAAUGUCCUUGUGUGGUUGUUUCUUCUGUUAAUUUGGUUUGAGUUUGUAUGCAUUUGUGUGUCCUCUCUAUAGUCUAUGAUCUAAUUUACAAAACAGAAACAUGGUUUAUUCCAAAAGUUUGUCCAUUGGCCACCAGCAUUACAUACCUAUCAACAAACAAAUGAACAAUUCAAAUGUGUACAAACCAAAACAUCCAACAGAAAAGUUAAACCGGUUCACUCCUCAACAUUUGCUAUACUUCUUUUUCCUCUCUCUCUUCCUCAGUGAGAUUCUAGUGUGUCUUGGUCUUGUGUUUCUGACACACACAACCUUCAGCCUGGGCUCGUUAAAAUAGGCCCCUACCAGAGGAGGUUAUUGACACAAGGGAUUCUGGUCAAAAGGGCCUUAUUUUAAUAGAGUAACAGGCAUUAGGGGUUGUUUACCUGAUGAUAGAACUAGAAUUCAAGGCAUUAUUUGUUUUCCUUUUUCUCCAUCUUUUCAACUUUUUGCAGGGUUCAGAUUAUGGUUCUUUGCAUGUUUAUUUCCACUUUUUGCAUGCUCGUCAAUCCUGUAUAAUAUACUAGUAUAAUUCAUUAGUUAAAAAACAAAAACUCCACAUUUCAAACUUUCAGAUUCUUGUUUCUUAUAUUUUGUCCUGCAAGUUUUGGCGUAUUAGUAAGACAAGUGGAGAAUGUUUACCACUGUAGAUCGGAACUCAUUGACUGUUGAUUCUUGAGUCUAAAAUGAAGUGGAGUUUAAUUGGACAACUACUUGAUAUAAUGAUGAAUCUGUAUGAAGGGUCGCUACAUAAUGAUUGCAGUACCAAUAUAGGUAGAGUAAAUGAAGGACUGUACAAAGCGGACAUUUUUUGGUGGACCAUAUUUAAGACACAUGAUUUGCACAAACAUGAAGAUAAUGAUUACCAUCAGAAAAAUGUAAAAUAUACACUAGAAUAGAGACACAUCAUGAUGAUGCAAAAAAUAAAGUAUAUCAUUUUUUACUUGCUAUUUUUGAGAAUCAUCAUAACCUAAAUCAUAAUCAUGAUUACCAUGAUUUAAGAAUUUUGACCUUGAAUAACUAAAAGUAAAAGAUUCUCAGUAGCAUUUCUACCAAUGAACUUUUGUUUACUGUAAAGAAGGUUUUGAAUUUGAAACCUCUCAUUUAUGCCUGUCAUAUCAUUUAACACAUCCAUAUCAUUUAACGCAUCCCUUUUCCUCUUUUAACAAUGAACUUGUGCGCUAGCAAUAUUGUAGCGUUCUUUGUUUGUUUUGGUGGUAGUGAAGGCAAUAUUUGACUUUCUACUGCUAGUAGAAAUUAAUAAUUUUGUGCAGUAAACAAGGUAAAAAAUAUUUUGAUAGGAGUUAUAUUUUGAAGGUUUAAUAACUAAAUGGCCCUUGCAAUAUGGAGUAAGUAGCAAAUUGCCCUCUAUAAUUAGAAAACCUACAAAUUAUUCCCUGCAAAAAAUAACCAAACACUUGGGUUAUAUUUUAGGUACAAAAAGACAAUGAUGCCUUCGGAUAUACAAUGCUUUGAUAUUUUCAUCCUAAGGAAAUGAUAUUAUUAUAUUUUUUUAAUUAAAAAAGUGCUUUAUCUAGGGAAAAUGACAAUACAAUUGUAGAUAUAAAUAAUUAUAGACUUCCAUUAAUUAUUUAUAGUAAAUAAAUAUUCUAGUUACUUAUGAUAAUUUAUUCUAUUUAAAUAUUUUUCAUUAGAAAAUGAUAAUAUGCAUUUAAACAUCAAAAGAAAUUAUUAAUAAGAACAAAGAAAGAAAAUUGAAAGUGAAAUACUUUUGAUGCAUAUUUACUUUUUAUUUUGGAUAGAAUGCUUUUUAAUAGGAAAAUUAAAAAAAUACAUUUCACGAUUGAAUAAUAUCAAGGUUAUGCAUAUAUGUAUUUCAAUGUCAUUUUUCUUUCUUUGAAAGUGAUAUCUACAUAUGUACAUACAUACAUACAUACAUAAAUGUACAUAUAUAUAUAAGCAUUGAAUAUUACAUAUAUAUAUAUAAAUUUAAAGAUAUAUUAUUGUUCUAUUACCAUUUCCUAGACACAAAAUGUUUUUUGCUACAAAAAAAAUAUAGUAACAUCCUUUCCGAAGAAUAAAAUGAAGAAAUCAUUAUGUAAUCAAGGGUAUGACUAUCUUUUCACACCUAAAAUUUAAUCCAGAUGCUUGACCAAGUGUUUGUAGAAAGGCAAUUCAUGUAUUUUCUAAUUACAAAGGAGCAACUUGCAAUUAAGCAUAUCUUGAAUUAACUUUCAUUAGAAAUCCAAUUGCAUUACAUAAAUCAGAAUGGGAAGGGAUUCUGUGAAAUUGUGAAAACAAUUGCACCAUCUAAUUGAUGGCCAAGGUGGGUGAAUUUAAAAUAAAAUAGUGGGUUUGAUUAUGAUAUAUAAUUUUCAACAAAUGAAAAAUUUAUCUAUAUUUUUACACAUUAUUAUCUUAGUGUCUAUAUUUAUUACAUUACUAUGUAUAUAUGCCGUCAUAGUAGUACAUAUAUUCCAUCAUGCAGUUAAAAUUAGUGAUUGCAUGGUAAUUGCGGAGACCCGGAUAGAAUAUGCAUCUUAGGCCAUGUUUGGAUUACUAUUUUCUAGAAAAAAAUAUUUGCGUUUUCUGCUGACACAUUUCCUUUGCAUUUUGCACCAUUGCCAGCUGAAAAAUAGUUUCACCUAAGAAGCUUUGGAUCACUUUGCAGUGGAAAAGUCGAAUAAGAUCUAACAUCUAGAAAGAAAAUAAUGCUGCUUCUCUUUAUAUUAACAGAAUGGCCCUUUUGUGGUCCUCAUAAAUUUGAAAAUGAUUAGUGAAUUAUUUUAUGGAUUAAUCUUUCCUACACUAGAUGAAUGACAGUUAUGUAAAAUUUGAAUUUGAAAUUUAACUUUUACACAUAUAUCAUGAAUCCAACGGUGAUAGUGGAUACACUGUCAGUGUAUAUAAGAUUUACUCUUAUUUUAUUUGUAACAUAAUCUCUUGUCUCCUUCCUCAAAUAAUUGGAUUUGAGCAACUGCAAUCUUUUUCCUGAAUGCUACUUUUCCCACAUUAAUUUUUUUUUCACACCAUUUAAAGAAUAAAAUAAUCUAGAGAUACCAUAUAGCAUCUUGUUCGCUACAAAUUUUUUUUUCUAAAUAAAAGAGAAAGAUAAUUUUGCCUUAUAUUUUCACCAUUUUAGCGGUGGCCAAUUUCAUGUAGGCGUCUUUCCCCAGUUUGAAGAAGUACAUGGUAAGCACCUGCAUGUUAGAAUAUGUACUGAAUUAGAAAAUGAGGUGAAACUAUGAAAAAAAAAUUAGGGAAUUUAUUUUCAGAAAAACCCUUUUUACAUUCAUUUAAUAUAGUAGUGUCCUUUUCCAAUUGAAGUCAGCAAUGCAUCAACCACUAGAAGAAAUGCAGACAUUCAACUACUUGGGGAAUCCUCAAGAGUUAGCAUUGUGGUAUGCCACUUAAUUUGGGUAAGCACAAAAAGUUUGGGCCCUAUCAAAGGCUCUCUUUUAUGGGGUUCUGGUGCCCUCCACUAUGAGACUGCCCUUAGUACUAGUAGUAUUACUUUAAUUGUCUCUUCUUUUCACAAAAACCCACUCACAUUUCCCAUCCACUUCUGCUGCAAAGAUAAGGAUGUCUUCUUUCUUGAUAUUGGCCCAUGAUAAAGUGUCACUCUCCUUGUAAACAAUACCAAAGAGUAUUCAUGUUAUCUCAGUGGAAACAUGCCCUUUUUGUAAAGUUGGCAUGAAAGAAUAGAUUCCCACCCACAACCUCAAAAAAAGUAUAAUUUAUAGUUAUCUGAGUUUUUACUUAAGAAAUUGCAACCAUAUAUCUUCUUAAAACUCGUGUUAGUGACAUGGAUAAUGUUUGCUUGCUUGUAAUAUUCUGAUUAUGUGUAUUAAAAAAAGAACAUUAUAUCAUGUGUUGCUUAGAUAUGAAGGAGAUUAAUUAGACGGAAUUGCUUUGAUAGUUUUAUAUGUCACCUUUUUUUUUUUUUUUUGAUAAAGUGCACAAAAGGCUGCCAGCCUGUUGAAUUUGACAUUGAAAUAAUAAAAGCAUACCCUUUAAAAUUAAUUAUAAAGCAUUAUUCUUGAACAGCUUUAUCAUUCUUUUUGCACAUUCUCUCUUGAUUUCAAGAGCACCAAUUAUAUAAAUGCAUAUUUUGACAGAGACAUUGAAUUCUUCAAGCCUAUACUCUACUCUACUCUACUAGAGAAUAUAUACCAUACAGGCCUCAUUCCCUGUGCAGAAGAUAUUCAUCUGGUUUCAGGCUUUCAGGCUUCAGCCAUUAGGAAUCAAAAGGUUCUGCCUGCCUUAUAUGCCUGAAGGAACUAUCCAAUUAUUUUGCUCGAGCUGUUGUUCUUUGUUUAUUUUCAAAUUUUUUUCCUAGUAAAGAAAGGAUGAAAUUUAAGAAGGAAUUAGAACUCAGAAUCUUCACGUUUUCAUACCUCAACCUUAGCCAAAAUUAAUUAUUAGAAUCAUUUGAUGCUUGGUUUUGAGCAAUAAGUUGCCCUUCUAGAGCCCCCCUCAAGAAAGAAGACAAUGGAUUUGGAUUUUGAGCGAAAAUGGCAGCUUGAAUUUAGACCAAAUCUCAAUUGACUAUGGAAUUAAUGAGGGGUUUAAUACUUUGAUUACAACAUUACAAAGGUAAACAACUUUAAAAUAUCGGUUUCUAACUUGAAAAAUGUGCAAAAUGGACCCCCAAAAUAAAAAGAACUAGUCUCUCUAACUCUUUUUUUUUUCGUCAAUCAAUUCGAUAAAUCAGCCAACUCAUGGACAAAGAGGGAUAAUUGAAAAAUGUGCCAUCUAAGCAUGGGAAUAUUGUAGGGAAUCCCCUCAAUUUUCCAUCACAACACCACCCAUCAGAACUGUUGGCUUGUCCUAUAGACAGUGCCUGUGCCAGGUUAGAAAUCACUAAUCAAAACAUCCCACUAGGUUCUAUUACAAGAUGAUGAUGGUUCACUGAAAAGAUGAACAAACUGGAAAGCAUGUGACGCAAUCUUUGUUGUACGAAAAAGCUUUGUAGUCUUUCUACCAUCUUUCUGGAAGAAAGCACAAAUGCGCUGUUUUCUUUAUAGACAUAUCGGACUAUGAAAGCCCAAAUGUAUAACAAGAUGUUUUGGUUGUAUAUGAAAAUAGACAAGCUAGGAAACAAAGGAAAAGCAAGGUUUGCCAUGCUCAAAUUGAACUUCAGAAAGCAUGUUUGCUUUCAAAUCCCACGAUAUUUAGUUCUCAAAAAGAGAAUUAAGAGAGACAAACAUCAAUUAACAUAGGUUUUAUUACAUGGUUUUUCCAUACUGCAAAAUAUCAGAACUAAUCAACUGACAUGAAUUGUGCAAACAUGUUUAAGAUUGACUACAAGAGGAAACACAACAAAGAUCAGAACUGAUCAACUUAAAGGUUCUGACAUGAAUUGUGCAAAUAUUAUAAGAUUGGCUACUAGAGGAAACAUGGGAUACCUUUAGUCACAGAAAAUAGAAAUUUGGACCAGUACAAAACUGAAUCAUGAAACAUCUUAGAAGAAUGCGUGACUCUGAUCCUGAAAUGUUUUAAUUAAUCAAGAAAACUAAAAAUCUUUUUCUCAUUCUGCAUAAUGUACAAAGACCAUACCUCUUUCCACUUUCAAGCUUCCCCAUACCGUUCAGUUAUUCAUUUAUUUUAUCAACAUAUUACAUUAUUGAUAAAAGUAAACUAUACUGUGUGAAAGUCUGUAGAUUCUGCUAUAGCCUGAAGUCUCUUUGGCUGAAUAUGCAAUACUUUUAGAAUUCAUACUUCAUUUUCUUUUUUUGCAGCAUGAUCUAAUGAAAUUUCUUAAACCAUUAUCAUAUCAACCAAGAUGCAUUACACUAACAUUUCUUUGAAACGAUUUAUAGUAUUAGAUAACAUGGACCACAGAGGAAUUUGUUGGUGUCUCUCUUAGUUGCAGUGGUUCGUCUGUGCAGGGGUGUUUCGCGAAUCGAGCAGCUUGCGAGCCGAUCGCGAGCGGCUCGAAUACGAGCUCGACUCGAGCUCGUCAAUAUCGAGUUCGAGUCGAUCUCGAGCUCGAGCUCGAGCUCAAAAACAUUAAGCUCGUUGGCUCGCGAGCUCAAUUAUAUAUUUUUUUAUUUUUUAUUUUUUAUUUUAAUAGUAAAAUUACAUAUAUAUCCCUAAUAUUUUAUUAUUUAUUAAAAAAUUAUUAUUUUAUUCAUUCUUAAAAAUAAAUAUUUAUUUUUUAUUUUUUAAAAAUAAAAAAUUAUUAUUAUUUUUUUAUUUUUAAGCUCGAGCUCGAGCUCGAGCUCGACUCGAAUUUGACUCGAGCUCGAGCUCGAUAUUUUGAGGUCGUCGAGCUCGAGUUCGAGUUCGAGCUUCACAAAAUUAACUCAAGCUCAGCUGAUUAGCCAAAACUCGACUCGAACUCAACUCGUUUGCACCCCUACGUCUGUGGUAUUAACCAAUUAUGAAAAUAUCCCCUUAAGAUAGGGAAAAAAAUUCUUUAUCUUAGACACAUUGUUCGGAUUCUAGAGCAUUUAUGCGCUCCCUGGAAAUGUAGAUUCUGAUGCUGGAGGAACCUUUUACGGGAUGAGACUUUAUCUUUUUUCUUUUUAUAUUUUUGGAGGAGAUGAUACACCAAUACUAAAGUCUGAGCAAUAGUAACUUUCAAUCUUCAAUCUCCAAUUUUCCCCGUCAAAGUUACUAAUGGCAUUGACAAGAAUUGUUAAUAUAUGAAUUCUUGAGAACUGUUAUACAUAUAUAUUACUCCAGCAAGUGAUGAUUAAUAUGCAAUAACGAUGAGGAGUGACAAUGGAGGUUCCACGAUUAUGUACAAAAAAUUUUAUGUCAUUCUUAAGAUAAUAAGAUUACGAGAAACCUACAAAAGUUGGUGUAAUACUGCGAGGAAUACUAACAUAGAAUUGGAGGUAAUUCUUUUGUUUAUUUUUAUUAAGAUUAGUCAAACAGUACAUGCUUUGCAUGUUAGUUCGUUACCUCUAUUCUAGCUAGUGAAACGAUAAUCAUCUCAAAACUAAUAAAAAGAAGGGUAAAAUAUGCUAUUUCCUGUAGUUUCAAAAGUUAAAUAUCAUCCCCUUAUAGUUUGAACUCAAGUAUCAAAGUGACAGAAUUUACAUUCCAUUGCAUGACGGAGUCAACUAAAAUAUCAAAAAUACCCCUAUAUAAAAUUAGAAAUUAUUUAUUAAUCAUAGAGAAGUUAUCUAUAUAUUUUGGAAACCAUGCAAGGGUUACAUGAUAAAGUACUAAACAAAAAGUGGUUUAUGUGGUAAAAUACAAAAACAACAAGAGGUUAAAGUAUCAUGUAUAUUUUGUUUAUAUAUUUUGGCCACUUCGGUCAUUUUAACUUUUAAAUAAUGUUAAUUUCAACAUUUCAGUGAGUUCCGUUAUAGAAGAUCAUUUUCAUCAUUUUGAUAUUUUUGUCCAAAUCAUGAGAGGAUUCUGUAUAACUUUUGAAACUACGGAAGGAUUAUGCAAAUAAUCACUAAACCUCAGGCGAGGUAAAGUGUAUUUUACUCUAAAAAGAAAAUGAGUUUUGUGGUUUAAGCUAUUCCAAAUUAUGUUUAUCUAAGAAGAAUGAAUCAUCGGUUUAGUAGAGAUGUUCUACAUUUAUAUCAUAAUGUAGAUAUAACACUCAAAAAAUAUUUAAUCAGACCAUGUGAUUAAUAAUUUUGUCACAAAGUAUAGAUUGGUUUUUUUUUUAACCUUUCUUGUCUUCUUACUCCUCAGUUGGAGGCAUACUUAUAUAAGCAUACUUAUGUUAUGGGUCCUAAUAGUUAAUGAUGCAAAAAUUGUUCUCCAAAUAAAUUUACUACCUUUUAGUCCUUCACGCAUAUUAAUUAAAAGCAAAACUUCUACAACGGUUGAAACUCCUUUGGAUUUUCACCUAGAAUAAGCCAAAUUACAUGAGUAUAUAUUAAUGCAAUAAAUUUGGUAACCAAAAUAUGAAUUUCUAUUUUGAGUAGCUAAUAAGAACCCAAGAAAAGGCGAACUUAAACAAAAAUGCCUCAUAUGUUUUUCUUGCCUUUUGCUUUUCUUAAAUAGAUAUUAGCUCCUUAUUUAUUUGAUUUAGAAUAAAGUUUCUUAUUCUUUCGAAGAAUUAGUUUUGGACUUACAAUGCCAUGAUUAUUUUCCCAUUAAGUAAAAAAAAAUAAAAAAAUAUAUAUUAUUUUCCAAAUAUCGUUACUUCCAGUGUUAAGUACAUGAAAUGAUUUACCAUCAAGGUUAAUAAGGAGAAAAUAUUCUGAAAGCUGUUACCUUGAUUGGUAAUUCUUCCAAGUUAGUCGUUAAAAUUAGGCAUUAAUUAUACUGAAAUUACUGGAAUCAUUGAAUUAGAAUUAGAAAUUGUAAAAUUUUGUAUUAGAAAUAUGCUAGAAAACGUGUUCAUCUUUAGAUGACACAUCUAUCAUUACCUUUAGACAUAUCACGUAAACUUCUUGUUAAUUAAACUAACCUAAAUAAAAAUGUUCAUUUCCCAGCAACUUAAACUCUGCCCAAAAGCAUAGUAGACAAAUUUGAUAGUAAAUAUAUUGCUAAAGAUGUAUAAUAAUGACUUGGAAUAUUUUUAGUCAAAGAAUAUUCACUUUUAGACUGCUUUAAAAAACUGAAUAGCUUGACAAAGAGUGCAAGAUAGAUUUAAAAAAUGGUCAAAUUUUAGAUAAUUACAUAAAAAUCUCAUAAUCCUCAAAACCAUAUAAUCUGUCCAUUACUCUGCUAAUUCAAACGUUCGAGAUGGGAACUAUCUCAUCUAUUUGUAACAAAGGAUACAUUUAUAUCCACUAGUAGGAUUGAUUUUCAUUUUUCAUGCAAAAGAGCACGCAAAAAUCCUUGUAGUUCUUUCUUGCAUCACCAAUUAUUGCAAUUUUAAUUUCCUCAAUUAGUUUCUUUCAAGGAUGGAACUUAUUGGCAAUAAAAUAGCAUCAUAUUGCUGCAUUGUCAAGUUUCACAAUUAUAAGAAAUCCUCAACCGGUAAAUGAAAUGCUAAGGAAUUAUUUGUGAUCACAUUUACCAACGAAUGUAAUUUUUUGGUCCGACAUGGAUAUACCCUAGAUAGUGUUUCUGCUCCAGGAGCAUAUGUCCAAAGAAGGAGCUGAAUAUUUAAAUCGAAGAUUGACAAUUUAAAAAAAUAUACAAAAUCAGACAAUAGACUUGAUAUACCUAAAUUCAAUACUCUAGGGCGGCGGUGUCAGAGAUAAACCUAGGUAUGACAGCGACGGCCAUCAUAUCAACCUGCCUGACCCUAGUCAGAUUUUGUCCGUAAGUACCAGACGCCGAGUAACCAAAUGGGUCCAACUAACCGAGAUGGACUCACCUCAUAAGGAUGAAGACGAGGAUGAACACAUCUCAUCCGAAAACAUGUUGGGUUGAGUCAUGUUGGGCCGAAAACAUGAAGACGAGGAUGGGCACCUCGGCCAAAAACAUGUUGGGUUGAGUCAUCUCGGUGAUGCGUCGAGCCGAGGAAGCGAAGGUGAGCGUGGACAUUAGCAUCCAAGUACUAGUCCCAAUGACUAAUAACUCCCCCUCCAAUAUAAAUGCCCAUCUCCUCCUCUAUUACAAGUAAUAAAUAUCAUCUCAAUUCUUCUCAGCUGAGCCCUUUAACACUUCAGAAGCUAAGGUGUGCAUCAAAAUGUCAUUGGGGAGAAAGAACCAACCUUCUUUGCCUUUGUUUUUUAUGCGCUGCAAGGUUCGAGGUUAGUAAGGAUGGUCAGUUCAGCCCGGACCGCCCGAGGCUUCACCUCUGCACUGCCUCUGGAAGUGCAGCCUCGUACGCCCUAUGCGCCGAAGUGGCCUCAAUCGAAGUUCUCAUUCCGAUGAGAGCUAUUGCCCAUAUGGCCGAGGUGAUGUUAAAGGAUCUGCCAACCGGAGAAGAGUAGGACGCGACUUCUGACACACAUGAUACCUGACAGAAAGCUGCUCUGACACAUGCGCCGUCUGACUCUGACAACUAUCCCUACACGCCUUUUCAGGAACCAGUCAAAUCAACUUGAUACACUACCCGUAUCAGCUUUCUAGGGACCUGAACAUGUAGUCUCUCUCUCCUAUCUACCUCUUAUAGAUACCAGAUACUCCUACUGAGAAAGGGAUGACCAAUCUCUGGUAAAAUAGGUAAUAUUAGCUUUCGUAACUUCUAGAUUUUUCUCCUCAUAUCCGGACUAACUUAAGUUUCAAAGUUACACCGGGGGAUCUAGCCCCUCUUGUAAUUUGAGUAGGUGACCUUAUUACAGUGAUCUCUUCAAGUCAGGAUACCUCUAAUUUUCGAGCCACCUCAGCAAGUCAAAAAUUACCUCUUUAACUGGCACCGUUUGUGGGAACCGAAGACAUCAGAAGAUGAAGCCCACGCGCUCUAGGAGCAGGAAGGUUCUCACCAUUGGAACUGAACAUAGUACCGCAGCUCAGCAGGAUAAUGCUUCUAAAGGGCGCGAGUCUCUUAGGACUCAACUCGCAAACGAAGAGGUCAUAACCCGUAUGGCCGAAUUUGUAAGUGAGAACCCUAAUAUUUUUGAGGAGUUAUGGAGAUAUUUUAAGAGGAAGGGCAAACAAAAGGCCGAGUCCUCUAAAAGAAAAUCAGAUGAAUCCCCUGAAGGCUCCUCAGAUGAGGAAUCUGAGGGGAGGCACUCCAUCAAGAGCACUCCGAAGCGAGCCUCUUCUAAGGCUACUUCCAGAAUCGCCUCCGUUACAAAGGCGCUCUCACGAAAUUUGUUAGGGAGGCGAAGUGAGGAAGAAUCUCGGCAUCCGAGAAGGCCAAGAGUGGACUAUAUGAGGGCCCUACCCUUUACACAUGAAAUCAACGAGGAAAGGCUUUCCCCAAACUUCAAGCUUCCCUCAAUAUCUUCAUAUGAUAGCCGAGGUGAUUCUGAAGAUUAUAUUCACGCUUUUAUCUUGGCAUUCCGGCUAUAUUGCAUUCCCGACCCUGUCAUAUGUCUGGUUUUUUCGAUUUUCCUACAGAUGAUAGCUCGAAAAUGAUUCUGAAAUCUAGAACUUAGGAGCAUAUCCACCAUGGGGGAGCUAGUAGAGAGAUUUCUCCACUGAUUCGUGUCUUUUAAACCCACAACCAGGAUCUCGGCAUAUCUGCUGAAUAUACAACAGAAUCCCGAAGAAUCACUUCGGUCAUAUAUGCAGAGAUUCCACGAAGAGAACGUGCAGAUACCUGAUCCCAAUGAGCAGGUUACGAUAGCCGCCUUUACCCACAGGCUUGUUGCCGGGGUAUUUAAUCCUGAGAUACACAAAAAGUACCCUCGCACCCUCCAAGAGCUCUGACUGAAGGUCGAAAAAGGCAUACAGGCCGAGGACUUCAACCGCACGAAAAAGGAGGUUCAAGCAUCUCGUCCGGGAGCUGAUUCCCGAAGGAAGAAAAAGAUCAGCCGAAAUGAGGCGGGUGUUACAAGUAGCUUUCAAAGUCCUAACUGGGAUCGUCCUAAUGUGUUCGAUAGGAUAGCCAAGGGGAAGUCAUUUAUCCCUGAUUCUGAGUUUACCUCUUUAAACACCACCCGAUCCCGAGUGCUAUCCGUAAUGGAACAGAAUAAUCUCGGACACACCUCCUGAAGAUGUUCGAAAGUAGAGAAAAGAGAAACUCUAACCUCUACUGUCUGUAUCAUCGAAACAUCGGGCACGAGACGGAAGACUGCAAUGACCUUAAAAAAGAGAUAGAGCACCUUAUCAAGUAGGGGUACUUGAAACAGUUUAUUCGUCGAGAUCGAUGUCACCAACAGAGCGGCUCUCGACGAGAGGACCGAGAUGAUAAGCGACAGGAGGACAAGCGAGGGUCAAGAAGCAGCUGCCGACUCCCCGAGGAUCCUAGGGAGGCAAAAAUGCCUCACCGAGACAGGUCCUCGGGUCAUGAAUUAGGGUACGAACAGAACACUGUCAGGGUCAUUAACACCAUUGCUGGAGGUCCGACGGGAGGGGACAGCCAGACUUCCCGAAAGAGGACCUACAGGUAAGCUAAUACUGAUAAGGCCGAACCGAGCUCUCACCUGUCCGAGGUGAUAUCUUACGGCCCCAAUGACCCCGUUCUCGCUGCUUCCAAUAGCCAUGAAACUCUGGUGAUUAAGGUACUCGCCAACAAUUACAUUGUUAAGAAGGUAUAUGUCGACCUCGGGAGUUCAGUGGACGUCAUGUACCUCCGGACCUUUGAAAGCCUGAAGUUGACCAGGGAGCAGCUCACCCCAGUAAGGACUCCCCUGGUAGGGUUCGGAGGACAUGUAGUUCACCCUGAAGGGAUGGUCACGCUGACGGUGAUGGUGGGGUGUCACCCCCGUUGUCGCAUCAUCCCGGUCAAUUUCGUCAUGGUUAAGGCCAACUCCCCUUACAAUUUGCUCAUGGGUCGACCCACACUCAAUGCUCUAUGUGCAGUAUAUUCUACGUAUCACUUGAAUUUCAAAUUUUCCACGCUAGCGGGAAUAGCUGAGGUGAGUAGCGAUGUCUGCGUGGCGCAGGAGUGUUACCUCACCACUCUACAAGCCGUCUCUACUUCAACCUCCGAGCCGAGGUCCGAGAGAAGAUCCAAUAUACUUUCGAUUGAUUGUAUCGAUCCUCAACAGUCAGGGGAGUUAAGAAGGCUGGAGACCGGACAUGAAGUGGAGGAUAUCCCCCUAGACCUCUCACGGCCAGGUCAGACGAUUCGCAUCGGCAUCCACCUCCCCCACCCCUUUAGGGGUCAAAUGGUAGACCUUUUCAGGGAGUAUCGGGACGUUUUCGCCUGGGCUGUCGAGGAGGUUCCAGGGGUGCCGCAUCACCUCAUGGUACACGAGCUAAAUGUUGACUCCCAGGCACGUCCUAUUAAACAGAAGAGAAGGCACUUCGGCUCGGAGCGCAGCAAAGCCGUAAGUGGAGAGGUGGACAAACACCUACCAGCAAAAAUGAUCAGAGAAAUGCAGUAUCCGACCUGACUAUCUAACCCAAUCAUGGUCAAAAUGGACACGGGAGCUUAGCGAAUGUGUAUCGAUUUUACUGAUCUGAACAAAGCCUGCCCUAAGGAUUGUUAUCCAUUGUCUAGAGUUGACGCGCUGGUAGACUCGAUAAUGGGUUACGAAGUCCUCUGUUUCCUCGAUACUUUCAAGGGAUAUCACCAGAUCCGGAUGAGCGAGGAAGAUCAGGAAAAAAUGACUUUCUACACAGAUCAGGGUGUCUAUUGUUACACCACUAUGCUUUUUGGCUUGAAAAACGCUGGGGCCACAUAUCAGCGUUUGGUCAACCAGGUUUUCAAGUCCUAAAUCGAUCGAAAUGUCGAAGCAUACGUGGACAACAUCCUUCUCAAGGCCUGAAAACCUCCACCUUCUUGGCCGAUCUAAGAGAGGCCCUUGAGAUAAUCCGUACUACCCGCAUGAUGCUAAACCCUAAGAAAUGUAUAUUUGGGUCAUUUCGAAAAAGUUCUUGGGAUACCUUAUUUCAUAACGGGGCAUAGAGGCCAAUCUUGACAAGGUCAAGGCGAUCUAGGAAAUGUCCUCACCUCGGUGUAUCCAGGACGUACAAAGUCUUACCGGGCGACUGGCCGCUCUGAAUCGAUUUCUGUCGCAGUCUGCCGCUAAAGCGCUCCCGUUCUUCAAGGUGUUAAAAAAGACUGACAAAUUCUCCUGAAUGAAAGAAUGUCAGCAGGCCUUCGAACAACUGGAGUAUUUUCACCACCUCCCCAUCCUCACUUCACCUCGUCUAGGGGACAAGCUCUACCUGUACCUGUCUGCCGCCAAAGAGGUUGUAAGUGCUGUACUGGUACGAGAAGAAGGUGUCCAAAUACCGGUUUACUAUGUUGGCCAGGUUCUUCGAGGGCUUGAGACAUGAUAUAUUCAAAUAGAAAAACUUGUGUUAGCCUUGGUCCAUGCGGCUCGUAAGCUGAAACUCUACUUCUUAGCUCAUCAUGUUUGUUUGAGAACAGGCCAGCCUCUUAGGCAGGUGGUGUCGCGGCCUGAGACUUCUAGCCGUCUCACUAAGUGGGCUAUUGAACUAGGAGAAUACGAUUUGUCCUAUGAGCCCCGGACGGCCAUCAAAGCUCAAACCCUGGCGAACUUCUUAGCCGAGCUCACUUUUGAUGAGGUGAAUGAAUCCACCUCAGCCACUGCUGAGUUCCAGCGGUGGAUCCUGCAUGUGGACGGUUCGUCUAACAGCGAGGAUAGUGGAACAGGUUUGCUCCUCGAAGACCCCCGAGGGGAGCUGUGUUCGUACGCACUUUGGUUCGACUUUACUGCCUCUAACAACGAGGCCAAAUAUGAGGCAGUCAUCGCCGGCCUACAACUAACUCUCAAGCUAAGUGUCCGGUACGUUCAAGUCAACAGUGACUCCCAACUCAUCGUAUGCCAGAUACUUAGUGAGUACGAAGCCAGAGAAAAGGUCAUGCGACGGUACCUCUCCAAAGUCCACCAGUUAACUGCACACUUCGAGUCUUUCAAGAUCCAAAGGAUACCCCGGUAGCAGAAUAGGCAGGCCGAUGCGUUAUCCCGUCUUUCCUCCACAUUUUUCUCUGAUUUAAAUAAGACGGUCCUCGUUGAGGUUCUAAUCGAACCAAGUUAUGCAAAAGACGUGGUGUGUCCUGUUUACCCAGGGGACACCUGGAUGAGCCCGUUAAUUCGGUACCUCGAUCAGGGAGAACUUCCAGAAGCCGAGGCGAGGAAACUCCAGCGUAAAGUAUCCCGGUAUGUUCUCUAGCAAAAUCUCCUGUACAAGAGGUCAUACUUCGAUCCAUGGUUGCGAUGCAUAACACCAGAGGAAGGGGAAAGAAUCCUCCAAGAUAUCCAUAAGGGGUUUUGUGGCGCCCACGUCGGCUAUCGAAUACUGGUCAAGAAGGCCCUAUUGCUUGGAUAUUUCUGGCCCACCAUCCGCCGAGAUGCCUAACUCAUGGUCCUUAGCUACCCUUCUUGCCAAUAUCACGCCCCUGAGCACCACCAACCGACUAACAAAAUGGUCUCCAUCACAUCACCAUGGCCAUUUGAACAAUGGAGGACGGACAUAAUUGGCUCAUUCCCCAAAGCCUAGGGCAACUACGCGUACCUCAUAGUGGCUGUGAAUUAUUUCAACAAAUGGGUCGAGGUCGAACCACUGAGAAGCAUGACUGGUUCAAAGGUCCAGAAAAUUUUUUAGAAAAACGUGAUCUGCCACUUCGGAUUGCCACGAGUGGUCAUCUCUGAUAAUGGCAAACAAUUCGCGAAUAACCCCUUCAAGGGAUGGUGCGAAAGCCUUGGUAUCAAGCAGUAUUUCACCUCGGUCGGACAUCCCUAAGCCAACGGACAAGUCGAGAACCUCAAUCGCACCCUUCUCCAUGGUCUCAAGACCAGCAAGGUCAUCAUUGGUGGAAGAACUCACCAGUGUGUUAUGGUCCUACCAGACUACUCCUAGAUCCGCGACACAAGAAAUCACAUUCUCAUUAAAUUAUGGAUCCGAAGCCAUAGUUUCAGCCGAGUUCAUCACUCCGAACCCACACACAGUAGAUUUCGUUGCCGAGCUGAACGAGAAAGAGAGACGGGUAGACCUCAACCUCGCCGAGGAGAAACGCGACAUAGCCGCAGCUAAAAUUGCACUGUACAAGAAUAUCCUAACUAAUUACUAUAACGCUCGGGUCAAACACCUACGGUUCAGUCCGGGAGACCUUGUGCUCUGGAAAAAUUCGGUUAGCUGAGUUGAACCUUAAAGUAAACCAAUUCCUAAAUGGGAGGGACUCUACCGCGUUAUUGAAUUCAACCAAAAUGGAUAUUAUAAAUUAGCUUACCAAAAUGGUUCUCGUGUACCCCGAAUUUGGCAUGCUGAGAACCUCAUAUUGUAUCACCCCUGAAGGGUGUGUACUUAAUCGACGAGUUAUUCAACGUAGCUUUUAUUUCUCCCUUAGCAUCAUUGUCUUAAGUGAAAAAUAAGGGGAUAGAGCAGGUAUAUUAGCCGAGUUCGAAUACAAAAAGAGAAAUUGAAAGUCAUUGCAUUAAAGACAAAAAAUUGAUUACAUAGCGCCGAGGUCAGGUACACUUCUAAGUACCCAUCAUCUCGGCGAUUUACCACAAAAAGCAUUUCUACACACUUCCUACCCUGGCGUCCUGAUUGUCCCCGGUCACCUCGGCACCACCACCUCCGCCGUCGACACCAUCAUCCCCGCCGUUGAGUUCAACUCCUUACAGGUCGAACUCGAAGAGCCACUGAUUGAAUUCGACUCGAACCUCGACUAGGCUCCUCCCAGCCUGGAUGCCUUCAGCCAUAUGGUCGCACAAUUCUUUGGCAUUCUUGUUAAAAUUGGGUUUCUCCUGAAGGGAUUCCAACUACUCCGAGGUAAGGAAGGGAACCGUGUCAUGAACUGCCGAGAUGUAUCCAAACAUAAAACUCGACAAUGUAAGCUCACCGAAGUCAUUAUGGAAGGUCUCGGAUUUUUGGAAGGCCUCUAGGGCAGAGGUCCCCGCCUUCUCUAUGGCCUCCCGAGCUGACUGUUCCUCCUGGGCCCUUCUAUCUUUUUCUUCCUCAAAGGCCGUCAUCAAGGAAUUCUUGGUAGUCUCGACUUGCUCUCAUGCUGCCUCGGCCUUAUCACAGUCCUGCUCGGUCGCUUUUAACUUUUCCUGCAGCUUGGUGACCUUCUUUUCAAACUCGGAGGAAGGCUGAUAGUUUUCGACCAACCUGGUGUAGCGUUGAGUCAUUUCGGCUAAGAAUGCUGUGGUGGAGCCCAGGAGACAGACGCGCUCUACAUCGAUUCCGCUGGAGUAAGCUUCCUGACGUAGAUGCUGUCUCUCGGAAGAACUGAAUGCACCAGGAGCUCCUGAGCAACCAAUGGAUUCUUACAGCGAUCGUUCACGUUGAGAUCCCAUUCCGGACACCAAUGCGAGCCGGAGUGCCUCUUAUCCUCCCCAACUUCUUGAGAAGGCACAUUGUGGAGGUUGAACAAUGAAGACCCCAUCACAGGGACUUCGAAAAACACAGUAACCCCUCUGCCCCGGGAUGGAGAAACUAUCGUCACUCCUCGGAUUAGCACCCCAACUGGAAUGGCCGAGGUGCGGGAGCUCUGUCCAGUAAUUAUCACGGGAGAACCCCGGCUCACUGUGGCCGUGGUGGCCGUGGCCGGGGUCGCCUUCUUCUUUGGCCGAGUAGACGGUUCGACCGUGUCUUUACGUUUAGGUGGCAUCUUGGCUACUCUGGCCGCUCCUGAAGUGAUCAAGUCGGAAACUCUCGUCACUGCGUAGCGUAAAAGUAGAGUUAGUUAAAAUCAAGAAAAAGCAAAGACAAAGUAGGAAGCGAAAAAGUACAAUAUUUUCUAAGCCUAGUAGAAAAGAAGGGCGGAUGGUCUGGCCUGAUGAGAGCUCGGCUAAUCCUUCCAUCAACAAGAACUGCCUCGAAAAAAUUUCAACAAUUGAUCCUGAGACCCGACUCCAUUAAUUUUGUGAAAUUCUCUUCUUCCAGAUGGCCCGGAGAGGUUUUCUUGACCGGAGAGGUUUUCUUGACCGGAGAGGUUUUCUUGACCGGAAUGGAAGGCCUCCACCAGAAUCCCCUAGGGAAGUCAUCAGUCGGGACAAAUAUGAAGUUCCUCUUUCACUCCUUUAUCAAAGUGGGGGCAUCCACCACUAAUUUCGAGACCUUGUUCCCGAAGUAGAACCAUCCCUUUUCACUCCCACUGUUCUUAAUUGAGUAGCAACGGCGAAAGAGGUUAACAGUAGGAGUUAUUUCUUGAUAUCGGCACAGCAUCUGGAAGCCGACCAGGACCCGGAUUGCGUUAGGGGUAAGUUGAGUGAUCCUCACCACCCAAUAUCUCAGGCAAUCCCUGAGAAAUCUCGUGAUCGGCACUCUGAGUUUUGCCUCUAGUUGGUCGGCGUAUAUGGCCACCCUACCCCUAGGAGGGAGUUCGGCUGACUCAUCCGGCCGAAGAGGAUAGAUGCUGUAGUCCCUCCGCCAGAGGUGCUUAUUGACCAACUCGGCAGUCAGAGACUGACCCAUAAUGCUGCUGAACAUGGGGACCUGGCCGUAGUUAAUCCUGUCAGAUCCGGAGAGGUGGCUGGCUCUUGCACACCCUCAUCCCUAGGGAUUUCGUUACCGAGGUCAUCGUUGUAAAGAAUCUCGGUUUCGACCUCGGUUUCCUCGCUUUGCCCUUGAGGCGUCCCGGCCCAAUGAGACUCUUCAACACUCCCUUCCCUGGCUUCGGAAGCAGUUCUCUCCUCAGAAGGGUCGGGUCUCUCUGCGACUUCGGAAACAGUUCUCUCCUUGGAAGGGUCGGGCCUCUCCGCCUCGGUGAAACUCAGUCUCACCAUUUCCUUGUGUGUGCGUGCUGUUCUGGCCAUAAGUAAAGGAAGAGAAAUGAGACUUACUCUUGAAGGAAUUUCGAAUUCCAAGAGAUUGCCGGAGUGAAAAAUUGAAGACGAUUUGAUCUGAGGUGAUUGAGAACUUUUUCAAUAAAAGGUAAAAUAGUGAAAAUGACCCCCUAUUUAUAAGCCAACAGAAUGAGACUGAAGGGGCGGCACCUUCGAGAUUCUUUAGGGAACACCCUCUCUCCUAAUUAAUGAGAGUACUGCUCAUCUGACCGUUGAUUUCGCGCCUAUCCGUGGAUCUGUCAUUAAAGCUGACAGCUAUCAUUUCACUUCUCUACCAGUCCCAUCCACGCAUGUAUGACGUGUCAUUGCUGAGUUCCACGUUCCAGACACACUCGUCAGCCUCGGGAAGCAGCGACCUCGUCCUUCGCGAAGCUUGGGGGGCUUAGUGAGAAUGAUCAGUUCGGCUCGGACCGCCCGGAGCUUCACCUCUGCACUACCUCUAGAAGUGCCGCCUCGUACGCCCUAUGCGCCGAGGUGGCCUCAAUCUAAGUUCUCAUUCCGGUGGGAGCUAUCGCCCAUAUCGCCGAGGUGAUGUUAAAGGAUCUGCUAACCGGAGAAGAGUGGGACGCGACUUCUGACACACAUGACACCUGAUAGAAAGCUGCUCUGACACAUGCACCGUCUGACUCUGACAACUGCUCUUACACGCCUUUUCAAGGACCAGUCAAAUCAACUUGAUACACUGUCUAUAUCAGCUUUCUAGGGACCUGAACCUGUAGUCCCUCUCUCCUGUCUGCCUCUUAUAAAUACCAGAUAUUCCUACUGAUAAAGGGACGACCAAUCUCUGGUAAAAUAGGUAAUUUUGGCUUUCGUAACUUCUAGAUUGCUCCUCAUAUCCGGACUAACUUAAGUUUUGAAAUUACACCGGGGGAUCCAGCCCCUCUUGUAAUUUGAGCAUGUGACCUUAUUACGGUGAUCUCUUCAAGCCUAUUACUAAGGGGUAAAAAGAAAACUAAUUUUUCAUACCUGCUCAUUGAAAAUUGUACUAUAUGAGAAGCAUCAUGUUCAACCAUUUUUCUUACAUAUCUAGCUGAAAUAUCAUUCUUUGAUCCAUGGUACUUGAGAGGUUUCCAAUCCUGUGAAAGAGAAGAGAAGAAGAGAAGAAAAAAAAGACUAAUGAGUUGUAAAAGAUACAUCUACGAUUUAAUUAGCAAAUAGUAACUAAAUAAAUAAAUAAAUCAGUAAGUUCAUAAAUGCUAAAUGGAUAAUUGCUGAGAUUAAUGUGAAUGAACUUUUCCUGAAGUACAAUUUGAAGACCAAAUGAAGCAUACCUCUACAGUAUCUUUGUUCUGCACACUCUCCGUCCCAGAUGACUUACCCAGCAAAUGAAAUUAUCCAAGUUUAUAAGAUCUAAUCAGAUGCUAGACACUCAGAAAUGCUACAUUUAGCAUGGCUCAAUCCAGAAAUGACACAUAAAAACUUAACCCCCCCCCCCCCCCCCCGGCCCCCCAAAAAAAAAAAUCCAUUGCCUGCAAUAGCACCCUCUAAAUGCCUAGCAGAGACGCAUGUUACCGUACAUCUCUCUUCUUGAUUCAGGUGUAACCACAGGUGCAGAAAAAUCUUUCAAUCGAGUGUUGUUAUAACUACCUCUCAGUGGAUACAUUGUCAUGAUGCUUCUGCUAAAGUUGGCAUGGCCAUUAAACGUUUAUGUUAAGAAAUGUCAAAAAUUUUGAUGUUAAAUUUGAUUUAUCUUAAGUUGCAACGCAAUUCAACUUUGUAGAGUCCUGCUAUCAUACUGUUAUAGUGAGAUAACCAUGGGAAUUACCAAUAUUUCUAGUUUCAAUUGCUUAUUAUGUUGGAUGAGAAGAAGCUCAAGGCAAGAAAGAACCAGAAAUAAUAGGAGAAAACAGAAAGCAGAGUUCAAUAAGUCCAAAUAGAAAAGCACAAAAUUACAUGUAAAAUGAGAAUGAACAAGAUCGAAGGGCAUAUCUCGUUUCCAACAAGAACUCCAACAACAUAUAUAUCCAGCUCCAACAGGUGGCUUCCAUGGUGAGUUAAGAGUCUAGAAAAGGACCACAGGCCAACAUAUUAUACAUAGAUAUUACUAGUAAUAUAUAUAAAUGAAACGAGAUUCAACAGAAAUCACAGAGAUAAACAAAUCCUAGCCAUAGUAAUAGCAUAAAGAUAUGAGACAAAAACUCUUUGAAGACAAAGAAACUCAUGCAUUCUCAGUUAUAGAACCAAACUAUGGACAAUCUAUGUUUUAAUUUGUAGUUCACAAAAACUUUGAUCAGCUAAAAGGAAAUUUAAUACUUCAAGAAUUCUAUCAGCUUCGUUAUAUCAGGAAAAAAAACUGGAUCAUGUGGAAGCGCGUUGAGACUACGGAUUAUGCCAUCAGGAAGUAUAGCGCAAAUGCUAGGAAGUCUACCAGUUUUAAAGAUACUUCUUAUGGAUUUGCAGCGGCCUUAUCAGGUCCCUGAUCAGACAAACUCUUAGGAGCUAUGUCACUAUGCUGUUGCAAGGUUUCAUUUAUUAGGUGUUCAAAAGCAAUUAUAAAUCAAAAGACUAAAUUUCUGUCAUAAUUUUCCACGCUUGAAUCAUUCAGAUAGAUCAUAUGAGUGAUGAAAUCAAAAGGCAGGAUAUAUGCUUUGUCAUUGGAACUCUAGGUUCAGCAUGAGAGUAAUAGUUCUUGGAAUCAUACUCUAGUCACCUUAAUUUCCCUCCAUUAACACUUGAUGUAAGAAAAUUUGCUGUUAAAGAAUUCUUUUCCAAAAGCAUAAUGCUAGAAAGCUAGCUUCUUGGGAAUUUUUUCGAAAGCAUAAUGCUAAUACAUUUGAUGGUUUCACUUCUUUUUUUUAUCUUUUCAUUAAUCUAAAUUUAUAGGGAUAGAUAUAUUUUUUACUUGUGAUUUCUUAUAUUUGAAACUUUUGAGAUUAUUUGGUAUGUUGUAUAAAAAAAAAAAAAAGACAUUCUAGAUUAAAAUAUUAGGAAUAUUAAAUACUCAUAUGAGACAUUAUGAUGUAAAAGUUAUACUAGUUAAGAUUCAAAUUAUAUUUCAUAUAGUUCUAAAUUUAAGAAAACAAUUAUUCCAUGCUAAAGUGAACGAUAAAUUUCUAGAAAAAAGAAAAAGGUAAAACAACUUACGAGGGAGAUAAUUUGUAUAUCAUCAGCUGGUUUUUUUUAUUAAUUCUAAACAAUCUAUUCUUAAGAUAGAUAAAAUUUAUGAUUGGAACAAAAACCCUCAUGCCUGUAUAAUAGAUUAACCAAGAAUUAAUUGAAAAAAACAAAAAAAAAAUUGUCGGUUCAUCUCUGCUGGAACAUUUUUUAAGAGUUUGCCUUGGUUCCAGAAUCUGUUUGUAUUACCGAUUCCCAGUCAAGCAAUUUCAAAAGGCGUGGUCUUUUUAUAUGAGAACAUCACCACGCCUUCUGUUAUCCAAAAGCCCAUCAGAUCAGAGGCAUUUCUCCUCUACUAGCUAGCACCACGCCUUCCAGUUCCACAAGUAGUCACCACUUGAGAUAGGACUCUCCCAAUAUUUUACUGUCUUAAAAUUUUCAUAAUACAUAGCUGCAAAAUGGAAAAGAAACAAGAAAAAGGAGAAACCCCCCCCCCCCCCCCCCCCCCAACAAAGGAAAGGGCAAGAAGCCAAGAACUCCAUAGUUAGUUCUAGUCUACAAGAUGGAAACAAAAUUGAGAGUUAUCCAUGACAUAUCAACGAUAAAAUCUCUCUUUUUAAAAACCACUUGAAUUUAGCUAGAUUUUUUGGGUUAAAGCAAUGGAAAGAGGUGUCUACCUUCAAGCUCCAAAAGGGGGGAAAUGGGGAAAAAAGAAAAGAUGAAGAAAUAAGUCAAAAUAAUUGUAAUUGUCAAUCAAUAUAUUUCAUAAACUUAAGAUUUUUAUUUUUUGAACAAAAUGAACUCAAGAAUUAAGAUCAGACAAUAAGCCCGAAAGUCACACUCGUGAUAAAGAUAUUGUAUGGCUCUUUCACCUUUUUGCUUUUCAUUUAUGUGCUUAAUUUGUACAUUCCUAUCAUUCCCUUUGCCAAAUUUUUCAUUAGAUAUCACAUAAAUGAGAGGUUAUAUUAUGAUGUUAUAAAAGUAACAAAGUGCCAUUAACAAAUAGAAGAAUGCCCAAUAUCACCUCACAAUCCUAAAAAUAAAAAUACCAUAAUUACCAUUUUGACUCUUAUCCCAAUGAUCUUUUGUUCCCUUUUCACAUUACUCUAGGAUGGAACCUUGGGCCAAGGCAUGUUAUCUGAACUCUAUCUCUACGUACAAGCAGCAGACAAGGAAAAAGUAGACCAGGAGACAAUCUUGUUCAAUAUCCUUGAACUGCUCUGAAUAAAGUUGAAAAAGCUAAAAAUUCCAAAGUUGAGUUGAUUAUGACAGUAGCAAUAUUUGACAAAAUUGCAGGUCUCUUUGGCAUCUGCUUGAUUACAACAUAACAUAGGAUUCUUACGCUACAGCCUGCUUUUCACCUUAUACUCUUGCCAAAUCUUAUAAGACAACUCUUCUCCAUCACUGAAAUUUUGUGUAGCAGUAGUAAUAAUGUCAUCAAUGAUGAGAGGAAAUUCAAGAUCAUCAAUUGAAUCAUCCUGCAAUGGAAUUGUUCGUAGAAUGGUAAGCCUUCCCAGGAGCAUUUUAGGGGGUGUUUCCAGAGCAAUGGGACAAGGCAUGGACUUUAUUCGAAUAGGAGGAAGAAGACACCACCCUCAUCAACAUCAUCAUCUACCAUUAGCAACAGAUUUUCCAUUUGAGCAAUAUCCCUCAUCAGAUCCUCCUGUGAAUGGAUCAUUCAAUCAACCUUCACAGAAUUUUCAGCAGCCACCGAUGGUACAAGAGGAAUGGGCAUUUCUAGCAAGUCUGGAGCAGGAAUAUGGCACAAAUCAUCCAUUUUUCUACGUUUGUCGGUUCAUGGAUGCUCUGAAGAUGGCUCAAGAAGAGCACAAGUUCAUUUUCCUGUACUUGCACUCCCCUGAGCACCAAUUCACUCCCGCUUUCUGCAGGGAGACUUUAGGUUCUGAGCUGGUUGUUCAGUUUCUCGAUGCAAAUUUCAUUAGCUGGGGAGCACUUGCAAACAGAGGGGAGGGGUUCCAUUUGGCUUCAACAUUAAGGGCCUCCAACUUUCCAUUCUGUGCUGUGGUCGCUCCAGCUUCUGCUGGCAAUUUAGCAGUUCUGCGACAGGUAAGAGGAAAUUUUAUACAGAAACUUCAUUUCGUUUUGAAAUGUUUAUAAGCACCUGAAUAUGAAACCUCAACAUGACUAGAAUGCCUAUUGCCUAAACUAGAUGGUUUUGUGUACAAUCAAAAGGUUCAGUAUAAAAAGAUUUUAAUCGUCCUGCAUUUCAGAUUAAAUUAUCGGCAAAUAGGAACAAAGAUAUCCCCAAAUAUUAGGUGUUGGCUGAUAUCUCAAGUCAAAGUUUCUACAGCCCGUACUACCUGGGAUUCUGCUUUCUCAUUUUUGCUGUGAAUAUGAUCGCAAAAGAAGGAAAUUACUCCCAAGAAAGUUUAGAUCAUCUUUUCUGAUGAUAUGGUCAUACUUCUUGUAAUGGUAGUAUAGUGCACUGAGGGGAGACUACUGGCCAUGAUUGGGCUCAUACCUUAAAGCAGCAUCUUUUCCAUCUUUUUUUAAUGUGUUUUCACAUUGAAAUUCUCUAGUGUUGAUUCAGUUGUUUCAAUUUCAAGACAUGUUCUUCCAUGAAAAAUCUGAUGCAUCUGAACUUCCUUACUAUCAUUAUUCAUUGAUAUGUCACCUGUAUUUGAUUUGUGAAAGAAGGGAAACUCUCUGACUUGCCCUGUGUAGAUUGAAGGUCCAGUCUCCCCUGCUGAAUUGGUGGAGAUACUACAAAGGACCAUGGAGGAGCAAGGACUGGCAUUUGACAGUGCAAGGGCCAAUGAGGAAGAAAAAAGAAGAGCAGAUCGUAAAUUGAGAGAAGAACAAGAUGUUGCCUAUGUUACAGCCCUCCAGAGAGAUCAGGUGCACUUUUGCUCAAAAUUAGUCGAGCUUCGAUUAAGUUAAUGUCUGAAUCAAACCAGUAGGAAACAGGCUUUCCCAUUUGUACAGGAGAAGGAAAAGCUCAGGAGUUUCGCUUCAGAACAAAGAGUUUCAAAAGCUGCAAGUGCCUCCAAUUCAUCUAAUCAAGAAAAAACCAAGCCAGUUCCUCUAAAGCAGCAAAACAACCAAAUCAAGGAUGGUCCAAGAGCAGGAGGAGCUAUGCAUAAAGGAAAUGCUCAAGAAACAAAGGUACUUGAUCAAGACUUAUCCUCUUUGUAGUCUUGUAAGAGUAUGCUUUGGUCCAUAAUAUUUCAUAUGCCCAUUGAGCUUGAUCUCAAGAAUGAACUCCUCAUCUUUCUGUGUAGAUAUUGAUAAGGUUUCCAAAUGGGGAGAGAAGGGAACACAGCUUCUUGAGCACAGACAAGGUUCAAGCAAUUUUUAGGUACAUUAAUUCACUAGGCUUGCCUGGAGUUGGCGGCAAUUACAGGCUAAUUUCUAACUUCCCAAGAAAGGUGUUUAGUGUUGAUCAGAUGGGAAUGACGCUGACAGAGGCAGGCCUUCAUCCAAAAGCUAGCUUGUUCUUGGAGCUUCUUUGACCAUAGAAGUUUCUUUUCCUUGGUACGUUACUGAAGUUUCAGAAUACAAAUUAAAGAAAUGUUUUCAGCAUCUCACUUUGUUGUUAUGGAGACUUUGGGUAGCAAGUAUUAUUAUUUAUAAGUAAUAAUAAAACUUUUGCUAUAAUUCAUUACUUUCCUUUCCAUAACAAAUUUCAAUCAACGUAGUGAUUUUCCUACUUUAUAUAUAUUUUUUAUUGAUUUUUAAUCCAUGAAUCUAUAGUUCCAAAUGCUGUUCAGUUUCUGUUUUUCUAAGUUGGUGAUUUUGCCCACACACACACACACACACACACACACACUUCCCUAUAAUUAAUCAAUUAUAAAUUUCAUUCUAAUUAAUUUCCAUUCAUUCUAAAGCAUACCAAAAAAAAAACACAGAUAUAUUCUAUCUUCUAAUUAGAAAAUUCAAAAUUAGUUACCCUUUUUUUCUUUUUUGGCAAUCACGAUCACAUGCUGCUUAUAUGUACAUUUUUUGUUCUUUUUCCUUUAAAGGAUUUUUCAUAUUAAUUUCUUUUCUUUAAAUUUUUUUUUAAAAAGUAAUCAAAUAUUGAUAAUACUCUCUAAUAUAUUUACUUUUCUCACACAAUACUUUAUUACCAUCAAGAUGAGGUUUGAUGAGAACUAAUCAUUAUAUUGUGUAGGAGUAGCUAUUUUUAUGUCUUUUAGUCUAAAUAUUUUGUUUUAUAUUUAGUAUUUUAAAUUUUAUUAAAUUUCUUAUUUUAGUGCUUUUGUAUCCAUGACCAUCUAAAAGAAAUAUCGAAGAUGAAAAGAAAAGCAAGUGCGACUAACUAGUUGUUAGAUAGAAGAACGUUUGGGCUGAGGUGCCUCAGGGUAACUACUGCUUUGGUGCUUGUCCUCUUCCAAAGGAGCCACCAGAGACAGUAAAUAAUCCUGGACAUGAAACUAAUUCAAGAUUAGUGCUGGCAAUCCAAUUCAACCAAAGAAGGAAAGGUGCACUCCAGCCCAGAAUCAGCUGCUUAGAACUGUUUUUAUCUACUGCUUAGAACUCAUUCCUGCCAACUUCUGGUGGGAACAGAGACCUGCUUAAACCCGCAGCCCUGCUCUCAGCGCCAGCCUUGCUUGUACACCCUAGAUAUGCAAGAGACGUUUUUUCCAAUAUGCAAAGCUAAAAAUUGUCUAAUCCCGGCAAGGAAUAUAUCUCGAAGAGCAAAUUUCGAAACUUACCAUGCAUGUGAUACGAAAACAUGUGCAGAUGCUGACUGCUGAGCGUUUGCCUUUGUAAUGGAAAGAUCCUAACAUGCAUAGCUGGCUGCCUUACCGCUUUCCCCCUCAUCCCCAAUCCAUAGGAUGAAUACUGGGGACAUAUGCUUUAGAAUGCCAAUUUAGGGAGCACAUAUGGUGCAUACAAAGAAGCAGCAAGUGAAAUAAGUCAUUGAUAUUUAACCAACACACUUCCCAGCUUAAUCAGUACAAAGAAUCAUAAUCUACUCUUAACUGUAGCUGAUACUUGAAAUCCAAAAGCCAAUUAAUUGCGGUGCAUGCAGUAAUAUGGCUUCUGCCCUAGAUGGCUCUUCAAACCAAAAGAAGAGAUAUCCACCCAUAGGCAUCAAAAAACAAUGCAUGUAAUUAACACGGACCGCGGAGUUGCCGAUGGAGCAGCAAAAGAAUUGCGAAAAGCUUAAAAAAAAAAUGGCCGCAUCAAUUAAGGUUUCAAAAGGAUUUCUUUUCAUAAGAUACCAAACCAUGAACUCCUCCUUCGACUU
rnacentral:lncRNA from 1 species